rnacentral:lncRNA from 1 species
GGGGCUUAAAUGGAGUACUUCUAAGCAAAAAAACAUUGACUAAAAUAGAAUAUAUACAUACAGACACACAUACAUACCAGCAUAUUCAAAAUAGCAAAAGGAGUGCAAAAGUUCAAGUUUGUAGACAACAUUGCAACCAUAGCAUGUUUAUAGCAAACCUCAAAAUCUGCUAAAUAAAACAAUGCCCCGUCUCAUGAAUCAAUGCUGAAUUAAAAUUGAAACUGAAAGUCUGGAUGGUGUUGUUUGUUGAGAAUGUCAAAUAAAACGGCAUUGAAUGAAGUUUUCAAAGGCAGAAUCCGCACUUGUCAAAGACACGAUCCGCGCCGAACGGAUCGACACAGAAACCAAAUUCGUCCCACAACCAUUUUUUCCACCAUUUUCUUCCUUAAAACCAUUCUUACAGAAAUCCAUGCCGAUCAAAAAACAUGAAAGACAAAUUACACAUGUGCAGUAACCAAUGAUCAUAUUUCGUUACUGUCAAACACAAUGCAUCUGAGCAAAACAUUGGAAGCCAACACCAGAAUACAUAUGAAUAAACAAUUAAAGAUAGAGAAAAAAGGCUUAAACCUUGGGGGGAAAAAGUGAAAAAACAUGAAAGACAAAUUACACAUGUGCAGUAACCAUCGAACUUAUCAGUGACAGCUGCAUCCAUUACAUUGCUCCAACAACACAAUGGCAAACCACCAGUUUCAAAUUGAGGAUAGCUAUCGAGAAUGAGAAAGCGUCCAAAACGUCAUAAAUAGACAUGUUCCUAUUGUGCAUAAUUUACAUUAUAGGCAAAUAUUCUUAUACCGUCAAAGGCAAAACAUGACACUAACAAUUGAAUCCCCCCCCCCCCCCCCCCAAAACCAAAAAAAAAAAGGAAAAAACAAUACAGAAAAGAUCGAAACAGAUAAGGCUACACUGAGCACAGGAUGCCAUGAAACAUAAUCCAGGAACCAAAUUAAUAAAAAAGGAAGCCAAACCAUUAUUUAACAAUCUGUUUUGUAUCUGGGAAAGUCUGAUAAAAUCUACUUAGGGAUAAUUAGAGAACCUCAACUAUUAAUCACACCUCAUAAAUGAACUAACAUUAACCAUCUACCAUCCCCACGUCACACAAACAUUCUCUAUACUUCUGAACCUAAUACUUCCAUCUUCAAUCGGGGUUUUUUUUUUGGGGGGGGGGGGGGGGAGCUAUCAAUUUUCUAAGCUUGCUUAGCUUCUGUGUGGGAUUGAAAUGCUGAUUUCGAAUCACUAACAGUAAAAUUGGAAGCUCAUGAAAUAAUCAUGCAAUAGCUUAUUAUAUUGUUUUAGGUCAUUUUUUUCAACUAUUUUCUUGUUAAUAAAUGUCUUGAAAAGCUACAAGAUAAUAUUUCUCUUGCUGGUCGUGUGAAUAUGGAAGAGAUGGCCGAGAGCUAGGCAGCUAGCUAAUAGAAAUUUUUAUGCCUCAUACAUACUAAAUACAAGUCCAAAAGCAUUUCCCAUCUAGUCAAAAUAGAUAAAAAUUAAAGGCAUACGUAUGCUUUCUUAAUCAUCACACGCACUAAUUAAAUAUUAAUUGAAAAUCCUAGUUAAUCAGUAAAAUUAGCAACGGUGGCACCAGGCUUACAAGCCUUAGCCAUAGGGCUUGGGUGAACAAAAGGGCUGGGCCUCACGGGCUUCCCCAUAAGCUCUCCCGGCAGAUCCUUAAUGCCCUUCAAAUAAAAAGUAUAGAACAGCUUAAAUGGAAACACAAGUUGCUUCAGCUUAACCUGCCCACUCACUCCUUCAAAGAUCCCUGACCCUCCAGUCACAGCAAGACAAGUGUCCUUGUAUGUCAAAUAAGACCCCUGCACCGAUAUGUGACCGUAGUCUCCGAAGUAGAAGCUGUAUACGGCUUCGUAUCUGUCACCUUUCAUUGGCUUGUGCUGGAUCAAAAUGCAAAUUCCUGCUGUAAUUCCCACUCGCUUUUGCAAGUCUCCGCUAUAUAACUGCAAUACAUUAAAAAGAUUAUAUAUUAACAAUUCUAUGUAUACUAGUAACAAUAGAAUAAGCGAUAUUGGUGAUCAUGUUGCGGUAUAUCAUAUUGUCACCCAAUUUUUUUUUUUUUCAUAAUUGACGACUUCAACAAGAUUCACAUACGAUAAAUUACUAAUUUUAUAUCACAUCAGGUUAUAAUUUGUAUGAAGUAAUCUGAAUAUAGAACUUUUGUGCGUAUUAAUAUAAUUGAAACACGAAGGAUGAUUAACUUGCAAAACAAAUGGGUACUAUGAAAAAUUAAUUUACUUUGUUGCUAAAAGGGACAAGAUCACCGAGUGAAUUGAUGAAACAUUUCUUGCUCAACCGGAGAUAGGCUGGGCUCCCACGAUCUAGCUCGUUGAUCUCAUAAACAUACAAUUCUUGAACUUUGGCUACAAUUAAUCAAAGAUAAAACGGUAAAGAGAAUGAUUAACAAGAUACGUCAAAUUAAAAACAGAGGAAUGUUAAGAAAAAAAAAAAAAGAUACUAAUCAAAUUGUUUUAGCAAUUUGAUUGAAAGUGCGGCUGCACUAAUUUUCUAGAUGAAUUUUUCCUACAUGCUUGUUCUCGUAUGACCCAAAAUCCUGCUACAUCAGUUGUAUUAGAAAUUAAUCAACUGGGUUACAAUUAUGCAUCCCCACCAAUAUUUAAGCAAUUUAAUUACAGAAACAUUUCUUGGGGAAAGAAACUCAUAUCGCCACUAGGCUUUUAAUGAGGCUCAUUUUUAUGAAUCUGGAUGGCAUUAGAUAUCUCUACGAAUAUUGGUGGGAGUAGAUCGCAGAUCUCUGGGCUAUACUACAAAGUGUAUGUACGUUGACUCGCAAUAAAUACAAACGACUCUCUGAUAUGAUUCAAAACAUCAGUGCAUGCAUCAUUUUAACGAGAGAGAAUAUUCUAAGAACGAAAUUGAAGGUGCAAUCAGCAGCUAAAAUGAAGCCAGAAAUGUACACGCAUGAGGAAUUUUUCCUAGAAGAUUGAUAUUUCUUUGACUAGCAAACCAUACAAGUCCAAAGCUAGCCAAACCAUACCUGCAAGUCGGGGGUUUAAAUGGAGUACUUCUAAGCAUAAAACAUUAAUCAAAACACAGUACAGACACACACACACACCCCUACAUACAUACCAGCAAAAAUCCACUGAGAAAGUGGGAAAAAAAGAAAAUGCAUAUAAAAGUAUGAGUUAUCAGAUAAGAUUAAAACUCACCCAAUUCAAUCCAUCAGAUUCCAUAAGGAUAUAACUGGAUGUCAUACCGCCACUCCAUAUCCUUGAAAGUCCGUAGUGUUUGUCUCAACUCUGUCUGAGGCCAAUGUAAAUUCAAUUUGCGCAAGCUCUUUAUGCACCACAGCUCUUCUGGAAGCUUUCUCAAGUAAGCACAUGGGUUGACAAUUAAGCUUUCAAGUUUCGGCAUUGCUCCAGCCCCCAUCGUCCACUCAUCUAGCCAAUACAUUGAUUUCAGGUGCAAAACCUUAAGUUCGGGAAAGCUACUCAAGCCAACACAAGCAAGCUUUCUUCCUAAAUACGAGUUCUGCUUCAGUUUCAGCAGUCGAAGGCGUGGAAGAUUUUCCAGAAUUGGCAUGGGAUCCUCCUUUAGCUCAGUAUUUGAUAAGCUCAGUUGGAUCAGACUUGGGGGAAAUUGGUAUUCAGAUAGGACCAUCCGUGAGGGCUUGCUCUCAUUCACCAGCUUCAAGCAUUCAAGUUUGUGGAGUUCGCAAAGGCUUUUGGAAACCCCAGACUGAUAGUAACUCAAAUCUCCAGAUAUCCGAAGAGUCUGAACACUAGGUAGUCUGCCCAAUAUAUCAGGAGUACAACUACUAGGGUUUAAAGCUGAUAUGAAAAUGAGAUUUUUCAGAGAGCUAGAAUAAUUUUUUGGAGGUGCGGGCAGAGUGAUAGAACCAAAGUUUAGAUGCAUGAGUUUUUGCAUCAUCCAAAUAUCCUCUGGUGAAUGAUCUAUGUCGCUAGAUGGCAUUUCUAGUGUUUGAAGGUUUAAAAGGGUGCAUAGCAUUGAAGGAAGGCAUUUGAGCGAAGGGAUAUUCAAUUUCAAAUACUUCAAAAGGAAUAAAUUUUCUAAUCCGGGUGGAUAUUGGUCCAGGACUGCAGAACCCAUGUUCAGUACCCGAAGGUAUUUGAACAUUUUACAAAAGUUCUCGCAAUCUAUCAGAGCGAGACGAUCGCUUUCUGAACUGUGAUUCAGAAAAGAUUGGAGAUACAUGUCAGAAUGUUCUAGAGAAAGGAACUCAAUCAGACGUUCCACAAUGAAGCACCGUUUAACAUUUGCCGUUGAUUCCUCUUCCAUGUCAGGCGUCCAGACAAAUCCCGCCUUCUUUGCCACAAAAUACAAUGAAGUAUAUACAAAACUUGGAACAUAACACGCUUUAAUUGUGCCGCCGGCGCUUCUCUUACUCACUUGAAUGAAGCCGCGAUGGAUUAGUUCUUUCAAGAAAUGGUCGGCAGUUUCUUCACCGUUGUAUGGUACGAAACCUUCAGCUACCCACAACUGAUGUAAUUGCCUCCUGGAUAUCUCAAUACUUGGAGGGAAGACACACAAAUAGAUGAAGCAGACUUUCAAAUGAAAAGGUAACUCCAUCACAGAAAAAAUUUGUCUCCAAACUGUCGGAAUCGCUUCGCCUUGAAGAUAAUUUUCUAAUGGCAUACUUCCAUAGUGUAGGAUGAAAAAUUGCCAGGCUUCAUGCUUUAAUCUGAUCAAUGGUCCUCCAAAGAGCACUGAAUCACGCCGAAUCUUCUCUCCGUUUUCCAUUUCCAACGACGCAAGGAGGUCUGGAUCAGUGACCAAUAUCAAUACUCUGCUUCCAUUCUGAUUACCAGGAAGAACUUCUUCAAGAUCAUCCCAUAUCUCACGUUCAUUGAAGACAUCAUCAAGCACAAUAAAGUACUUCUUGUUGGUUAGGUAAUCUCGAAGAACAGAUUUCUUCGAUUGAUAAUCUUCACCGAUAAUUACACUAACCCGAGAUGGAGGCAUCACAGACUUGAUUAUGUCAUCCAAUAUCUUGCCAAAAUCGUAGGCUAAGGAAACCCUGACCCAAGCAAGACAGUCAAAAUAGAACUUGACGUGAUCAUUAUUGUAAGUAUCUGCAGCAAAAACAGUCUUGUCGAAGCCACUGCUGUCGAGAAUUGCAACCGCUGCAAGCCCAGAUGGUCCCUCAAUCAAUAGAUCAAACAACUCCUCUCUGCCCCUUUCAAAUUCAUUGAUAUCAAGCCGAGGUUGUCCCUCACUCAAUAGGCGAAUGAUUUCGUUACUUUUUUCACUGAUAUCAAAACCAUUGUCGCCGGGUGGAAGUUGUUGCAUCCGAUUUCUAAUAUCAAUGAUUUGACUGUGGAGUCCAUCAAGAAGAGCCAUAUUAGUGCUGCUUUCACUUUCGUUUUCACUGUUUUGCUGCUGCAUGAUGUUGAUGAAGAAUGUGUCAAUGGCUUCCUCAGAGUCACGGACAAAGUUAUUGAUGUCCUCCAGAAUUUCAAAAAUAUCUGCUGUUUCAACGUCUUCUUCAUCGCUUUCCUCUAAGUCCAACAGUUGCAAAAAAGGCAAAGAUAUUUUGGAGUCAUCGAAUUCUUCUCUAAUGAGUUGAAACAAAUGCCGAGCCAUGCCAGCUUCAUAUUUUCCCAGCAGAGUAGUAGCAAUAAUUUCGGACUCCGUAAGAAGGUUUUGAAAAAGUGGAGUUAAAUUUGUUGAAUCUGGCAGCGGCAACGUGCCUUCUUCACCUGCUAACACCCUCUCCAACCUCUCACAAAACAGUCGGAGGUGGACGUCCAGCAUAUCUCCUCCUCUCUGUAGCACCCAGAGGUAUUGUUUUUUUGCUCCAAGAAAUAUUAAAAGGAUUGGUUCUAUCUCAAAGUGGUUACUGGUGUAAAAUUAAACGACAUGGGAGAAUUUGAAAGGAAGAUGCCAAGGAACUGGCGAAGUGGCUAAAUUCCACAAAUACGGCAUUAUUGCUCAAUUUUAAGUCAAAAAAUUGAUACGCGUUCAUUUAGAAGAGGUAUCCAACCUUUAUCUUAUUUUAAUUACUACCACGACAUGAUUGAUGGUGUUUAAAUCAAUUGUUUCUUUUUUAAUUUAAAGAAUUUUUCAUUAAAAAUAUUUUAAUAUCAAAUUGCCUUCAAUAGCGUAACUGCCGCAAGCCCAGUAACAGGAUUAAUUAAAAUUUUUUGAAUUUUCGGGCACGGAAAGAGUAGUAUUAGACUUCAGAAAGCUAAGGUUGUUAUGUUAAAGAAUUGAUAUUGACAUAAUUUUAUUUUGGCUUUCGGGUAAAAAAAUAUUUGUUGACAAGCAAGAAAAUAUUUUUGUAUUUUACAAUUUAUUAUACAUAUUUGAUCAUAUUAAAGUAAUUUUAAUAAUAAAUAGACACAUAAUAUUACAAUAAAUAAAGUAAAGUUUAAAUUAUUUUGAAUAUUAUAAAAAAAUAAUUUUAAUAUUAUUAAUAGGAAGACAUUUUGUUAAUUUUAAAAUCUUUUUAACCUAAAGGUUUAUUUAAAAUCUUUAGAAAUCUCCAUCCCACAUCUACCCUAUUAAACAAGUUGAUGGAAAUUGAACAGUUGCUUUUUGAAGUGGACCCAUUGAGUUAUGUUCAUUACUGGUCAUUGUCUAUUCUUUCUAAGAGCCACUUGUUUUGAGCAUUAGCAAUCCUAUCUGGACUACUCCAAUUAUUGAUGUAACUCCAAUGGUUGCAUCGACAGUUGAAUGUAAGAUAGUGUUAGUUCUUUUUUGAGAAUUUCUUUAUUUGUUUCUCCGUUGCAGCGUAUUAGUAUAAAUUUCUUUACCUUACAGUUCCUACAGUCUUCCUGUUAAUGAAUUCGCUGAGGCAUUAUUGAUCCAAUCUCAGUGAAGUAAUUGUGGGUGAAAAAAAAAAUAAAGGAUAAGAGAACGUAGCUGAAUUGACUAUUAAAGAAGAGCGUCACCUGAUCACAAUCACAUUGAUGCACAACUCACUCAGAUCAUUACAACGUCCUUUUCGCUAAUUAAUUAUGAUUAUAUACAUUUUCAUAUGGCAAGUGGCAUUGUAGAUCUAAACUACGUUGCUAUUUCAUUACGUUAAUUAAGUGAUUCUCCUGAUUGUCAUCAGCGCUAUACCCUCUAGGAAAAUAGCUCAAUUGUUUUCCUGCAUUGAUUUUCAUUGGUAUGUGAUUUCUUAUGAAAUUCUUUUGAGCUUUCCUUAAUUAGACUUUUGAAAAUAGAAUUAAACAUUAGAUUAAAAUAAAAUAGAAUUAAACAUUGGUAUGUGAUUUCUUAUGGAAAGAGUAGUAUUAAACAUUAGAAAGCUAAGGUUGUUCUGUCAAAGAAUUGAUAUUGGCAUAAUUUUAUUUUUGCUUUCGAGUAAAAAAAAAAAAAAUUGUUGACAAGCAAGAUACUGUUUUUAUAUUUUACAGUCAGUUAUACAUAUUUUAUCAUAUUAAAGUAAUUUUAAUAAUAAAUGGAAACAUAACAUUACAAUAAAUCAAUUAAAGUUUAAAUUAUUUUGAAUAUUAUAAAAAAUAAUUUUAAUAUUAUUAAUAGGAAGAUAUUUUGUUUAUUGUAAAAUCUUUUUAACCCAAAGGUUUAUUUAAAAUCGUUAUAAUAAAUAAAAAUAUAAAAACAAAAUAAAUAUCAUAAUUUAAAAUUUUAAUAUUAUUUUAAAUAUUAAAAAUACUUUAAUGCUAUUAGUCUACUACACAGGUUAUAUUACUUAUAUUAUAUUUGUAUAAAUUAAAACUUUUAAAGUUAAAUUUUUAAUUACUAUAUUGAAAAGGUAUUAUGGUUAAAAAAAGUUUUGGCAUUUCUUUUUGAAAAUUUGAGGGUCUGCAGGACAAUUUGUCCAAAUCCUAGAGGUAUAGGUGUCUUUUUUUUUUCGAUAAUUCAUUUUACUUUUGAGGGAAUCUGAUGAGAAAUAAGAUAAGAGAAACGUCAAUUUAACGUUCUCUACGGAAAACCAAGAACUAUUCAAUUUUGUAUUUUUUGUUUGUAAAACGAAAAACAGUUUGCCAAAAAAGGUACCAAACAUAUCCUUAAUGUCUCACAUGAUUUCUUAUUAAGUCCAUACUCGAUAUAUUUAUACAUUUUAGGUAUUUUAGUUAUAAAAGAAGUUGGUCCUCCCUCUGUUUAUAAAAGGUAACUUUAUUUCGAGAUUACCACUAAAGUCUUACAAUGAAUUAGUGUAAUGUUAAGAGAGAGUAACACAAUUUUUCAUUACCAUUUUGAAAAUAGAAAGAUAUGGAUGUGUGCAUUUAAUGGUGCGUUUACUUGUCGGAUUGGGGAAUCGGAAUGAUUGAUGGUGUUUACUUCGCAAAUAUGGAGCAGGAAUCGAAAUUGAAAUGGUGGGGCCCACUACUAUUUGGGAAUGGGAGAUUGAUUCCCAUGGGGGAAGGUGUGAAUAGGGAUGGCAAAUUUUUCCGGAUCUGGCUCGGACCCGGAUAAACCCGGAUGAUCCGGUCCGGGUUGAACCCGGACGGGAUGUAUAAAAAUGCGGAAUCCGGAACCCAUUUUACAAACCCGCACAUGUCCGGGUCCAGUUCCGGUUUUAGGCGAACCCGUAUGUCCGGAAUCCGGACCCGGAUAUUUAUUAAUUUUAAUAUUAAUUUUUAAAAAAAUAUUUUUAAUAUAAAUAGAAAAAAAAAAGAACCCAGAGGUGCCCUAGGGCUUCAUUCAUUCACAGCCGCAGCAACACAUUUCCUCUCCCUCUUCAACUUGUCUUCAUCAAAUCAAAUCGUCGUCACACUCACUUGCCCACCUUCGCAGCUCAUCAUCAUCCUCAUCAGCUUGUCUUGGCGUCUUGCCCACCUUUGCGUUGCAGCUGUUCAUUAUCAUCAUCAUCAGCUUGUCUUGGCGUCUGACUCUUGCCCACCUUCGCGUCGCGGCUGUUCAUCAUCAUCAUCAACUCGUCUUGCCAACUUUUGCGGUUGUUCAUCAUCAAAUCAUCGCCGUCGUCACUUGUAUCAGCCGCCGUCACGAACAAUAACUAGCUUCGAUACAAUCAGAAGUAGCGAGCUUGCCUUCACCGGAUGCCAAUCCUUAAAGUUCGUGAAUGCCAAAUCGGUUCGAACCAAGCUUAUUUGUAUUUGGUUAGUUUAGGCCAUGGAUUUGUAUUUAAUUUGCUGAAAUCCUAGAUUUGUAUUUCCAUUUGUCAGUUGAAUUUAGUUUUUUUUUUUAAAUUAGAUUCAUCAAUCCGGGUUGGAAACCCGCAAUCCGGAAACCCGGUUUUUCCGGGUUGAAUCCGGACCGGACCCGGAGUGAAAAAAUGCGGGUUAUGUCCGGGUCCGGUAUAGAAAAAUAAUCGUCCGGGUCCGGAUCCGGAAAGGCUGAACCUGGACCCGGACCCGGACCCGGAUUUUGCCAUCCCUAGGUGUGAAUGAGUCUCCCAUUCCUGGAUUGACCAUUUUGCCCUCCCUCAAAAUUAAAAAUGCCUACUUUGUCCUCUUUUAUAAUUAAUUAAUAUAAUAUUAUAAUUAAUUAAUAUAUAAAUAUUUUAUUAACUAUAAUUAUUAAAAAUUAUAGUUCUUGAAUAAAUAAUCACAAUAAUUAAUUUAUUAUUAUUAUUGUUAUUUUAAUUAAUUAAUUAAUAUACUAUUAUAAUAAUUAUUAAUAUAAUUAAUUUAUAUAUUAUUAUUAUUAAUGAAUUAAUAUAAUUAUUACUAUUAAUUAAUAUAUUAAUAUAUUAUUAACAAUAAUAUAUUAAUAAUUAUUGUUCGUGAAUAAAUAAUCACAAUAAUUAAUAUAUUAUUAUUGUAAUUAAUUAAUUAAUAUACUAUUAUAAUAAUUAUUAAUAUAAUUAUUAUAAUUAAUUCAUAUAUUAUAAUUAAUUAAUUAAUAAAAUUAAUAUUAUUAAUUAAAUAAAUAAUAUAAUUAUUACUACUAAUUAAUAUAUUAUUAAAAAUAAUUAUUAAUAAUUAUAAUUUUUGAAUAAAUAAUCACAAUAAUUAAUAUAUUAUUUUAAUGAAGUAAUUAAUAUUAAUAUUAUUAGUUAAUAUAUUUUGAUAAUAAUUUUUAAUAUAGUUAUUAUAAUUAAUUAAAUUUUUUUACAAUUAAUUAAUAUAUUAGUUAAUAAUAAUUAUGACAAUAAUCUAUUAAGUACUUUUUAGUAAUUUAUUACAAUAUAAUUCAUUCCGAUUCCGAUUUCAAGACAAAGUAUACACAUUAAUGGCAAUCUAGCUCAUUCCGAUUUUGAUUCCUACAGUUCAAGUAAACAACUUAUUUUAAUUCCCAUUACUUAUUUCCAUUCCAGCCCAUUCUCAUUUCUGUCCAUUCCGAUUCCAGCUAAUUCCGAUUCCAGUUUAGUAAACGCAGCAUAAGAGUUAUCAUGAAAAUCAUACAAUUCAAUUUCCUGAAAUAUAUAUUUUAUUCACAUGUGCCAAAAGAAUAAAUAGAUAGAAAGUAAAUUUACAAUCCUCACUCCCUCACAAUUGUUAAAGUGAAUAUGCAUUACAACUGUGAACUGUCACUACUUUAGCCCUUUUUAAAAAAAAAAAAAAAUUAUAGUGUGAUCGAGACAGUGAACAUCAAGGAUAAAGUGCUCUGCUGGAAGCCAAACUUCCUUUGGCUUUCGGGGAAAAAAAUAUUUGUUGACAAGCAAGAAAAUAUUUUUGUAUUUUACAAUUUAUUAUACAUAUUUGAUCAUAUUAAAGUAAUUUUAAUAAUAAAUAGACACAUAAUAUUACAAUAAAUAAAGUAAAGUUUAAAUUAUUUUGAAUAUUAUAAAAAAUAAUUUUAAUAUUAUUAAUAGGAAGACAUUUUGUUAAUUUUAAAAUCUUUUUAACCUAAAGGUUUAUUUAAAAUCUUUAGAAAUCUCCAUCCCACAUCUACCCUAUUAAACAAGUUGAUGGAAAUUGAACAAUUGCUUUUUGAAGUGGACCCAUUGAGUUAUGUUCAUUACUGGUCAUUGUCUAUUCUUUCUAAGAGCCACUUGUUUUGAGCAUUAGCAAUCCUAUCUGGACUACUCCAAUUAUUGAUGUAACUCUAAUGGCUGCAUCCACAGUUGAAUAUAUGAUAGUGUUAGCUCUUAUUUGAGAAUUCAGAGGGAUAUUUCUAUGUUUCUCAAUUGCAAUGUGCUAGUAUAAAUUUCUUUACCUUACAGUUUAUAUAGUCUUGCUGUUAAAGAACUCACUGAGGCAUUAUUGAUUCAAUUUCAGUGGAGCAAUCGCGGGUAGAGGAUAAAUAAAGGAUAACAGAACAGAGCUGAAGUGCUAAAUUGGCUAUUGAAGAAGGGUGUCACAUGAUCACAAUCACAUUGAUGCACAACUCUCUGGAGGCAAAUUUUGUCUAUAUGUACUCUAAAUUCAUCUAAACCAUACAUGCAUGAACAAAAAUUAAACCGUAGUUCUCAUCACAACAGUAAUUGAAGCUACAAAAGCCAGCAAAUCUGAACAAAAACUUAAAAGGAAGAUCUUAUUCAAAUUUGUCCCCAAAAGAGAGCUGAGAUGAAAAAUAUUGACUAAUGAAUGGGUCAAUGCUGGAUACAUUUCAAAUGGAAAGCUUGGCAGCAGUUACAAUGUUUCCCCCUCAGCUUUUCCUCCAAAACAAAUUCAGUUGUAAACAAUAACCGAAGUAGAGAUAAUUCAUUCAUCAAAGAAAAUACCCAAGUUUUCAACUAACAAAUCCUCUUGUCUAAACUAAAAAAACUCGUAUCUCUAAAAUUUAUUUGCAAAAUGUUGGAAAUGAGGAGUGAUCCGUUAACUCCAUAAAUAAACUCAUGCAUAAUGUUAACAAUAAUGAUAAAUUACAUAAUAAUUAUUGUAAAGAAUUAUAAAUUGGAAACGCUAAUCAUUCUACAAUCUAAUAAAUAAGUAAGAUAAAUCUUGUAAUAAGUUAAGUUAUAAUGUAUAAAUAUUUUCAAUAUAUAAUUAUUUAAGAAGUCAUUUAAUAAUAAAAUAUUUAUUCUAUUCAGUUGAUCAUAUAGCGUUAUCUAAACUCUUGACGAUAUUAUUAUUACACUUUUCUCAAAAAAACAUGAUUAACAUUUAGAGAAAAGUCAUGCCUUUUAGAUAGAAUAUGUACAUAAGCUAUCCAUACUUUAUCUUACCAUGAAAAAAUUGAUGGUGAUUAAAUCUACUUUUAAAAUAGAUUUAAUGCACAAAUAUGAUGAUUUUUGGCAAAAAUUAGUUUCGGAAGAUACAAUGGUAGAAAAUAGUGAUGAUUAUUGUUUAAAUGUGUAAAUAGCCUAGGCAUAGCCCGUAAUACCAAUAUCCAUUUACCUUCAUUUAGAUUAUCACAUCUCAUAAUAUUUUUUCAUUCACGACCAUUGUUCGAGAUUUGAACUUGAUCAUAAAUUAAGCUGCAACGGAGUCUACUUAUGUUUCUAAGCUUUUCAAUCGCGAUUCCUCCAUGCCUUUCUUGGAUACCAUUUUACUGACCUUGUAAUUGGUGUGUAUAAGGAAUCAUGCCCUUUCAGGAUUGUUUUCUUUUUCUUUUUUUUUUCCUUAUUGUAGUGUCAAAUAAAUAAAGAACGAACAAUUGAACUUAGUCUAUUUCGAGGAAAACCAAGGCCUGCAAUAUUAGAUGAACUUUGAACAAAAUUAAUCUACUGCUUUUAGGCAAUGAUAACGUAGUUAUUUAUAUACAGUAUAAAUGAUAUUUUUUUGUCGAACGAGACUGUCAUUCAACAUUUAAAAUAUAAAACAUGUGGAAGAUGUUGUAAAUUGAUUGAAUGAAAAUAUCCCAAUGAAGUUUAGAAAAUUUGGUACUUGUUAUCUUAUCGAAAGUUUUCUAAAUUAUACGACUGUUUAAACUUAGCCCCUCCAGGUACUGCCACUUCUUCUACAUGAAAGUCAUAUAAGUUUGUGUUAGCUGCCUAUAGAUUGCAUAACAAUUUUCCUCAGGAAUUGUUGUCCAUUAUGGCAAUUUGAUUGAAAGUGCGGCUGCACUAAUUUUCUAGAUGAACUUCCCUGCAUGUUUGUUCUCAUAUGACCCAGAAUACUGCUAUAACAAUUGUGUUGGAAAUUAUUCAACUGGGUUACUAACUUACUAUUCUACAUCCCCACCAAAAUUUAAACAGUCGACAUUGUGGAAAGAAACACAUUUCGCCACUAGGCUUUUAGUGAGGCUAAUUUCUCUGAAUUUGGACAGAGUAGGUCCUCCAACGAGAACUGAAUCAGGACGAAUCGGCUCUCCAUUUUCUAAUUCGAACGAGCAAAGGAAGCCUGAAUCUGUGACCGUUAUCAAUAUUCUGCUUCCAUUCUGAUUCUCAGGAAGUACUUCUUCAAGAUCAUCCAAUACAUCGUCACCCUCUUUGUAGUAAUCAUCAAGCACAACAAAGUACUUCUUGUUUGUUAGGUAAUCUCGAAGAAUAGAUUUCUUCAAUUGAUAAUCUUCACCGAUAAUUAAUCUUCAAUUGAUCAUAAAUUAAGCUGCAACGGAGUUUACUUAUGUUUCUAAGCUUUUCAAUCGUCAUUCCUCCAUGCCUUUCUUGGAUACCAUUUUACUGACCUUGUAAUUGGUGUGUAUAAGGAAUCAUGCCCUUUAAGGAUCUUUUUUAUUUUUUUUUUUCCUUAUUGUAGUGUCAAAUAAAUAAAGAACGAACAAUUGAACUUGGUCUAUUUCGAGGAAAACCAAGGCCUGCAAUAUUAGAUGAACUUUGAACAAAAUUAAUCUACUGCUUUUAUUCAUCUUUGGACUAUGAAUUUAUACAAAGACUUUAACAGAAAAUAACAAAGACACAGCUACAUGAUACCAAUAAGUGCUGACUUAGUGGACUACUUCUACAACUAAAUAAAAACUAAUUAUUUAUUUUGAUUGUAAUAGCAACUACCCUGAUGAAUAGGACUCCACAACAACCACGUGACAAUUAAUUUCUCCUUAAUAUUAUUAUUAGUAGAAGUAGAUUUUCAAACUAGUCUUGAUAUAUGACAAAGUUGUAUUAUCAAUGUAUAUGCAUUUAGAUUGUAACUAUAUUUUUUUUAAAACAAAUUUAAUUAUUGCACAGUAAAUGUGGAAAAAUAUCUAUAAAAUAAUAUUAUUUACUAUGAAAAAAUAUUAUUUUAGAUAAGUUAUUUAUUUAUUUAUUAUUGAAUGAAUAAUUUAUUAAUUUAUUGAUAAAUGAAUAUUUAUUAAUUUAAAGAGAGAUUAUUUUUCUUUUAAGAAGAGUUUGUUUGGUACAUGUAUACACUUAUUAAUUUAUUGAAGAUGUCCAGCAAUUAAAGAUCUCUGUCUCAAUACUUUUCCCAAUCAAAAUCAAGAAACAAAAAAAAACUUGCCAUUUUUCUACUUGAUAAUUAAUUGAAAUUUAAGAAAAUACAAUGGCAUUUCAAUUAGAAUUGGUAAUUGUUUAUCUUUUUUUCAUUGAUCAAAUUCAAAUCUUUAUCCAAUAGUUAUAAAUGAAAGAAAUAUUAUGAGAGGAGAUAGGCCAAUUGAAGCCGUACCAGCAAAUAAAAAAUAGAAAAGGAGUGCAACUAUUCAACUUCGUAGACAAUAUUGCAACCAUCCAAAGGUGAAGAUCUAUGCUUAUUAUCUAUUUAACAGCUAUAUAUAUAUAUAUUUAAAUAUCAAGAGCUAUGCUUGUAAAUAAGUUCAAAUGUGAUGAGAACAACCUUAUAUUUAUUUAUUUAAAUAUGACCCAGGCUAAUUUCUCUGAAUUGGGACAGAGUAGAUUUCUAAGCUAAUGCUUGGCAGAUCUCUGGACGAUACUACAAAGUGCAUGUACAUUGAGUCUUAAUAAAUAUAAACGAUUCUCUGAUAUGAUUCAAAACAUCACUACAUGCAUAAAUUAAUAAGAAAUGUAUAGUUGUACAUAAUUUUAUGCAUGAGGCAGUUUUUAUAGUUGUACCCUCUCUAAUGAAAUUGAAGGUGCAGCCAGCAACUAAAAUGAAGCAGAAAUGUACACGCAUGAGGCAGUUUUUUUAGAAGAUUGAUAUUUCUUUAACUAGAAAGCCAUACAAGUCCACAGCUAGCCAAACCGUACCUGCAUGUGUCUAGGGCUUAAAUGGAGCACUUCUAAGCAUAAAACAGUAACUAAAACACAUACACAAACAUACAUACCAAAAAAUUCAAAAAAUAGAGAAAGGAACACAACUAUUCAUGUUUGUAGACAAUAUUGCAACCAUGGCAUCAGUUAUAGCAAAUAUUGAAUUACAAUAUUUCCCUUGACGAUUUUGUCUACACAAGUAAAGGGAAAUAAGAAUCAUAGAUGAAAAUCAACUUUUACGGUUCUAAUUAUUAGAUAGAUACAGAAUGAUCUAUCUUUGUUACUUUGUUUCUCUGCUGCAAUGUGCGAUCCCACUCUGUUUUGAUACUCAAAUUGACUCUAUGUGGAGACAUAAUUUUGACAUUGGAAGCAAUCCCAAUUAGUUUGGCAUUUGUAUCACCCUUUGAAGGUUUUACAAUAGAUGCAAAUCUACUGAGAAAAUGGUAAAAAAGUUGCAUAUAAAAUGAGGCAAUUAACAGAAGUAUGAGUUAUCAGAUUAGAUUAAAAGUCACCCAAUUCAAUCUAUCAGAUUCCGUACGGAUAUAACUGGAUGUCAUACCUCCACUCCAUAUCCUCGAAAGUCCGUAGUCUUUGUCUCAACUCUGUUUGAGGCCAAUGUAAAUCCAAUUUGCACAAGCUCUUUAUGCACCAUAGCUCUUCUGGAAGCUUUCUCAAGUAAGCACACGGGUUGACAAUUAAGCUUUCAAGUUUUGGCAUAGCUCCUGCCCCCAUCGUCCACUCGUCUAGCCAAUACAUUGACUUCAGGUGCAAAGUCUUAAGUUCCGGAAAGCCACCAGAGCUAACGCAGGCCAGCUUUCUUCCUAAAUACGAGUUCUGCUUUAGUUUCAGCACUUGAAGGCGUGGAAGCUUUUCCAGCAUUGGCAUGGGAUCCUCCAUUAGCUCAGUAUUUGAUAAGCUCAGUUGCAUCAGACUUGGAGGAAAUUGGUAUUCAGACAGGACCAUCCGUGAGAGCUUGCUCUCAUUCACCAACUUCAAGCAUUCAAUUUUGUGGAGUUCGCAUACGCUUUUGGAAACCCCAGAGUGAUAGCAACUCAAAUCUCCAGACACUCUAAGAGUUUGAAGAUUAGGUAGUCUGCACAAUAUAUCUGGCGUGCAACUACUAGGGUGUAAGGCUGAUAUGAAAAUAAGAUUUUUCAGAUUGAUAGAAUAAUUUUUUGGAGGUGCAGGCAGAGUGAUGGAACCAAAGUUCAGAUGCAUGAGUUUUUGCAUCUUCCAAAUAUCCUCUGGUGUUUGAUCUACGUAGCUAGAUGGCAUGUCUAGUGUUUGAAGGUUUGAAAGGGUGCAUAGCGGUGAAGGAAGACAUUUGAGCGAAGGGAUAUUCAAUUUCAAAUACUUCAAAUGGAAUAAAUUUUCUAAUCCGGGUGGAUAUUGGUCCAGGACUGCAGAACCCAUGUUCAAUACCCGAAGGUGUUUGAACAUUUUACAAAAAUUCUCGCAAUCUAUCGGAUUAAGAUGAUCGCUUUCUGAACUGUGAUUCAGAAAAGAUUGGAGAUACAUGUCCGAAUGUUUCAAAGAAAAGAAUUCAAUCGGAUCAUCGAAAAUGAUGUACCGUUUGGCAUUUGCCAAUGAUUCCUCUUCGAAGUCAGGCGUCCGGACAAAUCCCAUCAUUGCUGCCGUCCCAAGUAACGCAGCAUAUGCAAAAGUUGGAACAUAACUGAUGGGUGUCGAAGCCAACAAAAAUAAAUUCCUACUCUAAAUAAAUUGUGUAUAGUGAUUGAGCAGGGUCGUGUCCACAGAGAUCGGUAAUUAUUUAAAUCCUUUUGAAACGUAAAACGUAAAAUGGGGGAAUUGUAGACAAUAAUAAAAAUCAAAUUAAAUAACAAGAAUGCAAAUUAAAGUUGUAAUUCAAAUUGGAGAAAGCUCUGGUUGAAGGAAUUAACUAAGCUUGAUUCGACUACUGAUCAUUGAUUCAAAUAUAGAUUAUUAUUACUCAUGAAUAGACCGGUUAUAGCUAUUGAGACCCUCUAAUAGCCAAUCUCUCCUUAACUAGUCGAUAACCAAGGUACGACCGUUGGAUAUUUCCCUAAUCAAUAGACAACCCUAGAUACGAUCAUAUGAUUUAAUCAAUUGACAGCCUGAAAAAUCAGAGAGACCCAAAUCCUAAUUAACACAUAUGAUGAUUCAUUUAAAUUAGAUUGUUUAUUCUCACAACACAACUCUCUGCUAUGUUAUUUGUCACAAACAUCAAAUUCUUCAUACGAUGAAUCCUUUAAUUGACAAUAGAUUAAGUUGAUAAUUAAAUAGUGGCCAAUUACCUAAUUAACAAACAUAAUCAUAAAAAUAAUUCAGAGAAUAAACAAAUACCCAAAAAGUAAUAAAACAAUUAAAGCACAAGAAAGAUCUCACAGUAGUGAUGAAUCAAAGCUUCAUUAACCUUCAACCAGAAAAAUGGGUUUAGUUCCUCAUAGAGAGAAUAGAAAAAUUAGAUCUAGGGUUCUUUUUCUCCAAUCCAAAAAUCCCCCUUUUUCACAAUAGAUUCUUCCCUUAAAUACUCUCUCUCUCUUCUCUUUUAGAAUUCUAUUUAAAAUAAAAUACUAAUAUCUGAAAUAUUAAAUUCGUAAUUACAAAAAUAACCAAAAAUACAAAACACGUUAAACUAAAAACUGCAGGUCCGCAGUUGACAGCACGCGCCCACGCCUUAUCAACAAAGUUCUUCUGACGCUCAUAAUUUCUCCAAGAGAACAAUCCUCCUUAAACAUCAUCUUUUAGCUCAAUUUUAUCACCAAUCAAUAGAAUUGCACCUACAAAAGUAAAACACAAGUAAAACAUUAUUAUUAAAUGCAAAACAUCGAUAUUAAGGGAAGUAAAUAAUGCAAAACUAGUGCAUAAAUUGCACUCUAACAAUAACACGCCUUACUUGUGCCUCCGGCUCUUCUCUUAUUCACUUGAAUGAAGCCGCAAUCGAUUAGUUCGUUCAAGUAAUGCUCGGCAGUUUCCUCACUGUUGUAUGGUGUGAAACCUUCAGCUACCCACAACUGAUAUAAUUGCCUGGUAGAUAUCUCAAUGCCUGGAUGGAACACACACAAAUAGAGGCAGCAGAUUUUCAAGUGAGCAGAUAGCUCCAACACAUAAUAAAUUCGACUCCAAGUUGUCAGAAACGCUUUUUCUCCCAUGUAAAUUCUUAAUGUCGUUUUUCCAUAGUAUAGGAUGAAAAAUUGCCAGGAUUCAUGCUUUAAUCUGAUCAAUGGUCCUCCAACGAGAACUGAAUCAGGACGAAUCGGCUCUCCAUUUUCUAAUUCGAACGAGCAAAGGAAGCCUGAAUCCGUGACCGUUAUCAAUACUCUGCUUCCAUUCUGAUUCUCAGGAAGUACUUCUUCAAGAUCAUCCAAUACAUCGUCACCCUCUUUGUAGUAAUCAUCAAGCACAAUAAAGUACUUCUUGUUUGUUAGAUAAUCUUGAAGAAUAGUUUUCUUCAAUUGAUAAUCUUCACCGAUAACUACACUAACCCGAGAUGGAGGCAUUACAGACUUGAUUAUGUCAUCCAAUAUCAUGCGAAAAUCGUAGGAUAUAGAAACCCUGACCCAAGCAUGACAGUCAAAAUAGAACUUGACAUGAUUAUUAUUGUAAGUAUCAGCCGCAAAAGCAGUCUUAUCAAAGCCACUGCUGUCGAGAAUUGCAACCACUGAAAGCUGAGGUUGUCCCUCGAUCAGUAAAUCAAACAACUCCUCUCUGCCGCUUUCAAAUUCAUUCUUAUUAAGCUGAAAUAAUAUCAACUUCGCUCUUUGAAAUCAAAACCAUUGUCUCUAGGUGGAAGUUGUUUCAACUGAUUUCUAAUAUCAAUGAUUUUACUGUGGAAUCCAACAAGAAGAGCAAUGCAAGUAGUGCUUUCACUUUCACUGCUUUGUUGCUGCGUGUUGUUGAUGAAGAAUGUGUCAAUAGCUUUCUCAGAUUCAUCGACAAAGUAAUUGAUGUCUUUCAGAAGUUCCCUAAUGUCUGUUCUUUUAACAUUUUCUAAGUGCAAGAGCUGCCGAUAACGCGAAGGUAUUUCGUCUUCAUCGAAUUGUUCUCUAAUGAGUUGAAUUAAAACCCGAGCCAUGUCAGCUUCAUAGUUUCCCGGCAGACUAGUAGCAAUAAUUUCGGACUCCGUAAGAAGGUUUUGAAAAAGUGGAGUUAAAUUUGUUGAAUCAGGCAAAGUUAACGUGCCUUCUUCACCUGCUAACACCCUCUGCAACCUCACACCAAAUAGGGUGAGGUUAAUUUCCAUAUCUUUCCCUCUCUCAGUAGUACUCAGAGGUGAAUAACAACCUCACCCUUUGUUAGUAUUGAUGACGAAAGCUGAAUAACAAAACAACAGUGUACACAAUCAACAGAAGGCAAAGUAUGUUAAUUUGAGAUCAAAGGAUAUAAAUAUAGGAAAAGUUUUUGUAGAUUGAAAAUGGAUGGAUGCAAAGAAUGACUGAUAUUAAAUGAUUCUAUAAAUGAGAUAUGCCAAGAAUGAAUGAUAUUAAGUGAACAUCAAGGAUGGGAACAAAAUUUAAAGGUAACCUUUUUUUUUUUUUAAGUACUCUGUUGAAAGCCAAAGUUCCUUUGGCCAAUUAAUUUAGAAGUGAAGGAAAGAAUAAAGUUAGUCCUUGAUGUCUUUUGAAAUUAGAAAUACAUUUUGAAUGCCUUAAUAGAUGCAGAGCAAACUGGCUCGAUAUCUAACUAUUUUAAGAGCUAAAAUCAUUUAUUAGAAGUUGUAGCAUUAAAAAAAAUGGGCUUGAUAUCCAAUUUUGUUAUUGAAUAUGUCUCACGUGAGAGUAUAUAACUGUUGUGUUACUGGCAGAUGGCUAUGCUAGGUUUUAUUGCUCCUUGAAUUUGAUUGAAAAAUUAUUGAGACGGACAAGUUUGGACCAUUGUUCGAGACUGAAACUACACAUCAGUCUUAGAAAAUUGUAAUUUUAUUGGCUUAUCAUGAUUUUCAUCGCCCCAUAUUGAUUUUCCUAUGAUGUCUCUGUAGAGUGGCUAUGCUUACAUUUUUAGGUAUUUACUUCUAAAGGUUAACUUAUUAGAUGGAGGGACCAAUUCUACCCAUAAAUCCAAGUGGCUUCCCUUUACUAACUCAUAUGAGACACAACAAUAAUUUUCUUUGGACAAAACCACUGUUGGAGGGUUAUUUUCAUUCAAGAUACAUGAGUUGUUCCACCACCAUAUUUUGAGGGUUUGCUUUGGAUAUGACUUGGGGGAGCUAAGGCUAAGAUUUCUGAGUAGCAACAUAAAAACCUUGCCUAUUGGAUGGAAGGACCAAUCCUACUUUAAAGUCUAAAUGACUAAUUCUUGAGGACACAACUCAACAGACCAAUAUAAACUUUUGACGUCCCAUUUUAUUACUUUCCAGUGCUUUUACUUUUGCUGUCUAGAUAAAAACUAGUAUCAGUUUUUUUAUUUUUCCAUGUUAAAAAUGAUAAUUCUACAAUACAAACCGUUUCAAACAAAGAAGUAGACGAUAUUGAUAUUGAAUAAUAUCUUAUCCCAGAACGACAAUACUAAUUAUAAUUUCUUUUCGCACUGCAAAAAGUAAAAAAUGAGAUCCAAAUUGAAAUUAAUUCGACAAAGAAGCAAACAUUUCUAAGAACAUAUUUUAUACAAGUUUAUAGACAUAUCAUAUGGAUUUUGUUUUAUGCUAGAUAAUUAUUAAUUUAUAUAGCAAGUGGGUCCAUAACAAAAUAUGAAUUUAAGAAGAAGAAAAACUAUGUUUUACAAAAUUUCUGAAAUUAUUAACUUUUCACUUCGUCCAUCACAAAAAUUAUUAUUUAAUUCAGAUUAUCAAUUUAUUAAGAAUUAAUUCAAUGAGAUUUUAACAUAAAUAGUUACUUAUUAUCAUGUUUACGUUUCUCAACCAUUAAUUGCUUCAACUAAUUUUUGUUUCCACACACAAAUUUAUUGUAAAAAUAGUUCAACGUGUGUCUUUCUUCAAAUAACAAUUUUCUUGCCAAAAACAGUUUUCUUGUCACAAACAGAAAGUUUGUGUUAGCUGAAUGUCAUAUAAAAAACUGCCACUUCUUCUACAUGAAUGUCAUAUAAAUUUGUGUUAGCUGCCUAUAGAUUGCAUAAUAAUUUUCCUCAGGAAUUGUUGUCCAUUAUGGCAAUUUGAUUGAAAGUGAGGCUAAUUUCUCUGAAUUUGGACAGAGUAGGUCCUCCAGCGAGAACUGAAUCAGGACGAAUCGGCUCUCCAUUUUCUAAUUCGAACGAGCAAAGGAAGCCUGAAUCUGUGACCGUUAUCAAUACUCUGCUUCUAUUCUGAUUCUCAGGAAGUACUUCUUCAAGAUCAUCCAAUACAUCGUCACCCUCUUUGUACUAAUCAUCAAGCACAAUAAAGUACUUCUUGUUUGUUAGGUAAUCUCGAAGAAUAGAUUUCUUCAAUUGAUAAUCUUCGCCGAUAAUUACACUAACCCGAGAUGGAGGCAUCACAGACUUGAUUAUGUCAUCCAAUACCAUGCGAAAAUCGUAGGAUAUAGAAACCCUGACCCAAGCAUGACAGUCAAAAUAGAACUUGACAUGAUUAUUGUUGUAAGUAUCAGCAGUAAAAUCAGUCUUAUCGAAGCUACUGCUGUCGAGAAUUGGCUUGCAACCACUGAAAGCUGAGGUUGUCCCUCAAUCAAUAAAUCAAACAACUCCUCUCUGCCGCUGUCAAAUUCACUCUUAUCGAGCUGUGAUUGUGCCUCAAUCAAUAAGUGAGUGAAUUCGUUCCUUCGUUCUCUGAAAUCAAAACCAUUGUCUUCAGGUGGAAUUUGUUGCAACCGAUUUCUAAUAUCAAUGAUUUCACUGCUUUGCUGCUGCGUGAUGUUGAUGAAGAAUGUGUCAAUAGCUUUCUCAGAUUCACGGACAAAGUAAUUGAUGUCUUUCAGAAGUUCCCAAAUGUCUGUUCUUUUAGCAUUUUCUAAGUGAGCUGCCGAUAACGCGAAGGUAUUUCGUCUUCAGCGAAAUGUUCUCUAAUGAGUUGAAUCAAAACCCGAGCCACGUCAGCUUCAUAGUUUACCAGCAGAGUAUUAGCAAUAAUUUCGGUCUCCGUAAGAAGGUUUUGAAAAAGUGGAGUUAAAUUUGUUGAAUCUGGCAGCGGCAACGUGCCUUCUUCACCUGCUAACACCCUUUUCAACCUCACACCAUAUAGUGUGAGGUUAAUUUCCAUAUCUUUCCCUCUCUCAGUAGUACUCAGAGGUACGUAUUGUUAUUUGUUAGUGUUGAUGACGAAAGCUGAAUAUCAAAGGAUAUAAAUAAAACAAAAGUUUUUGUAGAUUGAGAAUGGAUGGAUGCAAAGAAUGGCUGAUAUUAAAAUAUUCUAUAAAUGAGAUAUGCAAAGAAUGAAUGAUAUUAAGUGAACAUCAAGGAUGGGAACAAAAUUUAAAGGUAACUUUUUUUUUUUUUUAAAGUAGUCUGUUGAAAGCCGAAGUUCCUUUGGCCAGUUAAAGUUAGUCCUCGACGUCUUUUGAAAUUAGAAAUACAUUUUGAAUGCUUUAAUAGAUGCAGAGCAAACUGGCUCGAUAUCUACCUAUUUUAAGAGCUAAAAUCAUUUAAUAGAAGUUGUAGCAUUAAAAAAGAAAAAAAAAACUGGCUUGAUAUCCAAUUUUGUUAUUGAAUAUGUCUCAUGUGAGAGUAAAAAAAACUGGCUUGAUAUCCAAAAUUUAAAGGUAACUCCUUGAAUUUGAUUGAAAAAUUAUUGAGACGGACAAGUUUGGACCAUUGUUCGAGACUGAAACUACACAUCAGUCUUAGAAAAUUGUAAUUUUGUUGGCUUAUCAUGAUUUUCAUCGUCUCACAUUGAUUUUCCUAUGGCGUCUCUGUAGAGUGGCUAUGCUUACAUUUUUAGGUAUUUAAUUCUAAAAAUUAACUUAUUAGAUGGAAGGACCAAUUCUACCUGUAAAUCCAAGUGGCUUCCCUUUACCAACUCAUACAAGACACAACAAUAAUCUUCUUCGGAAAAAACCACCGUCGGAGGGUUAUUUUCGUUCAACAUAAAUGAGUUGUUCCGCCACCAUAUUUUAAAGGUUUGCUUCUAAUACAACUUGGGGGAGCUAGGGCUAAGAUUUCUAAGAAUCAACAUAAAACCCUCGCCUAUUAGACAGAAGGACCAAUCCUACUUAUGAGUCUAAAUGACUAAUUUUUGAGGACACAACUCAACAGACCAAUAUAAACUUUUGACGUCCCAUUUUAUUACUUUCCUGUGUUUUUACUUUUGAUGCUGUCUAUAGCCCUACUAUUCUAUUAAGCAGAAAAUAUUUCAAGGCACUCUCGGUCCAGUAGAUAACUUUGGUAUUUAUUAUCUAUUUUCUUUCCAUUUUAUGUAUACCCCGAUCUUUACCUCUGAUUGGUUGUAGAUUCUUUUGUUGCUUUGGGGUUAGGGGAUGGUUUUCAUAACUAUUCAGUUGAUCAAUGCAGAAAAUCACCAUCAAGAAAUGAUAAAGGAUUGUUAGUUCUAUCUCUGACAAACAACAUUAAUAUGAAGGAUGAUGAUUGUUCUGUUCAAGAGUUUAUAAUGACAUAAUUCUACUUUGGUCUUUUAAAAAAAGUAAUUUAGAAACGAGGAGUAUGUGAGUGAUGAUUUUUACAAAAUAAAUUACAUGCGUAGUGAUGAUUUUGGCACAUGAAAAUGAAAAAAGAAAUAUAAAUUGUGAAUAAUAAUUGAAGAACCUGCUAUUGGUAUAUUGAGUAAUCAAGGACUUCAAUAUUCGGACGAUAUAAGCAACACAAUCAAAUAUUAGUUGGAAGGCAUAGCAAAAUUAGAAUGUAGAACAAACUGGGUAUUGAUAAAUGGAUGGUUUUGGAAGAAUUGAAAAUGAUGGCAUAAGUAAACCAAAGUUUAGAGAAAAGAGAAAGAGCAUUUGAACUUUACUUGUAAGAAAAGGCAAAUAUCUUGGUUCAAGAAAAGAUAAGAGAUAUCAAACUAGCAAUAGGAAAAAGGAGGAAGGUUAAGACAGCAUCUUAACAAAAGCUAAAGAAAAGAAAAACUUAGUUCAAGCAAAGAACAAUGUGCUAAUGUCGUGUAAUUUUGUUUAAUUUCUUUUUCUUCUCACAUUUUCCAGGGCUUAAAUAAUACAAUAUACAUUUUCAAGCAAAGAACAAUAUGCAAUUGCAGUACUUCUGAGCACACAACAACAAAUAAAUAAUACAAUAUACAUAGCCAGUAAAUUAAAAAUAUAUAUAUUAUUCAAGUUUGUGGACAAUACUGUAGCCAUGGCGUCGUCGAAAUCUACUGACAGCUGAAACAAAGAAAGAAUGGAUGAAUGCUGGAUCACAGUUGAAAUUGAAGGUCUGGUAGGUGAUGUUUCCCUCUCUUUUUUUACCUAAACAAAUACAAGAAAAUCAGAAUCACAAAUGAAAAUCUGCUAUUACACUGUUCUUACCUAUUAAAAUACAGAGGUUUCUUUGUUUCUCAGCAGCAAUGUCCAUGGCUAUUAGAAACAAGAACAAUUAGACCAGCAUUUGCAAGAAUCCUGUAAGGUAUUACUGCAGAUAUAAAUCGACUGAGGAAAUGGAAAAAUUGAAUACCAAAUUAGGCAAGUUAAAUGAAGAUUGAGUUAUCAUAGAAGAAUAAAACUCAUCCAAUUCAAUCCAUCAAAUUCCAUAAGGAUACAACUGGAUGUCAUACUGCUGCUCCAUAUCCUCAAGAGCCCGUAGAUUUUGCCUCAACUCUGGCUGAGGCCAAUGUAAGUCCAAUUUGCAAAAGCUCUUUAUGCACCAUAGCUCUUCAGGAAGCUUUCUCAAGUAAGCACAAGGGUUGACAAUUAUGCUUCCAAGUUUUGGCAUUGCUCCAGCCCCUAUCGUCCACUCCUCUAGCCAAUACAUUGAUUUCAGGUGCAAUACCUUGAGCUCCGGGAAACCACAAGAGCAAACACAAGCCAGUUUUCUUCCUGAAUAUGAGUUCUGCUUCAAUUUCAGCACUUGAAGGUGUGGAAGCUUGUCUAGUGUUAGCAUGGUAUCCUCCAAUAACUCAGUAUUUGAUAAGCUUAGAUGGAUCAGACUUGGAGAAGCUGGUAUUUAGACAGGGCCAUCCGAGAGAGCUACCACCUCUUGGUUUCGUUCACCAGCUUCAAGCAUUCAAGUUUAAUAAUGAUUAGUUUUAGAUUAGUUAAAAUGUAAUCAUGAUUAAGAUAAAUAUAUAUAUAUAUAUAGCUGCUGUACUGAUAUCAUGGAUUAAGUGUUGAGAAAUAAAAUUCAUUAAGCAUUUCCAGAACUCUUGAUUUUCUUUCUCAGUAACCAAGCAACUUCAAUCACAUUUUUUUUUUCCAACAAUGAGUUCUCAAACCACUCAGGUAUCAUUUUCAGACAUUCUUGGCCUUGUACUCACCAUCAAAAUGGAUUGGUUGAGAGAAAACAUAGGCAUAUUGAUGGUUGUCGAAGCCAGCAAAAAUAAACACCUACUCUAAAUAAAUUGUGUAUAGUAAUUGAGCAGGGUCGUGUCCACGAAAAUCGGUAAUUAUUUAAAUCUUUUUAAAAUGUAAAAUACAAAAUGGGGGAAUUGUUGACGAUAAUAAAAAUCAAAUUAAAAUAACAAGAAUGCAAAUUAAAGUUGUAAUCCAAAUUGGAGAAAGCUCUGGUUGAAGGAAUUAACUCAGCUUGAUUCGACUACUGAUCAUUGAUUCAAAUAAAUAUUAUUACUACUUAUGAAUAGACCGGUUAUAGCUACUGAGACCCUCUAAUAGCCAGUCUCUCCUUAACUAGCCGAUAACCAAGGUACGACCUUUGGUUAUUUCCCUAAUCAAUAGACAACCCUAGAUACGAUCAUAAGAUUUAAUCAAUUGACAGUCUGAAAAACCAGAGAGACCCAAAUCCUAAUCAACAAACACAUACGAUGGUUCAUUUAAAUUAGAUUGUUUAUUCUCACAACACAACUCUCUGCUAUGUUAUUUGUCACAAACAUUAAAAUUUUCAUACGAUGAAUCCUUUAAUUGACAUUAGAUUAAGUUGAUAAUUAAAUAGUGGCCAAUUAUCUAAUUAACAAAAAUAAUCAUGAUAAUAAUUCAGAGAAUAAACAAAUACCCAAAAAGUAAUAAAACAAUUAAAGCAUAAGAAAGAUCUCACAGUAGUGAUGAAUCAAAGCUUCAUUAACCUUCAACCAGAAUAAUAAGUUUAGUUCUUCAUAGAGAGAAGAGAAAAAUUUAGAUCUAGGGUUUUCUCUUUUCCCCAAUAAGUCCCUUUUUUCACAAUAGAUUCCUCCCUUAAAUACUCUCUCUCUCUUCUCCUCUAGAAUUCUAUUUAAAAUAAAUACUAAUAUCUGAAAUAUUAAAUUCGUAAUUACAAAAAUAACCAAAAAUACAAAACACGUUAAACUAAAAACUGCAGGUCCGUAGUUGACAGCACAAGCCCACGCCUUAUCAACAAAGUUCUUCUGACGCUCAUAAUUUCUCCAAGAGAACAAUAAUCCUUAAACAUCAUCUUGUAGCUCAAUUUUAUCACCAAUCAAUAGAAUUGCACCUACAAAAGUAAAACACAAGUAAAUCACUAUUAUUAAGUGCAAAACAUCGAUAUUAAGGGAAGUAAACAAUGCAAAACUAGUGCAUAAAUUGCACUCUAACAAUUAAGUUUGACUCUGUUGGCUCAAGCUCAACUUCCUUUUAAAUUCUGGUGGGAUGCAUUCCAUACUGCUCUAUAUCACAUCAAUAGAUUACCAUCUUCUGUUUUCAAACUUUCGACCCCAUAUGAGAAGAUAUUUAAGCACAAACCUGAUUAUGAUUUUCUCAAAUGUUUUGGUUGUAUUUGUUAUCCUUACUUGAGAGACUAUAACAAACAUAAGUUUGCCUACCAUUCCAGUAAGUGUAUAUUCAUUGGUUAUAGUCCUUCACAAAAGGGUUAUAAAUGCUUACAUUCUUCAGGUCAUGUCUAUGUGGCAUGACAUGUUAUCUUUGAUGAGUCAACCUUUCCUUAUGCUACUGAAUCUGUUUUUCAUAGUCACACAAAUUCUGAUUCUCAUUCUUCAAACUUAUUUACUCCACAGCAUGUCUAUUAUCUUUCUACUUUACCUGUCAUACCAGUAUUUCUAAAUAACAACACUGAUAAUCUAAACUCUACAAAACUAAAAUGCCAGCUUUUUGGUGUUAGCGAUAGGAAACAACUUACCACAACCAUUAAUUAUCCAUAAUUUCAUUGUUUAUCCUCAGUUUUCUUCAUAAAUGUUACAGCAUUCUUCAUGAGAAAGUGCAAGGGCAUCUCAAAAGUUCUGAAAUAAUACCUCAAUUCUAUUGCAAAAAUAAAUAAUCUCAAACAAGAACCAAUAAUCAUAUUUCGUUACUGUCAAACACAAUGCAUCUGAGCAAAACAUUGGAAGCCAACACCAGAAUACAUAUGAAUAAACAAUUAAAGAUAGAGAAAAAAGGCUUAAACCUUGGGGGAAAAAAGUGAAAAAACAUGAAAGACAAAUUACACAUGUGCAGUAACCAUCGAACUUAUCAGUGACAGCUGCAUCCAUUACAUUGCUCCAACAACACAAUGGCAAACCACCAGUUUCAAAUUGAGGAUAGCUCUCGAGAAUGAGAAAGUGUCCAAAACGUCAUAAAUAGACAUGUUCCUAUUGUGCAUAAUUUACAUUAUAGGCAAAUAUUCUUAUACCAUCAAAGGCAAAACAUGACACUAACAAUUGGGAAUCCACUCCCCCCUUUUCCUUUUUUACCCUCAUAAUUAAAAUAAAUAAAUAAUAUUUAAUAAAAUAAAUAAUAUCAUAUUUAUUAAAAAUAAUAAUUAUAAACAUAUUUAUUUUAUUAAAUUUAAUAAAAUAAAAAUAAAUAAAUAUUAUAUUUAAAUUAAUAAUAUUAAACAUUAUUUUAAUAAAUAUUAAUUAAUUAUUUAAUUAAUAAUAAUAAAUAUUUUAUUCUAAGAAAAUAUUAAUUUUGUACUAUAUUAUCAAUAAUAAUGUUUCAUUUGUGUUGCUAUUAUUAAUAAUUUUUAUUCACAUAAUUUAAAUUAAAAUUAAUAAAAAAUUAUGAUUUACAUAAUUAAGAAUAUUAUUAAUUAUUAUUAAUUUAUAAAUAUAAUAAAAUAUUUAUUUUAUUUUUCAAAUAUAUUUUUUAUUAAUUUUGUAAUUACAAAUUAUAAUUCUUUAAAUAAGGGUAAAAUUGUAAUUUAAAACUAUUUACUUCCAAUCCAAGACAAUGUAAACACAUAAAUUGGAUUCUGGUUUCAAUUCCAUUCUCUCAUUCCAUUGUAAGUAAACAACCUACUCCAACUCCCACUCCAAACUCCCAAUCUUAGGAUUCCCACUCCUCAGGAUUCCCACUCCAAUCCAAAAUGUAAACGCAUAUAAAAGUAUUUUGAGCAUUACUGGUCAUUGUCUUUCUAUGAGCCACUUAUUUUGAGCAUUAGCGACCUUAUAAGGAAUCAUGCCUUUUCAGGAUCGUUUUCUUUCAUUUCCCUAUUGUCGUAGUUAAUUAAAUAAAGAACGAACAGCUGAACUUGGUCUAUUUCGAGGAAGACCAAGGCUUCCAAUACUAGAGGAACUUUGAAGAAAAUUAAUUGGAAGCCUUCAUUCAUCUUUGAAGAAAAUUACGUGCCAACGUAACCAAGGCUUUUAUUCAUCUUCGGACUAUGAAUUUAUACAAAGACAUUAACAGAAAAUAACAAAGACACAGCUAAAUGAUAGCAGCAAGUGCUGAUUUAGUGAACCACUUUUACAAGUAAAUAAAAAGUAAAUAUUUAUUUUGACUAUAACAACAACUACCCUCUUGAAUAGGACUCUACAGCAGCCACGUGACAACUAAUUUUUCCAUAAUAUUAUUAUUAGUAGAAGUAGAUUUUCAAACUAGUCUUGAUAGAUUUCAAAGUUGUAUUAUCAAUGUAUAAGUAUCUAGAUUGUAACUAUAUUUUUAAAAAUAAAAUAUUUUAAUUAUUGCACAGUAAAUGUAGAAGAAUAUCUGUAAAAUAAUAUUAUUAGGACUAAGAAAAAAUAUUAUUUCAGAUACGUUAUUUAUUUAUUAUUGAAUUAAUAAUUUAUUAAUUUAUUGAUAAAUGAAUAUUUAUUAAUUUAAAGAAAGACUUUUUUGGUUUUAUGAAGAGUUUGUUUGGUACAUGCACACACUUAUAAAGAAACAUAAAAAGUGCUUCCUCAAGUCAAUGGUAUUUGCUCUAAUCGCUACGAUUCAUAAUAAUAUAGCUUAGUUAGGAAAUUUGUAAUUAUAAUAUGAUUCUUUUAAUACAACUUUUCAAGUAGAGCUUAUUUAAGUAGAGAUUUUGUUAAUAGAGGUAUUAUAAAUAAAGAUUCCACUAAAAAAAAUUUAGUUGUUUGAUUAUAAUGUCCAAAUUGAUGAACUUUUAUUCUUUUGUUAACAUCUGUUUGUUUUACUUAAUAAUAAAAGUUUAGUUUACAAUUACACCGGUAUCAAAUCAGCAGAGCAUUGUUGUUUUACUUUAUAAAAGCAUCGGCAAGAGUUUUCGAUUGUUGCAACUUGCAAUGCACGCGGUGAGAGAAAAUGAGAAUCUUGUUUAAUUGUCAAUAAUGACAAACCUAAUCCUUUCAUUAGGAGUAAUUUAAUAAUCGUUUGUUAUAAUUGAAUAGGUAUAAAGAAAGGACAAUUCUAUUCAUAGAUUCGACUUAUUUUUUUGUUUAAAGUAAGUAAUCAUUCAACCAUCUUCAUUUGCCUCUGGCCAAUGCCCUAGUAGAUUAGUUGAAGCGUUAAUUACUUAAUUCAGAUAAUUACAACGUCCUUUUCGCUAAUUAAUUAUGAUUAUGUACAUUUUCAUAUAGCAAGUGGCAUUGUAGAUAUAAACUAAGUUGCUAUUUCAAUACGUUAAUCAAGUGAUUCUCCUCAUUGUCAUCAGCGUCAUACCCUCUAGGAAAAUAGCUCAAUUGUUUCCAUGCAUUGAUUUUCAUUGGUAUGUGAUUUCAGAUUUCUUAUGAAAUUCUUUUGAGCUUUCCUUAUUAAUUGAUUUUCAAUUAACUUGUGAACGAUUUUAUACCCUCUCUUUUUUUUUUUUUUAAGUACUCUAUUGAAAGCCAAAGUUCCUUUGGCCAGUUAAUUUAGAAGUGAAGGAAAGAAUAAAGUUAGUCCUCGACGUCUUUUGAAAUUAGAAAUACAUUUUGAAUGCUUUAAUAGAUGCAGAGCAAACUGGCUCGAUAUCUAACUAUUUUAAGAGCUAAAAUCAUUUAAUAGAAGUUGUAGCAUUAAAAAAAAAAAAAACUGGCUUGAUAUCCAAUUUUGUUAUUGAAUAUGUCUCAUGUGAGAGUAAAAAAAAACUGGCUUGAUAUCCAAAAUUUAAAGGUAACUCCUUGAAUUUGAUUGAAAAAUUAUUGAGACGGACAAGUUUGGACCAUUGUUCGAGACUGAAACUACACAUCAGUCUUAGAAAAUUGUAAUUUUGUUGGCUUAUCAUGAUUUUGAUCGCCUCACAUUGAUUUUCCUAUGGCGUCUCUGUAGAGUGGCUAUGCUUACAUUUUUAGGUAUUUAAUUCUAAAAAUUAACUUAUUAGAUGGAAGGAACAAUUCUACCUGUAAAUCCAAGUGGCUUCCCUUUACCAACUCAUACAAGACACAACAAUAAUCUUCUUCGGAAAAAACCACCGUCGGAGGGCUAUUUUCGUUCAACAUAUAUGAGUUGUUCCGCCACCAUAUUUUAAGGGUUUGCUUCUAAUACAACUUGGGGGAGCUAGGGCUAAGAUUUCUAAGUAUCAACAUAAAAACCUCACCUAUUGGAUAGAAGGACCAAUCCUACUUAUAAGUCUAAAUGACUAAUUUUUGAGAACACAACUCAACAGACCAAUAUAAACUUUUGACGUCCCAUUUUAUUACUUUCCAGUGCUUUUACUUUUGCUGUCUAUAGCCCUACUAUUCUAUUAAGCAGAAAAUAUUUCAAGGCACUCUCGGUCCAGUAGAUAACUUUGGUAUUUAUUAUCUAUUUUCUUUCCAUUUUAUGUAUACCCCGAUCUUUACCUCUGAUUGGUUGUAGAUUCUUUUGUUGCUUUGGGGUUAGGGGAUGGUUUUCAUAACUAUUCAGUUGAUCAAUGCAGAAAAUCACCUUCAAGAAAUGAUAAAGGAUUGUUAGUUCUAUCUGGCAAACAACAUUAAUAUGAAGGAUGGUGGUUGUUCUGUUCAAGAGUUUAUAAUGACAUAAUUCUACUUUGGUCUUUUAAAAAAAGUAAUUUAGAAACGAGGAGUAUGUGAGUGAUGAUUUUUACAAAAUAAAUUACAUGCGUAGUGAUGAUUUUGGCACAUGAAAAUGAAAAAAGAAAUAUAAAUUGUGAAUAAUAAUUGAAGAACCUGCUAUUGGUAUAUUGAGUAAUCAAGGACUUCAAUAUUCGGACGAUAUAAGCAACACAAUCAAAUAUUAGUUGGAAGGCAUAGCAAAAUUAGAAUGUAGAACAAACUGGGUAUUGAUAAAUGGAUGGUUUUGGAAGAAUUGAAAAUGAUGGCAUAAGUAAACCAAAGUUUAGAGAAAAGAGAAAGAGCAUUUGAACUUUACUUGUAAGAAAAGGCAAAUAUCUUGGUUCAAGAAAAGAUAAGAGAUAUCAAACUAGCAAUAGGAAAAAGGAGGAAGGUUAAGACAGCAUCUUAACAAAAGCUAAAGAAAAGAAAAACUUAGUUCAAGCAAAGAACAAUGUGCUAAUGUCGUGUAAUUUUGUUUAAUUUCUUUUUCUUCUCACAUUUUCCAGGGCUUAAAUAAUACAAUAUACAUUUUCAAGCAAAGAACAAUAUGCAAUUGCAGUACUUCUGAGCACACAACAACAAAUAAAUAAUACAAUAUACAUAGCCAGUAAAUUAAAAAUAUAUAUAUUAUUCAAGUUUGUGGACAAUACUGUAGCCAUGGCGUCGUCGAAAUCUACUGACAGCUGAAACAAAGAAAGAAUGGAUGAAUGCUGGAUCACAGUUGAAAUUGAAGGUCUGGUAGGUGAUGUUUCCCUCUCUUUUUUUACCUAAACAAAUACAAGAAAAUCAGAAUCACAAAUGAAAAUCUGCUAUUACACUGUUCUUACUUAUUAAAAUACAGAGGUUUCUUUGUUUCUCUGCAGCAAUGUCCAUGGCUAUUAGAAACAAGAACAAUUAGACCAGCAUUUGCAAGAAUCCUUUAAGGUAUUACUGCAGAUAUAAAUCGACUGAGGAAAUGGAAAAAUUGAAUACCGAAUUAGGCAAGUUAACUGAAGAUUGAGUUAUCAUAGAAGAAUAAAACUCAUCCAAUUCAAUCCAUCAAAUUCCACAAGGAUACAACUGGAUGUCAUACUGCUGCUCCAUAUCCUCAAGAGCCCGUAGAUUUUGCCUCAACUCUGGCUGAGGCCAAUGUAAGUCCAAUUUGCAAAAGCUCUUUAUGCACCAUAGCUCUUCAGGAAGCUUUCUCAAGUAAGCACAAGGGUUGACAAUUAUGCUCCCAAGUUUUGGCAUUGCUCCAGCCCCUAUCGUCCACUCCUCUAGCAAAUAAAUUGAUUUCAGGUGCAAUACCUUGAGCUCCGGGAAACCACAAGAGCAAACACAAGCCAGUUUUCUUCCUGAAUAUGAGUUCUGCUUCAAUUUCAGCACUUGAAGGUGUGGAAGCUUGUCUAGUGUUAGCAUGGUAUCCUCCAAUAACUCAGUAUUUGAUAAGCUUAGAUGGAUCAGACUUGGAGAAGCUGGUAUUUAGACAGGGCCGUCCGAGAGAGCUACCACCUCUUGGUUUCGUUCACCAGCUUCAAGCAUUCAAGUUUGUGUAGUUCGCAUAGGCUUUUGGAAACCCCAGAACGAUAAUAACUCAAACCUCCAGAUACUAAGAGUUUGAAAAUGAGGUAGUCUGCCUGUUAAAGUAGCUCACUAUGCUGAACGAAAGAAGGAGAAAGCUAAGCUGAAGAAAAUACAGGGCAAGAGUAUUAGCUGUGCCAGCUCAACUGACAGCUCAGCAAAAUCAGUUAAAUUUUGUUACAAGCUCCCUGUGCAUUGUGCUGAAGAUUAGUUAGUUUAAUAAUGAUUAGUUUUAGAUUAGUUAAAAUGUAAUCAUGAUUAAGAUAAAUAAAUAAAUAUAUAUAUAGCUGCUGUACUGAUAGGGCAUCUCAAAAGUUCUGAAAUAAUACCUCAAUUCUAUGGCAAAAAUAAAUAAUCUCAAACAAGAACCAAUAAUCAUAUUUCGUUACUGUCAAACACAAUGCAUCUAAGCAAAACAUUGGAAGCCAACACCAGAAUACAUAUGAAUAAACAAUUAAAGAUAGAGAAAAAAGGCUUAAACCUUGGGGGAAAAAAGUGAAAAAACAUGAAAGACAAAUUACACAUGUGCAGUAACCAUCGAACUUAUCAGUGACAGCUGCAUCCAUUACAUUGCUCCAACAACACAAUGGCAAACCACCAGUUUCAAAUUGAGGAUAGCUAUCGAGAAUGAGAAAGUGUCCAAAACGUCAUAAAUAGACAUGUUCCUAUUGUGCAUAAUUUACAUUAUAGGCAAAUAUUCUUACACCAUCAAAGGCAAAACAUGACACUAACAAUUGAUCCCCCCCCAAAACCAAAAAAAAGGAAAAAACAAUACAGAAAAGAUUGAAACAGAUAAGGCUACACUGAGCACAGGAUGCCAUGAAACAUAAUCCAGGAACCAAAUUAAUAAAAAAGGAAGCCAAACCAUUAUUUAACAAUCUGUUUUGUAUUUGGGAAAGUCUGAUAAAAUCUACUUAGGGAUAAUUAGAGAACCUCAACUAUUAAUCACACCUCAUAAAUGAACUAACAUUAACCAUCUACCAUCCCCACGUCACACAAACAUUCUCUAUACUUCUGAACCUAAUCCAUCUUCAAUUGGGGUUUUUUUUUUUUUUUUUGGGUGGCGGGGGGGGGGAGCUAUCAAUUUUCUAAGCUUGCUUAGCUUCUGUGUGGGAUUGAAAUGCUGAUUUCAAAUCACUAACAGUAAAAUUGGAAGCUCAUGAAAAAACAGUUUUAUCUCAAAAUUACAUCUCGAUAUAAAUUCUCUUUUCAUUUCCUUCAACUUUCUAAUUAAGCUUAAAAAAUGUACCUUCAACCACAAAGGGGUUUAAAAUUUAAAAUAUAAAAAAUAAAUUCAGAUAACAAUAAUUAAUUUAAUUAAAAAUAUAAAUAGAGUUACAGAGAAAGAGAAAUUAGAGAAAGACCUAAUGUUGAGUCCUUUGGCGCAUGUCUCUUCAUAGGUCCGAACCAUUUCUUCGGGCGUGGGUUACGGCCGAGAUUGGAUAAUGAUGGAGGAGGAGAAGAUUAGCGAUGACGACGCCGAUGAAAUGGAAGGGUUUACCAGAGGAGUGGAUGCGAAGAGUGCAGGGACGGCCGCAGAGAGAGAGCAGCGGAGUGCGGCGACGGACGGUAGUGACCAGCGGAGGCGGAAGAUGGCGGUAUGGGCCAUUGCUUGCGCGUCGGUGAGUGUCUCGAGUGAGAGAGUGAAACCUCUACUUAAAUAAGUUCUACUUGAAAAACCGUACCAAACGGAGCUUAAAGUUAAUAGUCUCGUAUCUCCCGCAUUUGAUAUCUUAUUGGCAUCAGCGUGUUACCUAAGAUUGGGAUUCAUUAAAAUCCUCAAUGUAAUCGGUGGAACGAAUGGAUUUCUUCUGUUCACCUAUCCACCAAAAUUUCUGUAAUUAAAUUCAAAAGUCAAGAUCUAUGCUUAUUAUCUAUUCAACAGCUAAUAUUCUAAUUUAUAUUUACUUAAAUAUGAAGAGCUAUGCUUGUAAUUAACUUCAAAUGUGAUCGAAGCAGCCUUACAUCUGUAUAUUACUUAUUCCCAACCUUUUUUUUGACUUCAUAUACUUUCUUUUCAUGUUAUUUACUCUUUUUUUUCCCCUCUCUGACAAUUGAGGUAGGGGGUCAAACUUGAAAGUAUCUUAAAAUCAGACAUUUUUUUUUAAUAAUAACCUAGUUGUUUGCAUUAGAAAUGAUAUUUUUUGUGGUGCUGAUAAAGAGGUUAAUUAUGAUUCAACAAUUUAAAAUAUGAAAACAUGUGGAAGACGGCCGCAAUUAAAUUGAUUGUAUGAAAAUAUUUCAAUGAAAGUUUAAAAAUUUAGUACUUGUUAUCUUAUCGAGAGUUUUUUAAAUUAUAUUACUACUUGAACUUGACUGCUUUUGUAUUGAAUUCCUAGCGUUGACAUUGCUUCUACUCAAAAGCCAUUUAAGUUUGUGUAAGCUACCUGUAGUUUGAACAACAAUUUACUCAUGAAUUCUUGUUCAUAAUAGCAAUUUGAUUGAAAGUGCGGCUGCACUAAUUUUCUAGAUGAAUUUUUUCCUACAUGCUUGUUCUCGUAUGACCCAAAAUCCUGCUACAUCAGUUGUAUUAGAAAUUAAUCAACUGGGUUACAAUUAUGCAUCCCCACCAAUAUUUAAGCAAUUUAAUUACAGAAACAUUUCUUGAGGAAAGAAACUCAUAUCGGCACUAGGCUUUCAAUGAGGCUCAUUUUUAUGAAUCUGGAUAGCAUUAGAUAUCUCUCCGAAUAAUGGUGGGAGUAGAUCGCAGAUCUGGCUAUACUACAAAGUGUAUGUACGUUGACUCUCAAUAAAUACAAAUGAUUCUCUGAUAUUUUUUUUUUUGAUAUUAAUCACGAGAUAUCCUGAGGAGGGCCCCAACUGUGGGAGGCACCUUUAAGCCCGUACCACAACUCAGACUAGAAGUCCCCGCUCGAACCGGGAGGCACAGGUUCUCCCAACAAAGGCGACUUCCCUGCGACUCGAACUGAGGAGCAAACUCAGUCAAUGAUUCUCUGAUAUGAUUCAAAACAUCAGUGCAUGCAUCAUUUUAACUAGAGAGAAUAUUCUAAGAAUGAAAUUGAACGUGCAAUCAGCAACUAAAAUGAAGCCAGAAAUGUACACGCAUGAGGAAUUUUUCCUAGAAGAUUGAUAUUUCUUUAACUAGCAAACCAUACAAGUCCAAAGCUAACCAAACCAUACCUGCAAGUCCGGGGCUUAAAUGGAGUACUUGUAAGCAUAAAACAUUAAUCAAAACACAGUAUAGACACACACACACACCCCUCCCUACAUACAUACCAGCAAAUUCGAAAUAGAAAAAGGAGUGCAACUCACAAAACAGUCGGAGGUGGAAUUCCAGCAUAUCUCCUUCUCUCCGUAGCACUCAGAGGUAUAGUUGAAAGAUUAAACACCAUGGAAUAAUUUGAAAGGAAAAUGCCAAGAAACUGUGUAAGUGGCUAAAUUCCACAAAUAUUACAUUAUUGCUCAUUUUUAUCUCAAAAAAAUGGUACGCGUUCAUUUAGAGAAGAGUCCAAGCCCAGUAACAGGAAUAUUUUAAUUACUACCAUGACAUAAUUGAUGGUGCUUAAAUCAAUUGUUUCUUUUUUAAUUUAAAGAUUUUUUCAUUAAAAAAUAUUUUAAUAUCAAAAUGCCUUCAAUGGCAUUACUGCCGCAAGCCCAGCAACAGGAUUAAUUAAAAAGUUCAGAAUUUUUGGGCAUGGAAACUGGAAAGAGUAUUAAACAUCAGAAAGCUAAGGUUUGUUCUGUUAAAGAAUUGAUAUUGACAUAGUUUUUUUUUUGAGGAAAAAAAAAACAUAUUUGUUGACAAGUAAGGAAAUGUUUUUGUAUUUUACAAUCUGUUAUUACAUAUUUUAUCAUAUUAAAGUAAUUUUAAUAACAAAUAGAAACAUAAUAUUACAAUAAAUAAAUUAAAGUUUAAAUUAUUUUGAAUAUUAUAAAAAAUAAUGUUAAUAUUAUUAAUAGGAAGACAUUUUGUUAAUUUUAAAAUCUUUUUAAUCCAAAGGUUUAUUUAAAAUCUCUAUAAUAAAUACAAAUAUAAGAUUAAAAUAAAAAUCAUAAUUUGAAAAUUUUAAUAUUAUUUUAAAUGUUAAAUAUACUUUAAUGUUAUUAGCCUACUACGUAGAUUUUAUUAUUUAUAUUAUAUUCGUAUUGAUUAAAAUUUUUUAAAAUCAAUUUUUUAGUUAGUACAUUCAAGAGGUAUCAUAGUUAAAGAAAAGAUUUUGGUGCAACUGUUUUAAAAUUUCAGGGACUAAAUGAUAAUUUUUUUAAAUUUUAAGGAAGUUGGUAUUAUUUUUCCGACAAUUUAUUUUAUUUUGAGGGAAAUCCGAUGAGAAAUAUCAUCAGAGAACAUUAAUUUAACAUUCUUUACCUUUAUGAAAAAAGUGAAAAUCAAGAACUAUUCAAUUUUGUAUUUUUUGUUUGUAAUUCAAAAAAUGCAUCCACCAAAUCAAGAACUAUUCAAUCUUGAUUUUCCCAUUUUAUUCAUUUUCGAUGCAUCCCCCACUAUUUUUACAAAUCUCCAUCCCACAUCUACACUAUCAAACAAGUUGAUGGAAAUUGAACCCAGUAAGUUAUGUUCAUUACUGGUCAUUGUCUUUCUAUGAGCCACUUAUUUUGAGCAUUAGCGAUCUUAUAAGGAAUCAUGCCUUUUCAGGAUCGUUUUCUUUCAUUUCCUUCUUGUAGUAGUUAAUUAAAUAAAGAACGAACAGCUGAACUUGGUCUAUUUCGAGGAAGAACAAGGUUUCCAAUACUAGAGGAACUUUGAAAAAAAUUAAUUGGAAGCCUUUAUUCAUCUUUGAAGAAAAUUACCACACUUUAAAUCCUGGAUAAAAAAAAUUUUAUUCAUCUUCGGACUAUGAAUUUAUAAAAAAACAUUGUUAGGACUAAGAAAAAAAUAUUAUUUUAGAUAAGUUAUUUGUUUAUUAUUGAAUGAAAAAUUUAUCAUGAUAAAUAAAUAUUUAUUAUUUUAAAGAGAGAUUUUUUUUUUGGUUUUAAGAAGAGUUUUUUUUUGGUACAUGCACACACUAAUAAAGAAACACAAAAAGUGCUUCCUCAAGUCAAUAGUAUUUGCUUUAAUGGCUAAGGUGCAUAAUAAUGUAGCUUAGUUAGGAAAUUUGUAAUUACAUUAUGGCUCCGUUUGGUAUAACUUUUUAAUUAGAAGUAUUGUUCUUUUUAUUAACAUGUGUUUGUUUUACUUAAUAAUAAAAGUUUAGUUUACAAUUACACCGGUGUCAAAUCAGCAGAGCAUCGGCAAGAGUUUUCGAUUGUUGCAAUUUGCAAUGCACGCGGUGAGAGAAAAUGAGAAUCUUGUUUAAUUGUGAAUAAUGACAAACCUAAUCCUUUCAUUAGGAGUAAAUUAAUAAUCGUUUGUUAUAAUUGAAUAUGUAUAAAGAAAGGAAAAUUAUAUUCAUAGAUUUGACUUAUUUUUUGUUUAACGUAACUAAUCAUUCAACCAUCUUCAUUUGCCUCUGGCCAAUGCCCUUGUAGAUUAGUUGAAGCGUUGAUUUCUUAAUUCAGAUAAUUACAACGUCCUUUUCGCUAAUUAAGUAUGAUUAUGUACAUUUUCAUAUAGCAAGUGGCAUUGUAGAUCUAAACUAAGUUGCUAUUUCAAUCCGUUAAUUAAGUGAUUCUCCUCAUUGUCAUCAGUGUUAUACCCUCUGGGAAAAUAGCUCAAUUGUUUCCCUGCAUUGAUUUUCAUUGGUAAGUGAUUUCUUAUGAAAUUCUUUUGAGCUUUCCUUAUUAAAAAAGCUUGAGCUUUUAUCACCUAAUACGGAUAUCAAUUAACUUGUGAACGAUUUUGUAAUGAAACUAGGAGUUAAAUAAGAUUUUUACAUGAUGAUCAACUUGUUAAUUUUGUAUAUUUCAUAUUUAACAGGAUUUGGGCACGGAACGUUUGGAUUCUAAUAUUUAUAUAUUUAGUUUUAAUCAGUUUGACUUUCGUAAUCUUUCUCGCCUCAUCAUUAAGGGAUUAAGAAUUAGAGAAACAUUAGAAACAGGAAGAAAAUAACUUCAGAAAUAAGUAAGAGGGAAAAAAAUUUAUGAUAUUUGGUGUUGAAAUGAACUAAAAACUCGUCAGUACAACGUGUCGUUUGCAGGUUGUGAAGAUGAGUGCCAUGUCGUUUCAUUUAAGCAAUAUACCAGAACUGACAAAUUGCCAAUGUCGUUCAAGACCAUUAUAACUCACGUGCCUUACGCAUGCCUCUCUUAAGCUUAAACGGCAAAGCUAGCAGUCGUUUAAGGAAGGCUUAUUAAUAGCGCGUGAGAAGCUCGUGCCAGGUUGGUUAAAAGGCCGUUAGAUUUAGAGGGAAAUCUGGAUCUGUUACACCUGCAUCAACUGAUAUAUAAACGAGCUGGUUCUGGUGUUAGCAUGUAUGACCAAGGAGAGAGAGAUAAGGCAUCGAUACUGAGAGAAAAGCUUGACUAAGUGGUCUCUGUAUUAUGUGUGAUUUCUCUGUAACCUUGAAAGCUUAAUAAAACUGCUCUCUGUGUUGGUUUUCUCCAGUGGAUGUAGGCACCCUUCAACAGGUGCUGAACCACUUAAGCUCUGUGUGUUCUUUGCCUUUAGGUUGUGAUCUUUGAUCUGUGCAUUGUUCUUUGUUAAGUGUAAGAUUGGUUCUUGAAUCUUUGAGUCAGAGUUGGGUCUUGGGGUGAGAUUAAUCUAGUAUCUAAAGGGUUAAUCUCUCAACAUUUGGAAUGUAUCAUAAUUUUUUGUUGAGUAAAUAUGUAUGAAUAGUUUUUGGGAGUUUUAGCCAGGAGUCAUUUAUUGAAGAUGUCUAGCAAUUAAAGAUCUCUGUCUCAGUAGUUUUCCCAAUCAAAAUCAAGAAGCAAAAAAAACUUGCCAUUUUUCUACUUGAUAAUUAAUUGAAAUUUAAGAAAAUACAAUGGCAUUUCAAUUAGAAUUGGUAAUUGUUUAUCUUUUUUUCAUUGAUCAAAUUCUAAUCUUUAUGCAAUAGUUAUGAAUGAAAGAAAUAUUAUGAGAGGAGAUAGGUCAAUUGAAGCCGUACCCGCAAAUAAAAAAUAGAAAAGGAGUGCAACUAUUCAACUUUGUAGACAAUAUUGCAACCAUCCAAAGGUGAAGAUCUACGCUUAUUAUCUAUUUAACAGCUAUAUAUAUAUAUAUUUAUAUUUUUAAAUAUCAAGAGCUAUGCUUGUAAAUAAGUUCAAAAGUGAUGAGAACAGCCUUAUAUUUAUUUAUUUAAAUAUUACCCAGAAUACUGCUAUAACAAUUGUAUUUAAAUAAUAAUUGUAUUUAAAUAAAUAACUAUAUAUCUAAAUAUAUAUUUAUUUAUUUAAAUAUCAAGAGCUAUGCUUGUAAAUAAGUUCAAAUGUGAUGAGAACAGACUUAUAUUUAUUUAUUUAUUUAAAUAUGACCCAGGCUAAUUUCUCUGAAUUUUGACAGAGUAGAUUUCUAAGCUAAUGCUUGGCAGAUCUCUGGGCGAUACUACAAAGUGCAUGUACAUUGAGUCUUAAUAAAUAUAAACGAUUCUCUGAUAUGAUUCAAAACAUCACUACAUGCAUAAAUUAAUAAGAAAUGUAUAGUUGUACAUAAUUUUAUGCAUGAGGCAGUUUUUAUAGUUGUACCCUCUCUAAUGAAAUUGAAGGUGCAGCCAGCAACUAAAAUGAAGCAGAAAUGUACACGCAUGAGGCAGUUUUUCUAGAAGAUUGAUAUUUCUUUAACUAGAAAACCAUACAAGUCCACAGCUAGCCAAACCGUACCUGCAUGUGUCUAGGGCUUAAAUGGAGCACUUCUAAGCAUAAAACAGUAACUAAAACACAUACACAAACAUACAUACCAAAAAAUUCAAAAAAUAGAGAAAGGAAUACAACUAUUCAUGUUUGUAGACAAUAUUGCAACCAUGGCAUCAGUUAUAGCAAAUAUUGAAUUACAAUAUUUCCCUUGCCGAUUUUGUCUACACAAGUAAAGGGAAAUAAGAAUCAUAGAUGAAAAUCAACUUUUACAGUUCUAAUUAUUAGAUAGAUACAUAAUGAUCUAUCUUUGUUACUUUGUUUCUCUGCUGCAAUGUGCGAUCCCACUCUGUUUUGAUACUCAAAUUGAGUCUAUGUUGAGACAUAAUUUUGACAUUGGAAGCAAUCCCAAUUAGUUUGGCUUUUGUAUGACCCUUUAAGGUUUUACAAUAGAUGCAAAUCUACUGAGAAAAUGGUAAAAAAAGGUGUAUAUAAAAUGAGGCAAGUAACAGAAGUAUGAGUUAUCAGAUUAGAUUAAAAGUCACCCAAUUCAAUCUAUCAGAUUCCGUAAGGAUAUAACUGGAUGUCAUACCGCCAGUCCAUAUCCUCGAAAGUCUCUAGUCUUUGUCUCAACUCUGUCUGAGGCCAAUGUAAAUCCAAUUUGCACAAGCUCUUUAUGCACCAUAGCUCUUCUGGAAGCUUUCUCAAGUAAGCACAUGGGUUGACAAUUAAGCUUUCAAGUUUUGGCAUUGCUCUGCCCCCAUCGUCCACUCGUCUAGCCAAUACAUCGACUUCAGGUGCAAAAUCUUAAGUUCCGGAAAGCCAGCAGAGCCAACGCAGGCUAGCUUUCUUCCUAAAUACGAGUUCUGCUUCAGUUUCAGCACUUGAAGGCGUGGAAGCUUUUCCAGCAUUGGCAUGGGAUCCUCCAUUCGCUCAGUAUUUGAUAAGCUCAGUUGCAUCAUUCUUGGAGGAAAUUAGUAUUCAGACAGGACCAUCCGUGAGAGCUUGCUCUCAUUCACCAACUUCAAGCAUUCAACUUUGUGGAGUUUGCAUACGCUUUUGGAAACCCCAGAGUGAUAGCAACUCAAAUCUCCAGACACUCUAAGAGUUUGAAGAUUAGAUAGUCUGCACAAUAUAUCUGGCGUGCAACUACUAGGGUGUGAGGCUGAUAUGAAAAUAAGAUUUUUCAGAGAGCUGGAAUAAUUUUUUGGAGGUGCAGGCAGAGAGAUGGAACCAAAGUUCAGAUGCAUGAGUUUUUGCAUCUUCCAAAUAUCCUCUGGUGUUUGAUCUACGUAGCUAGAUGGCAUGUCUAGUGUUUGAAGGUUUGAAAGGGUGCAUAGCGGUGAAGGAAGACAUUUGAGCGAAGGGAUAUUCAAUUUCAAAUACUUCAAAUGGAAUAAAUUUUCUAAUCUGGGUGGAUAUUGGUCCAGGACUGCAGAACCCAUGUUCAAUACCCGAAGGUGUUUGAACAUUUUACAAAAAUUCUCGCAAUCUAUCGGAUUAAGAUGAUCGCUUUCUGAACUGUGAUUCAGAAAAAGAUUGGAGAUACAUGUCCGAAUGUUUCAAAGAAAAGAAUUCAAUCGGAUCAUCGAAAAUGAUGUACCGUUUGGCAUUUGCCAAUGAUUCAUCUUCGAAGUCAGGCGUCCGGACAAAUCCCAUCAUUGCUGCCGUCCCAAGUAACGCAGCAUAUGCAAAAGUUGGAACAUAACACGCCUUAAUUGUGCCUCCAUCUCUUCUCUUAUUUACUUGAAUGAAGCCAUGAUCGAUUAGUUCGUUCAAGUAAUGCUCGGCAGUUUCCUCACUGUUGUAUGGUAUGAAACCUUCAGCUACCCACAGCUGAUAUAAUUGCCUGGUAGAUAUCUCAAUGCCUGGAUGAAAGCUGAGGUUGUCCCUCGAUCAGUAAAUCAAACAAUUCCUCUGCCGCUUUCAAAUUCACUCUUAUCAAGCUGAAAUUGUCCCUCAAUCAAUAAGUGAGUGAAUUCGUUCCUUCGCUCUUUGAAAUCAAAACCAUUGUCUCUAGGCGGAAUUUGUUGCAACUGAUUUCUAAUAUCAAUGAUUUUACUGUGGAUUCCGACAAGAAGAGCAAUGAGUGAGAAAACAACUUGUUUGGUAACCAAAAAAGUAUUGAGAGAAAAUGUAAUGAUUCUGAGAAAUUGCUUUUAUUUCAAUUAAUCGAAUCCAGAGUAAAUGUACAGAGUUUCUUUAUAUACUAACGUAUCUACAUAGCUGAUAUUAGCUAAACUAAUUCAACCAGCUAAUCAUGCUUAACAACUUAUUAUAACUAACUAAAACUAAUAUUCACGUGUACAAGAAAUGAUGUAACCACCAGGUGCUAGCUGGCAUGCCAAGUCAUCAACUUGUAACCGUGAGCUGCAACUGUUACAAUCCUCUGCUUUGCUGACUAUCUGGCUCACAUGAGCUUCCUUAACAUCCCCUCUCAAGCUCAAGGGUCUGUUAACUACAUUGAGCUUGGAACGAAAAUAGCUAAAUUUUGGAAAAGAUAGAGGCUUAGUAAGAACAUCUGCCACUUGUUCUUCAGUAGGAAUAUAUCUAAUCUCUAACUCUUUGUUCAGAACCUUAUCUCUAAUGUAAUGAACAUCCAGCUCUAUAUGUUUGGUCUUGGAGUGGAAUAUUGGAUUUUUAGCUAGAUCACCUGCACUCUGAUUGUCACACCAGAGAAUAGGAGUUGGCAACUUGAUAAUUUUUAGCUCAGAAAACAAAGAUUGCAGCCAUGUAAGUUCAGAACUUGCUGCUGAUAAGGCUCGAUAUUCACUUUCUGUGCUAGACUUUGCCACAAUAGCUUGCUUUUUCGAAGACCAGGAAAUGAGAUUAUUACCAAGGAAAAUGUAGUAAGCUCCAAUGGAUUUCCUGUCAUCAGUGUCACAUGCCCAAUCAGCAUCUGAGUAUCCUGUCAACCCUAUUGUUUCCAAGGUUCCCUCUUGCUGAAUAUAGAGGCCAUAUGUAAUAGUUGCUUGAAGGUAUCUCAACACCUUUUUGCAGGCUAACCAAUGUUGGAGAGUUGGACCACUUAGAUACUGGCUAAGUUUAUGCACUGAGUAAGCAAUGUCUGGUCUAGUUAGAACCAAGUAUUGAAGCCCUCCAACUAUACUUCUGUAAAGAGUUGGAUUUUCAAAUUCUACACCCAAUGAGCCUUUAGCUAUUUUUUCUAAUUUGUAACCAGUGCUGAAAGGAGUUUCAGUUUCUUUACAGUUCUGCAUUGAGGCCUUGGUCAACAAAUCCUUGAUGUAUUUAGUUUGGGAGAGGUGCAUGCCAUGAUCUGUGUAGCUGACUUCUAUACCAAGGAAAUAUGAUACCAGGCCCAAGUCUUUUAAGGCAAAAGCUUUACUCAGCUUUGUGAUGAAUGCCUCCAGCAAGACUGAAUCUGGACCUGUAACUAAUAUAUCAUCUACAUAGAUCAAGACAAGGAUUAUGCCUUUAGUGUCAUGCUUGAUAAACAAUGAAGUGUCAGCCUUAGAAUUUGUGAAAUUCCAAUCUGUAAGACAGCCCUUAAGCUUAUCAUACCAGGCCCUUGGUGCCUGUUUUAAACCAUAAAGAGCUUUGUUUAGCUUACAGAUGUAUCCUCCCUCUGAAACAAAACCCUCUGGUUGUUGCAUGUACACAUCUUCAGUAAGAUCCCCAUUGAGAAAUGCAUUGUUGAUAUCUAUUUGUCUAACAUUCCAGCCUUGCAUAACUGCCAAACUCAAUAUAACUCUGACAGUUGAAGACUUGACUACAGGACUAUAAGUUUAUGAAUAGUCAACCCCAGCUGUCUGAUGGAAUCCUUUAGCAACAAGCCGAGCUUUAUGCUUAGAUACUGAGCCAUCUAAAUUAUACUUUGUUCUGAAGACCCAUUUGCAGCCAACCAGUUUAUGAGUAGGAUCCAUUGAAACUAGAUUCCAGGUUUUGUUUCUGAUAAGUGCAUCAUAUUCCAGUUGCAUUUUAUCUUUCCAUUUAGGAUCAGCUAAAGCUUCACCAACAUUAGAAGGUUCUAAACUGUUGUGUGCUGUCAAAAAUGCCUUAGGUUUGAAUAUACCAGCUUUAGCUCUGGUAGUCAUGGGAUGGACAGAGAUAGUAGGAUUGGAAAGUGAUAAAGAUGGUCUGGAAGGUGAUGUGUGUAAAGAAGCUUGAAAUGGUAUAGGAAGUUCUGGAGAAUUUUGAUGGAUGAUAGGUGAAGAUAUAGUGUUUGAAGUUGCUACUGGAGAUGUUGUGGGAAUGACAGGGGAGGUUAUGGUAUUAGUGGAUAAAAUAGAAUGAGUAGAAGAGGAAGGUAACAAGAUAUUGUGAUGAGAACUAGAAUUGUUAGAAUCAGUAUCUGCAGCAACAGCUUCAAAAGGUUUUAGAUUGCUAUUAGGAACUGAAACAUUAUAAAUAAAAACUUAUUAAAACCUAAUUUAUUUGGGAACCACAUAUUAAAACCUAAUUUAUUUGGGAACCACAUAUUAUUGGUCAGUAGUAUUUCUCAACUUAGCAAGUUAUUUCUAAUUUGUCCCUCUCUAUUAUUGGUUCUCUUAAAGCCAAUAGUGUCGCAUUUGAUAUCUUGCCAUUACCGUUGGCAUUAGCAUGUUACCUGAAAUUGGGAUUCAUUGAAAUCCUCAAUGUAAUCGGUGGAACGAAUGGAUUUCUUCUAUUCAUAAUUUGAUGAUUUUAAUUGAACUAGGAGAUAAAGUAAAAGAUAAAUGGUUGGUUUACUCCAAUUUCUGAAGUGCUUGUAUCUUUUUGGUUGAAUUCGUGCAGUUAAAUAAUCUCUACCAACAUAUGUAUGUAUGUAUGAAAUUGGAGUAACCAGACCUUUUCAAGAGUUAAAUAAUCUCUACCAACAUUGUAGAUUGCCCGAUAAAGUUAACUGUGUUACCCAGCUCCAUGCAUAUACAUUAAAUGCAUGUUUGGGUAGUUUUAUAAAAUGAUAACAGCACGUCAAAACUUGAUGAGUUAUAUUGUCAUAUUCGACAUUUUUAAAUUGAAAAAUUAGCAAGCAAUCUUCAGUGAACAUUACAAUUUUGUUCGCUCUACACCCCAUCAAUAUUUAAGCAAUCUACAGAUCAUUACUUGAGGAAAGAAACUCUUUGCGCCACUAGGCUUUUAACGAGGCUCAUUUCUAUGAAUCGGGAUAGCAUUAGAUAUCUCUCCGAAUACUGGUGGGAGUAGAUUGCAGAUCUCUGGGCUAUACUGCAAAGUGUAUGUACGUUGAUUGUCUGAUAUGAUUCAAAACAUCAGUCCAUGCAUCAUUUUAAUGAGAAAGAAUAUUCUGAGAUUAUUUAUGCAUCACCAUUUGUAGUUGUACUGACUAAUGAAAUUAAAGGUGCAAUCAGCAACUAAAAUGAAGCCAGAAAGACACGCAUGAGGCAGUUUUCCUAGAAGAUUUGAUAUUUCUUUGACUAGCAAACCAUACGAGUCCAAAGCUAGCCAAACCAUCCCUGCAAGUCCAGGGCUUAAAUGGAGUACAUCUAAGCAUAAAACAUUAAUCAAAACACAAUACGCACACACAGACCCCUACAUACAUACCAGCAAAUUCAAAAUAGAAAAAGGAGUGCAACUAUUCAAGUUUGUAGACAAUAUUGCAGCCAUGGCAUAUCAAAGCAAAUCCUUGAAAUGUGCUAAACAGAACAAUGCCCUGUCUCAUGAAUCGACGCUCAAUUACAAUUGAAAUUGAAAGUCCGGCUGGUGUUGUUUCCCUCUCCAGUUUUGCCUACAUAAGUAAAGGGAAAUAAGAAUCAUAAAUGAAAAUAUGCUUUGACAGUUCUUAUUAGAUAUAUAUAAAGGGAUCUUUCUUUGUUUCUCUGCUGCGAUGUGUGGUUAUCCCACUGUUUUUCCACUCAAGCUGAGUCUACGUUGAGACAUAAUUUUGACAUCAGAAGAUACCUCAAUUAGUUUGGCACUUUUACGAUAAACAUAAAUCUACUAAGAAAGUGCGGAAAAAAAGAAAAUGCAUAUAAAAGUAUGAUUUAUCAGAUAAGAUUAAAACUCACCCAAUUAAAUCCGUCAGAUUCCAUAAGGAUAUAACUGGAUGUCAUACCGCCGCUCCAUAUCCUCGAAAGUCCGUAGUCUUUGUCUCAGCUCUGUCUGAGGCCAAUGUAAAUCCAAUUUGCGCAAGCUCUUUAUGCACCACAGCUCUUCUGGAAGCUUUCUCAGGUAAGCACAUGGGUUGACAAUUAAGCUUUCAAGUUUUGGCAUUGCUCCUCUCCCCAUCGUCCACUCAUCUAGCCAAUACAUUGAUUUCAGGUGCAAAACCUUAAGCUUCGGAAAGCCACCAGAGCCGACACAGGCCAGCUUUCUUCCUAAAUACGAGUUCUGCUUCAGUUUCAGCACUUGAAGGUGCGGAAGCUUUUCUAGCGUUGGCAUGGGAUCCUCCAUUAGCUCAGUAUUUGAUAAGCUCAGUUGGGUCAGACUUGGAGGAAAUUGGUAUUCAGACAGGACCAUCCGUGAGAGCUUGCUUUCAUUCACCAGCUUCAAGCAUUCAAGUUUCUGCAGUUCGCAUAGGCUUUUGGAAGCCCCAAAAUGAUAGCAAGUCAAAUCUCCAGAUAUCCUUAGAGUUUGAAUAUUUGGUACUCUGCCCAAUAUAUCUGGAAUGCAACUACUAGGGUGCAAGGCUGAUAUGAAAAUGAGAUUUUUCAGGGAGCUGCAAUAAUUAUUUGGAGGUGCAGGCAGAGUGAUGGAACCGAAGUUUAGAUGCCUGAGUUUUUGCAUCAUCCAAAUAUCCUCUGAUGACUGAUCUAUGUAGCUAGAUGGCAUUUCUAGUGCUUGAAGGUUUAAAAGGGUGCAUAGCAGCGAAGGAAGGCAUUUGAGCGAAGGGAUAUUCAAUUUCAAGUACUUCAAAAAAUAUAAAUUUUCUAAUCCGGGUGGAAAUUGGUCGAGAACUGCGGAACCCAAGUUCAGUACCCGAAGGUGUUUGAACUUUUUACAAAAGUUCUCGCAAUCUAUCAGAGCGAGAUGAUCGCUUCGUGAACUGUGAAGCAGAAAAGAAUGGAUAUACUUGUCAGAAUAUUCUGGAGGAAAGAACUUAAUCAGACGAUCCAAAAUGAGAUACCGUUUGACAUUUGCCAGUGGUUCCUCUUUCAUGUCAGAUAUCCGGACAAAUUCCGUCUUGUCCGCCACCAAAUACAGUGAAAUAAAUUCAAAACUUGGAACAUAACACGCUUUGAUUGUGCCGUUGGCUCUUCUCUUACUCACUUGAAUGAAGUCGCGGUGGAUUAGUUCUUUUAACCCUCAGCUAUCCACAACUGACAUAAUUGCGUGGUAGAUAUCUCAAUGCCGGGGCGGAAGACACACAAAUAGAUGCAGCAGACUUUCAAGUAAAAAGGUAACUCCCCCACAGAACAAGUUCGACUGAAAACUGUCAAAUUUAUUUUUUCAUUCAUAUAAUUUUCUGAUGGCGCACUUCCAUAGUGUAGGACGAAAAAUUGCCAGGCCUCAUGCUCUAAUCUGAUCAAUGGUCCUUCAAUGAGCACUGAAUCAAGCCGAAUCUUCUCUCCGUUUUCCAUUUCCAACGACGUAAGGAGUUCUGGAUCAGUGAAAUAUCAAUACUCUGCUUCCAUUCCGAUUAUCAGGAAGAACUUCUUCAAGAUCAUCCCAUAUCUCAAUGUUAUCGCAGACAUCAUCAAGCACAAUAAAGUACUUCUUGUUUGUUAGGUAAUCUUGAAGAAUAGAUUUCUUCAAUUGAUAAUCUUCACCGAUAAUUACACUAACCCGAGAUGGAGGCAUCACGGACUUGAUUAUGUCAUCCAAUAUCUUGCCAAAAUCGUAGAGUGAAGAAACCCUGACCCAAGCAAAACCGUCAAAAUAGAACUUGACGUGAUUAUUAUUGUAAGUAUCUGCAGCAAAAGCAGUCUUAUCGAUGCCACGGCUGUCGAGAAUUGCAACCACUGCAAGCCGAGGAUGUCCUUCUAUCAAUAAAUCAAACAACUCCUCUCUGCCCCUUGCAAAUUCAUUGAUAUCAAGCCGAGGUUGUCCCUCACUCAAUAGGCGAAUGGUUUUGUUACAUUGUUCAGUGAUAUCAAAAUCAUUGUCGCCGGGUGGAAGUUGUUGCAUCCGAUUUCUAAUAUCAAUGAUUUCACUGUUGAGUCCAUCAAGAAGAGUCGUAUUAGUACUGCUGUCACUUUCGUUUUCACUGUUUUGCUGCUGCAUGAUUUUGAUGAAGAAUGUGUCAAUGGCUUCCUCAGAUUCACGGACAAAGUCAUUGAUGUCGUUCAGAAUUUCCAGAAUGUCUGCCCUUUUAACAUCUUCUUCAUCGCUUUUUUCUAAGUCCAACAGUUGCAAAGAAGGUAAAGAUAUUUCGGUGUCAUCGAAUUCUUCUCUAAUGAGUUGAAACAAAUCCGAGCCAUGUCAGAGUCAUAGUUUCCCAGCAGUGGUAACAAUAAUUUUGGACUCCGUAAGAAGGUUUUGAAAAAGUGGGGUUAAAUUUGUUGAAUCAGGCAGCGUUAACGGGUCUUCUUCACCUGCUAACACCCUUUUCAACCUCUCACAAAAUAGUCGGAGGUGGACGUCCAGCAUAUCUCAUUCUCUCCGUAGCACCCAGACGUAUUGUUAUUUGCUCCAACAAAUGUUAAAAGGAUUGGUUCUAUCUCAAAGUGGUUUGUGGUGUAAAAUUAAACACUAUGGGAGAAUUUGAAAGGAAGAUGCCAAGAAACCGUGUAAGUGGCUAAUUUCCACAAAUAUGACAUUAUUGCUCAUUUUUAACUCAAAAAAAUGAUAUGCGUUCAUUUAGAGAAAAGUCCAAGACGCUUGCCUUUUAAAAAGAACAGGUAUCCCUAUGCAACCUUUAUCUUAUUUAAUUACUACCAUAUGGUACUUAAAUCUAUUGUUUCUUUUUUAAUUUAAAGAAUUUUUCAUUAAAAAACUAUUUUAAUAUCAAAAUGCCUUCAAUGGCAUAGCUGCCGCAAGCCCAGUAUGAAUUAACAGGAUGAAUUAAAAAUUUUAGAAUUUUUGGGCAUGGAAAGAGUAAUAUUAAACAUUAGAAAGCUAAGCUUGUUCUGUUAAAGAAUUGAUAUUGACAUAAUUUUAUUUUGGUUUUCGGGGAAAAAAAUUAUUCGUUGACAAGCAAGAAACAUUUUUAAUUUUUAAAAUUUAUUAUGCAUAUUUUAUCAUAGUAAAGUAAUUUUAAUAAUAAAUAGAAACAUAAUAUUACAGUAAAUAAAUUAAAGUUUAAAUUAUUUUGAAUGUUAUAAAAAAUAAUUUUAAUAUUAUUAAUAGAAGACAUUUUCUUAAUUUUAAAAUCUUUUUAACCCAAAGGUUUAUUUAAAAUCUUUCUAAUAAAUACAAAUAUAAAAUUAAAAUAAAUAUCAAAAUUUGAAAUUUUUAAUAUUAAAAUUACUUUAAUGUUGUUAGUGACUGUUCGGUACAGCUUAUUUAAUGGCUAUAAGUGCUUAUUUAAUGUCAUAAUGUCAUGGGAUGAGUGUUUUGCACAGCAAAUCCAUGCGGUACUUAGACAACUUUGCCGAAUGUUGCUAAGUAAGCCUUGAGCUUCUCGAACUAGCUAAGCCUAGAGGUUUUCGAAGAGCUAGAGAGAAGAGAGCAAUGAAGCCGAAUGAAGAGAAUUGUAUUACUAACAAGAGAGAUUACAAGAGAGCUUACAAGUGUUUGAGUUGCUUGUACUAAGCUUGUUGCUCAAAUGUCUAAUGCCAUCCCAUAUUUAUAGGGGAGGCUUGCCAAGCUCUAGAGAUUCUAGAGAAUUCUACCAUUUAUAUGUGCCGGAAUUCUAUGGAGUAUUCUAGAGUAUUUACAAGCUCAAAUGCCUUUUAAAAAGAAUAUGUAUACAAUGGCAAUCCAUACUUUAUAAAAUUGAUGGUGAUUACAAAGAAAAAUUGUUUAAAAUAGAUUUAAUGCACAAAUAUGAUGACUUUUGGCAAAAAUUAGUUUCGGAAAUGUUGGGAUGAAAACCAUAUUAAUUGAGAAUUAAAAUUACUUAAUAAAAUUACUUAACUACCAUCUAAUAGAUGAAAACCAUAUCAAUUGAGACUUAAAUUAAGAUUUAAAUGUUGAAAUAUCUAGCAUUACUCACAAUAACCAAUUCAAAUUAUGACUAUCAUGUAGAAGCAAAUGUUUAUGCUUGGGUUUUUUACUUCUUGAAUUUGAUUGGAAAAUUUUCUGAGAUAGAGAAGUGUUUUGGAUAAGCUUUACGGGAUUGAAACCACAAAUUGGUAGAGGAAAUUAAUUUUGGACAAAUUUUUCUUAUAUUGUAGGACCUUCUAGUUGGAGUAGUGAUGCCUUUGUCUUCAUUUUUGGUUCCUUUUGUGUCGGCAGCCCCUUACUAUUCUCUUGACCCUGAGUUUGAGAUAGAAAUUUAUCAACCUCCAACCCCACAUCCACAAACAAGUUGAUUGAAACAAUUACUCUUUUAAUUAAGAGGACCCAAAUGAUUUAGGUUUCAGUUCUUAUCAUUUGUCUAUUAUUUCUUUGAAACAUUUAUUUUGAGCGUUACUGAUCUUAAUUAUCUGUAUUUCUCCAAUUAUUGAAGAAUUUCAAGUGGCCACUUUUUCUCCUUUUUAUAUAUGUUUAUUUUUUGGAGUGAUCAAACGGGUGCAAAAUCAAGUAUUCGCUGGUCUGUAGUUUAGCCAACGAUGGCUGAUCCACACAGUUGAUUAUAUGAUACUAUUAGCUCUCAAAAUCUUUCUUAUUUGAGAACAUAAAUUGCCCAUUGAAGUUAAACUAUGUUACCCAGCUCCAUGCACAUACAUUAAAUGUUUAGGUAGUUUUACAAAAUGAUAACAGCAUGCCAAAACUUGAUGUUGUCAUAUUCGACAUUUCAAAUUGAAAUAUAUGCAAGCAAUCUUCAGUGAACAUUACGUGUUUAUUGAAUAAUUUAAAUGGCCAGUAAAUCAACAGUCCGUGAGUUUUAAAUCUAUUAUGACUUAAUGUAUCUUUCUGUAUUUGUACACGUGUUAUAUUAUCAUAGUUUAAAAUUUUAAUAUUAUUUUAAAUGUUAAAAAUACUUUAAUGCUAUUAGUCUACUACACAGGUUAUAUUAUUUAUAUUAUAUUUGUAUUAAUUAAAACUUUUAAUGUCAAUUUUCUAAUUACUAUAUUGAAAAGGUAUUAUGGUUAAGAAAAAGUUUUGGCAUUUCUUCUUGAAAAUUUGAGGGUUUUCCAAAUUCUAAGGGUAUAGGUUUGAAAAUUUAACGAUCUUUAACUUAAUGAAACAAAAGAGGGAAAUCAAGAACUAUUCAAUUUUGUAUUUUUUGUUUGUAAUUCAAAAAAUACAUCCACCAAACAAGUUUUACGCAUUAAUGCUGUCAUAAAACGAAAAACAGUUUGCCAAAAAAUGGUACCAAACAUGUCCUUAAUGUCUCACAUGAUUUCUUAGUAAGUCCAUAUUAGAUAUAUUUAUACAUUUUAGGUAUUUUAGUUAUAAAAGAAGUUGGACCUCCCCCUGUUUAUAAAAAAUAACUUUAUUUCGAGAUUACCACUAAACUCUUACAUAGAAUUAGUGUAAUGUUAAGAGAGAGUAACACAGUUUUCCAUUACCAUCUUUGAAAAUAGAGAGAUAUGGAUGCGUGCAUUUAAGAGUUACCGUGAAAAUCAUACAAUUCAAUUUCCUGACAUAUAUAUUCAUGGACCAGCACCGAUAUUCUCACACCAAUGAGCACCACAGUUAGCACAAAACGGUUCGUUUUGUGCUAACUAUAAAAGAUUUAACUGUAGCUUGAAAACGCAGACUCAUCUUGCUCAAACGCAGACCACACACGCGCUCGAGUUUCUAAAACGCAAACGCAAACGCAAACUACACACACACUCAUCUUACUGGACCACAACACUCUCUCUCACCGUGGGUCUCUCCACAUUUGGCUUGGCUGUCAGUUGUUUCUCUCCCAACCCCGUGGAUUGCAUUCUCACGGCACUUCUGGAAUUUGAGACUUAGCUGCAGCUUCACUCUCUCGGCUGUCGGAAUUGAUUUGUGGAGGUAAUUUAUGCAAACGCAAACCACACACACACUCAUCUCAGUUGACCACAACACUCUCGCUCGCCGUGGGUCUCUCCACAUUUGGCUUGGCUGUCAGUUGUUUCUCUCUCCACCCCGUGGAUUGCAUUCUCACGACACUACUGGAAUUUGACACCUAGCUGCAGCUUCACUCUCUCGUUAUGAAUUUAUGUUAAUUUUGCUGUCUUCAGAACUGCCUGUUGUGGUCGAGUACAAGAUUGCGGAGAUGGGUUAUGUUAGAUUCUACUUGACACCAAGAUAGAAGAAGAUGAGGAUGAGACCAAGCCUCUAGCUUAAGUGUCAUUUGGUACAUAUGCUAUGGCAUUUUGUUGAAUCGAGUUACUCCUACAUUUUAAGUUUGCUUUUAGAAUAUUUCUCGUAAAUUUUCAUGUUGAAAAACCAAUCAUUUGUAGUUAAGUAGAUUGAUAAGAAUUCGUUUCUUGUGCUUGGUUUUUUAUCCUACUGUUGCACAUGGCCAGACAGCUGGUUGCACAUCAGAUUCAAGAGCUGUAAAUUUUGAGGCUGAGGAAUCUCAGCUGGGAUUUCAUGUGAUAACAUAUUAUCAGAUAGAUCCAGCAACUGCAAUGAAGUAAUGUUGCCAAUUUCCGCAGGAAGCUUGCCUUGAAAGUUGUUCUGAUACAAAAACAUUAUCUCCAAUAGCUCAAGCCUCCCAAGUUCAGCUGGAAUCUCCCCACCAAGAUUACCAACGGCCAAAUCAAGAUACUUCAGGUUGGUAAGAUUCCCAAAUUCCACUGGGAUUUCACCUUCAAAUUCAUUGUAUCCAAGAAUCAUAGUCUCCAUGGAUGAAAGUUGCCCAAGCUCUCGCGGUAUCUUGCCAGUGAGAUUAUUCCCAGAUAGAUUGAUAAGAAUUCGUUUCUUGUGCUUGGUUUUUUAUCCUACUGUUGUACAUGUAAUUGAUUCAUUUGUAAUCUUUGUUGCUUUCAAAGGUAGGCUUCAAUUGAGUUGAAACUUUAAAAAAUUUAUAAAAAAUGAACCGCAAAUAAAAGAUAGCAUCAUAUUGGGUGACAAAAUGUUCUCGAGGAUGAUCCUGAUUAAUGCUGUGUAUUUCGCAAUGUAAUUACUUGCUGAUCAAUUUAAUUGAAUUGAUUAACACAUUGGUUUGAGUUUUGAUACUGCUGCUCUGUUUUUGGGUUAUUUGAAGAUCGCAUUUUUGCAGGAACUGGUAAAUUGGACACGUUAACAAAAACUUCUCACGUAUUACUGAAAUAAUAACUGUUAUAUUUCAGCCCUUAUGCACAGAACACAAUGGUUGCAAGCAAAUCAACUCAUAACUUACACAAUGGUUGCAAGCAAAUCAAUUCAUAACUUGUAAAUAAAUAAACCCCAAAAAAUUGGGCAUUAAUUUCCAUUUUCCAGCAUAUAACAAUUUCUAGCAGCAAGUUUUAACAGCAGAUAACUUCCGACAACAACUCAUCCCAAAAUCAGCAACUCAUAACUCACAACACAAUAGCAUUUUGCUAAUUUCCAAUAGCAAGAUGCGUGAGAGAGACCCACGACGAGAGAAAGCCGAAGGAGAGAGCAGCGAGAUGCGCGAGAGGCCAGAUGAGAGAGACCCACGGUGAGAGAGAGAGCCACAGCCGAAGAGUGACCCACGCUCAAGAGAGAGAGCCACAGCCGAAUAGAGACCCACUCUUGAGAGAGAGAGAGAAAACCAAAGGAGAGAGCAAUCCCACGAUCCGUUUUGUGAGGCGAGUGUGUGAGGAGAGUGUGUUAGUUUUGAAGCUACAGUAUUUUCUUUUAGAGUUAGCACAAAACGAUGGUGCUAACUGCUAAGCGUGGUGCGUUUCUCAUUUUCCAUUCAUGGCCGUAUGCCAAAAGAAUAAAUAGACAGAAAGUAAAUUUACAGUCCUCACUUCCUCACAAUUGUUAACGUGAAGAUGCAUUACAACCGUGAACUGUCACUACUUUAGCCUUUUUUUUUUUUUCAAUUAUGGUGUGAUGGAGACAUUAAGGAUGAGCAUAAAAGUUAAAGAUGACUCAUUUUCUUUUUAAAGUGCUCUGCUGAAAGCCAAACUUCCUUUGGCUAAUUAAUUUAGAAGUAAAGCAGAGAAUAAAGUCUUAGAUGCCUUCUGAAAUUAGAAAUACAUUUUAUAUGCUUUAAUUAUGAUUAUUUGGUAGACUAAAGACCUAAAAGAUAUGUCAAAAGUAUAAAACAGAGCGAUUAAAGAAAAAAAGAAAAAAAAAAAACAGAGUAUUUGUGACGUAGAAUAACAAUUGGUAAAUAAAUCCUAAAUAUUUGAGUUGUUUAAAGCAAAUAUAACAGAGACGGUAAGAGAGAUGCAGAAACAGAAAACUAUUAGCCCUCUAUAUUCAUUUUCGAUGCUUUUCAAUCGAGAUUCUUUUAAUUCUUCUGGUGUCUGCAGCCCCGGCUCCUCUUAUAGAUCUCCAUCCCACAUCUGCACUACGAACAAGUUGAUUAAAGUUAAAUAAUGUUGGAGAUGUGGGGUGAGCCGUCAAUUUGGUAAAAAAUAUUAUGUAUAAUAUUGUUAAUAAUAUAAAAUAUAUAAUAAUAAUUACAAAGAAUCAUAAAUUAGAAAAAUUAAUUAUUUUACAAUCUAUUUCUUAAGUAAGAUAGAUCUCGUAAUAAGUUAAGUUAUAAUGUAAAAAAUAUUUUCAAUUUAUAAUCAUUUAAGAAGUCAUUUAACAAUAAAAUUUUUCUUUUUUUGAUCAAUUGGUCAUGCUACAGAGUAUCAUCUAUAUUCGUAGUGAUAUUAUUAUUACUCCGUAUUCUCAAAAAACCCGAUUUAACAUUUAGAAAAAGUUCCUACCUUUUAAAAAGAACAUGUAUGCAACAGCUACCCAUACUUUAUCUUACCACGACAAAACUAAUAGGGACUAAAUCAAAUUUCUCGAAUAAAGCAAAAUUUCUUAAAAUUAAUUUAAUAUACAAAUAUGAUGACUUUUUGCAAAAAUUAGUUUUGGAAAAUUAGUGACAGAAAAUAGUAACGAUUAUUAUUUAGAUGUGUAAAUAGCCUAAACAUGAUCCCUAGUACCAAUAUCCACGUGCAUCUUAACAUCUUUCGUCAUAUUCUUUCAUUCAUGGCCACUGGUUCAAGAUUUGAAUUUGAUCAUUAAAUCAUGUUCAAUAAUAUUAGAGAUUCCAACAAUUGAGCACCAACUUAAAUCCCAAUGCUAUGUGUCAUUAACAAAUGUUGUGUCAUUUAUAAUUAUUGAAUGAAUAAUUCGUUAAUUUAUUGAUAAACAAAAAUUUAUUAAUUUAAAGAGAGAUUUUUUUUUUUGGUUUUAAGAAGAGUUUUGCUGGUACAUGUACAUACUUAUAAAGAAAUAAACUUGUAAUUAUACUAUAUCUUUCUUUCUUUGUUUAUUUUGGUGGGAUAUUGUGAUAAAUCAUUGGAUUAAAAUGCAUUUAAAAAUAAAACUUGUUAAAAUCUAAUUUAUUUGGAAAACGCAUAUUAUUUGUCAGUCGUACUUCUCAACUUAGCAAGUUAUUUCUAACUUGUCAGUCUCUAUUGGUUCUCUAAAAGCUAAUAGUCUCGAAUCUCCCGGAUUUGAUAUCUUGCCAUUACUGUUGGCAUUAACAUGUUACCUGAGAAAUGAUAUUUUUUGUGGUGUUGAUAAAGAGGUUAAAUAUGAUUCAACAAUUUAAAAUAUGAAAACAUAUGGAAGACGGCCGCAAUUAAAUUGAUUGUAUGAAAAUAUUUCAAUGAAAUUUUAAAAAUUUGGUACUUGUUAUCUUAUCGAGAGUUUUUUUAAAUUAUAUUACUACUUGAACUUAACUGCUUUUGUAUUGAAUUCCUAGCGUUGCCAUUGCUUCUACUCAAAAGCCAUUUAAGUUUGUGUAAGCUACGUAUAGUUUGAACAACAAUUUACUCAUGAAUUGUUGUUCACAAUAGCAAGUCGGGGGUUUAAAUGGAGUACUUCUAAGCAUAAAACAUUGAUUAAAACAGAAUACACACAUACAUACCAGCAAAUUCAAAAUAGCAAAAGGAGUGCAAAAGUUCAAAUUUGUAGACAACAUUGCAACCAUGGCAUGUUUAUAGCAAAUCCUCGAAAUCUGCUAAAUAAAACAAUGCCCUGUCUCAUGAAUCAAUGCUGAAUUAAAAUUGAAACUGAAAGUCUGGCUGGCGUUGUUUCCCUCUCCAAUUUUGCCUACAUAAGUGAAAAUAAGAAUAAUAAAUGAAAAUCUGCUUUUACGGUUCUUAUUAGAUAGAUAAAAGGGGGAUCUUUCUUUGUUUCUCUGCUGCAAAGUGUGGCUAUCCCACUCUGUUUUGCCACCCAAGCUGAGUCUAUGUUGAGACAUAAUUUUGACAUCAGAAGCAAUCUCAAUUAGUUUGGCACUUUUAUGACCUCCUUGAAGGUUUUACGAUAAACAUAAAUCUACUGAGAAAGUGAGAAAAAAAAAGAAAAUGCAUAUAAAAAUAUGAGUUAUCAGAUAAGAUUAAACUUCACCCAAUUCAAUCCAUCAGAUUCCGUAAGGAUAUAACUGGAUUUCAUACCGCCACUCCAUAUCCUCGAAAGUCCGUAGUCCUUGUCUCAACUGUGUCUGGGGCCAGUGUAAGUCCAAUUUGCGCAAGCUCUUUAUGCACCACAGCUCUUCUGGAAGCUUUCUCAAGUAAGCACAUGGGUUGACAAUUAAGCUUUCAAGUUUGGGCAUUGCUCCAGCCCCCAUCGUCCACUCAUCUAGCCAAUACAUUGAUUUGAGGUGCAAAACCUUAAGUUCGGGAAAGCUACUCAAGCCAACACAAGCAAGCUUUCUUCCUAAAUACGAGUUCUGCUUCAGUUUCAGCACUCGAAGGCGUGGAAGAUUUUCCAGAAUUGGCAUGGGAUCCUCCAUUAACUCAGUAUUUGAUAAGCUCAGUUGGAUCAGACUUGGGGGAAAUUGGUAUUCAGACAGGACCAUCCGUGAGGGCUUGCUCUCAUUCACCAGCUUCAAGCAUUCAAGUUUGUGGAGUUCGCAAAGGCUUUUGGAAACCCCAGAUUGAUAGUAACUCAAAUCUCCAGAUAUCCGAAGAGUCUGAACACUAGGUAGUCUGCCCAAUAUAUCAGGAGUACAACUACUAGGGUUUAAAGCUGAUAUGAAAAUGAGAUUUUUCAGAGAGCUAGAAUAAUUUUUUGGAGGUGCGGGCAGAGUGAUAGAACCAAAGUUUAGAUGCAUGAGUUUUUGCAUCAUCCAAAUAUCCUCUGGUGACUGAUCUAUGUAGCUAGAUGGCAUUUCUAGUGUUUCAAGGUUUAAAAGGGUGCAUAGCAGUGAAGGAAGGCAUUUGAGCGAAGGGAUAUUCAAUUUCAAAUACUUCAAAAGAUAUAAAUUUUCUAAUCCGGGUGGAUAUUGGUCCAGGACUGCAGAACCCAAAUUCAAUACCCGAAGGUGUUUGAACUUUUUACAAAAAUUCUCGCAAUCUUUCGGAUUAAGAUGAUCGCUUGCCGAACUGUGAUUCAGAAAAGAUUGGAGAUACAUGUCAGAAUGUUCUAAAGAUAAAAACCCAGUCAGAUCUUCGGCAAUGACGCACCGUUUAACGUUUGCCACUGGCUCCUCUUCCCCGUCAUGCAUCAAGACAAAUUCCGUCUUCUUUGCCACAAAAUACAAUGAAGUAUAUACAAAACUUGGAACAUAACACGCUUUAAUUGUGCCUCCGGCGCUUCUCUUACUCACUUGAAUGAAGCCGCGACGGAUUAGUUCUUUCAUGUAAUGUUCGGCAGUUUCUUCACCGUUGUAUGGUAUGAAACCUUCAGCUACCCACAACUGAUAUAAUUGCUCCGUAGAUAUCUCAAUACUUGGAAGGAAGACACACAAAUAGAUGAAGCAGACUUUCAAGUGAAAAGGUAACUCCAUCACAGAAAAAAUUUGUCUCCAAACUGUCGGAAUCGCUUCGCCUUGAAGAUAAUUUUCUAAUGGCAUACUUCCAUAGUGUAGGAUGAAAAAUUGCCAGGCUUCAUGCUUUAAUCUGAUCAAUGGUCCUCCAAAGAGCACUGAAUCACGCCGAAUCUUCUCUCCGUUUUCCAUUUCUAACGACGCAAGGAGGUGUGGAUCACUGACCAACAUCAAUACUCUGCUUCCAUUCUGAUUAUCAGGAAGAACUUCUUCAAGAUCACUCCAUAUCUCACUGUCAUCGAAGACAUCAUCAAGCACAAUAAAGUACUUCCUGUUUGUUAGGUAAUCUCGAAGAAUAGAUUUCUUCAAUUGAUAAUCUUCCCCGAUAAUUACACUAACCCGAGAUGGAGGCAUCACAGACUUGAUUAUGUCAUCCAAUAUCUUGCCAAAAUCGUAGGUUAUAGAAACCCUGACCCAAGCAAGACAGUCAAAAUAGAACUUGACGUGAUCAUUAUUGUAAGUAUCUGCGGCAAAAACAGUCUUGUCGAAGCCACUGCUGUCGAGAAUUGCAACCACUGCAAGCCCAGAUGGUCCCUCAAUCAAUAGAUCAAACAACUCCUCUCUGCCCCUUUCAAAUUCACUGAUAUCAAGCCGAGGAUGUCCCGCACUCAAUAGGCGAAUGAUUUCGUUACUUUUUUCACUGAUAUCAAAACCAUUGUCGCCGGGUGGAAGUUGUUGCAUCCGAUUUCUAAUAUCAAUGAUUUCACUGUGGAGUCCAUCAAGAAGAGCCAUAUUAGUGCUGCUUUCACUUUCGUUUUCACUGUUUUGCUGCUGCAUGAUGUUGAUGAAGAAUGUGUCAAUGGCUUCCUGUGAGUCACGGACAAAGUUAUUGAUGUCCUCCAGAAUUUCAAAAAUAUCUGCUGUUUCAACGUUUUCUUCAUCGCUUUCUUCUAAGUCCAACAGUUGCAAAAAAGGCAAAGAUAUUUUGGAGUCAUCGAAAUCUUCUCUAAUGAGUUGAAACAAAUGCCGAGCCAUGUCAGCUUCAUAUUUUCCCAGCAGAGUAGUAGCAAUAAUUUCGGACUCCGUAAGAAGGUUUUGAAAAAGUGGAGUUAAAUUUGUUGAAUCUGGCAGCGGCAACGUGCCUUCUUCACCUGCUAACACCCUUCUCAACCUCUCACAAAAUAGUCGGAGGUGGACGUCCAGCAUAUCUCCUUCUCUCUGUAGCACCCAGAGGUAUUGUUUUUUGCUCCAAGAAAUAUUAAAAGGAUUGGUUCUAUCUAAAAGUGGUUACUGGUGUAAAAUUAAACGCCAUGGGAGAAUUUGAAAGGAAGAUGCCAAGGAACUGGCGAAGUGGCUAAAUUCCACAAAUACGGCAUUAUUGCUCAUUUUUAACUCAAAAAAUUGAUACGCGUUCAUUUUGCGAAAAGUCCAAGACGCUUGCCUUUUGAAAAGAAGAGGUAUCCAAUAGAUAUCCAACCUUUAUCUUAUUUUAAUUACUACCACGACAUGAUUGAUGGUGGUUAAAUCAAUUGUUUCUUUUUUAAUUUAAAGAAUUUUUCAUUAAAAAAUAUUUUAAUAUCAAAUUGCCUUCAAUAGCGUAACUGCCGCAAGCCCAGUAACAGGAUUAAUUAAUUUUUUUUGAAUUUUUGGGCAUGGAAAGAGUAGUAUUAGACUUCAGAAAGCUAAGGUUGUUAUGUUAAAGAAUUGAUAUUGACAUAAUUUUAUUUUGGCUUUCGGGGAAAAAAAUAUUUGCUGACAAGCAAGAAAAUAUUUUUGUAUUUUACAAUUUAUUAUACAUAUUUGAUCAUAUUAAAGUAAUUUUAAUAAUAAAUAGACACAUAAUAUUACAAUAAAUAAAGUAAAGUUUAAAUUAUUUUGAAUAUUAUAAAAAAAUAAUUUUAAUAUUAUUAAUAGGAAGACAUUUUGUUAAUUUUAAAAUCUUUUUAACCUAAAGGUUUAUUUAAAAUCUUUAGAAAUCUCCAUCCCACAUCUACCCUAUUAAACAAGUUGAUGGAAAUUGAACAAUUGCUUUUUAAAGUGGGACCCAUUGAGUUAUGUUCAUUACUGGUCAUUGUCUAUUCUUUCUAAGAGCCACUUGUUUUGAGCAUUAGCAAUCCUAUCUGGACUACUCCAAUUAUUGAUGUAACUCCAAUGGUUGCAUCGACAGUUGAAUAUAAGAGGAUGGUCCAUCGACAAUUUCUUUGUUUCUCCGUUGCAGCGUAUUAGUAUAAAUUUCUUUACCUAACAGUUCAUACAGUCUUCCUGUUAAUGAAUUCACUGAGGCAUUAUUGAUACAAUGUGCUUUUCGCUAAUUAAUUAUGAUUAUAUACGCUUUCAUAUAGCAAGUGGCAUUGUAGAUCUAAACUAAGUUGCUAUUUCAAUACGUUAAUUAAGUGAUUCUCCUCAUUGUCAUCAGCAUUAUACCCUCUAGGAAAAUAGCUCAAUUGUUUCUCUGCAUUGAUUUUCAUUGGUAAGUGAUUUCUUAUGAAAUUCUUUUGAGCUUUCCUUAUUAAAAAUGCUUGAGCUUUUAUCACCUAAUACGGAUAUCAAUUAACUUGUGAACGAUUUUGUAAUGAAACUAGGAGUUAAAUAAGAUUUUUACAUGAUGAUCAACUUGUUAAUUUUGUAUAUUUCAUAUUCAACAGGAUUUGGGCACGGAACGUUUGGAUUCUAAUAUUUAUAUAUUUAGUUUUAAUCAGUUUGACUUUCGUAAUCUUUCUCGCCUCAUCAUUAAGGGAUUAAGAAUUAGAGAAACAUUAGAAACAGGAAGAAAAUAACUUCAGAAAUAAGUAAGAGGGAAUCCAAUGAGAAAUAUGAUAAGAGAACGUCAAUUACUUGUCAUUUUCUAUUUUUUCUAUGAGAUAUUUAUUUUGAGCAUUAGUUAUAGCAAAUCCUUGAAAUCUACUAAACAAAACAAUGCCCUGUCUCAUGAAUCGAUGUUGAAUUACAGCUGAAAUUGAAAGUCUGGCACCAGUUAUAGCAAAUAUUGAAUUACAAUAUUUCCCUUGCCAAACCGUACCUGCAUGUGGCAACGUGCCUUCUUCACUUGCUAACACCCUUUUCAACCUCUCACAAAACAGUCGGAGGUGGAAUUCCAGCAUAUCUCCUUCUCUCCGCAGCACUCAGAGGUAUAGUUGAAAGAUUAAACACCAUGGAAGAAUUUGAAAGGAAAAUGCCAAGAAACUGUGUAAGUGGCUAAAUUCCACAAAUAUGACAUUAUUGCUCAUUUUUUAACUCAAAAAAAGGGUACGCGUUCAUUUAGAGAAAAGUCCAAGACGCGUGCUUUUUAAAAAGAACAGGUAUCCAACCUCUAUCUUAUUAAAUUACAACCAUGACAUAAUUGAUGGUGCUUAAAUCAAUUGUUUCUUUUUUAAUUUAAAGAAUUUUUCAUUAAAAAAAUAUUUUAAUAUCAAAUUGCCUUCAGUGGCGUAACUGCCUCAGGCCCAGUAACAGGACUAAUUAAAAAUUUUACAAUUUUUGGGCAUGGAAAUAGUAGUAUUAAACAUUAGAAAGGUAAGGUUGUUCUGUUAAAGAAUUGAUAUUGACAUAAUUUUAUUUUGGUUUUCGUGGAAAAAAAAUUUGUUGACAAGUAAGAAAAUAUUUUUAUUUUUAUAAAAUUUAUUAUGCAUAUUUAUCAUAUUAAAGUAAUUUUAAUAAUAAAUAGAAACAUAAUAUUACAAUAAAUAAAUCAAAGUUUAAAUUAUUUUGAAUAUUAUAAAAAAUAAUGUUAAUAUUAUUAAUAGGAAGACAUUUUGUUAAUUUUAAAAUCUUUUUAAUCCAAAGGUUUAUUUAAAAUCUCUAUAAUAAAUACAAAUAUAAGAUUAAAAUAAAAAUCAUAAUUUGAAAAUUUUAAUAUUAUUUUAAAUGUUAAAUAUACUUUAAUGUUAUUAGCCUACUACGUAAAUUUUAUUAUUUAUAUUAUAUUCGUAUUGAUUAAAAUUUUUUAAAGUCAAUUUUUUAGUUAGUACAUUCACGAGGUAUAAUAGUUAAAGAAAAAAUUUUGGUGCAACUGUUUUAAAAUUUCAGGGUAUAAAUGAUAAUUUUUUUAAAAAUUUUAAGUAGGUAUUAUUUUUCCGACAAUUUAUUUUAUUGAGGGAAACCCGAUGAGAAAUAUCAUCAGAGAACAUUAAUUUAACAUUCUUUACCUUUAUGAAAAAAGUGGAAACCAAGAACUAUUCAAUUUUUUUUUUUUUGUGUAAUUCAAAAAAUGCAUCCACCAAACAAGCUUAUCUUAAUUUUCCCACUUUAUUCAUUUUCGAUGCUUUUCAAAAGAGGUUCCUUUAAUCCAUCUAGCAUCUGCAGCCCCCACUAUUUUUACAAAUCUCCAUCCCACAUCUACACUAUCAAAAAAGUUGAUGGAAAUUGAACCCAUUAAUUAAGUUAUGUUCAUUACAGGUCAUUAUCUUUCUAUGAGCCACUUAUUUUGAGCAUUAGCGAUCUUAUAAGGAAUCAUGCCUUUUCCGGAUCGUUUUCUUUCAUUUCCUUAUUGACUUAUUGUAGUAGUUAAUUAAAUAAAGAACGAACAAGUGAACUUAAUUUGUCUAUUUCGAGGAAGAACAAGGUUUCCAAUACUAGAGGAACUUUGAAGAAAAUUAAUUGGAAGCCUUUAUUCAUCUUUGAAGAAAAUUACCACACUUUAAAUCCUGGAUUAAAAAAAAUUUAUUCAUCUUCGGACUAUGAAUUUAUAAAAUAAUAUUGCUAGGACUAAGAAAAAAAUAUUAUUUUAGAUACGUUAUUUAUUUAUUAUUGAAUGAAAAAUUUAUCAUGAUAAAUAAAAUUUCUUAAUUUAAAGAGAGAUUUUUUUUUUGGUUUUAAGAAGAGUUUUUUUGGUACAUGCACACACUAAUAAAGAAACACAAAAAGUGCUUCCUCAAGUCAAUAGUAUUUACUUUAAUCGCUAAGGUGCAUAAUAAUGUAGCUUAGUUAGGAAAUUUGUAAUUACAUUAUGGCUCCGUUUGGUAUAACUUUUUAAUUAGAACUUAUUUAAAGAGAAUUUAUAUUAGUAGAGUUUUUAUAAAUAGAGAUUUUUUUUAUAAAAAAAAUUAUAGUUAUUUAGUUAUCAAUGUCCAAAUUGAUGAAGUAUUGUUCUUUUUAUUAACAUGUGUUUGUUUUACUUAAUAAUAAAAGUUUAGUUUACAAUUACACCGGUGUCAAAUCAGCAGAGCAUCGGCAAGAGUUUUCGAUUGUUGCAAUUUGCAAUGCACGCGGUGAGAGAAAAUGAGAAUCUUGUUUAAUUGUCAAUAAUGACAAACCUAAUCCUUUCAUUAGGAGUAAAUUAAUAAUCGUUGGUUAUAAUUGAAUAUGUAUAAAGAAAGGAAAAUUAUAUUCAUAGAUUUGACUUAUUUUUUAUUUAACGUAACUAAUCAUUCAACCAUCUUCGUUUGCCUCUGGCCAAUGCCCUUGUAGAUUAGUUGAAGCGUUAAUUACAUAAUUCAGAUAAUUACAACGUCCUUUUCGCUAAUUAAUUAUGAUUAUGUACAUUUUCAUAUAGCAAGUGGCAUUGUAGAUCUAAACUACGUUGCUAUUUCAAUACGUUAAUUAAGUGAUUCUCGUCAUUGUCAUCAGCGUUAUAAACAGGAAUUAUGCAAACAGUACACAAUGCUGCAGCAAGGCGUGGUUGGCUAGAGUUUUGCAACCACCCUCGAGAUCAUGUGCUGCCAGUAGUAAAAGAAUUUUACGCCAAUUUGGUAAGCCUUGGUCAGCACAAUAUUUGGGGUAAGAAACUCACUUGUUCCAUUAGACUCUCGAGUUAUAAAUGUUUUUUAUAAUUUACCUGCUGAAAUUAAUUGUGAGUAUGCCAAGUUGCUUGACAAAUUGACCUCACAACAAUGGAACACAAUUUUCACGACACUUACAGUAGAGGGUGCAUCGUGGGCUAAUGAGGAGGGGCGUGUAAUUAACAGGAUAGAUUUAAAACUCAUUGCUAAGGUGUGGGUGAAAUUUCUGAAAUCUAGGCUUAUGCCAACCAUCCACACCAUUACUGUUUUACAGGAAAGGUUGGUGCUGUUACAUGCUAUUGUUAGAGGGCUUUCCAUAGAUGUGGGAAGUAUUAUCGAAAAAGAAAUUCGAGAUUGUACCAUGAAAAACCACAAGGUUGUUGCCUUGUUAUUUCCUUCACUCAUAACCAGCAUAUGUGUAGUAUCGGGUGUUCAUCUUGAUGCAAAGGAUAAAAUUUGUAAUUAUAUUAUGGCUCCAUUUGGUAUAACUUUUUAAUUCGAACUUAUUUAAGGAGAUUUUUAUUAGUAGAGCUUUUAUAAAUAGAGAUUUUACUAAAAAAAAAUUAUAGUUAUUUAGUUGUCAAUGUCCAAAUGGAUGAACUAUUGUUCUUUUUGUUAACAUGUGUUUGUUUUACUUAAUAAUAAAAGUUAAGUUCACAAUUACACCGGUGUCAAAUCAGCAGAGCAUUUUUGCAGGGGUAAAAUCUCAUUUAGUCCCUAUAUUUUAAGCUUAGUAUCCAUUUGGUCCCUAUAUUUUUAAAAAUACCUCAAAACAUCCCUACCGUUAAAGUAUUGAUACCCCUACCGUUAAAGUAUUGAUACCCCUACCGUUAUCUUUAAUUUAUUUUGGCUUACUUUUACAAUAUUACCCUUUUAUAAUAAUUUUUUUAGACAUGAAUAAAAAAUAAUAAUUAAAUUACCAAUUUAACCCAAAAAAAAUUAAAAAAAAAAUUAUAUUAAUUUUUUUUGCAAACACCAUUUGCACACUUGAUAGUUUGCAUACAAUUUUAGAUAAUUAAAUUUCAACACAAGACUGAGUUUUUCAUCAUUCAAACUUCUCAUGUCUAAACUUUAUUUAUUGAGGUGCUAAAAGAUAAAUAUAUUGGCAAUUGGGAAAUGAAGUCAAUGAUAAGUUUGAUACAACCGUUGAUUAAAUAUCAUUAAAAAAAAAAAAGUACCUACAACUAGAAGUUAAAAAAAAAUGUCACCAUAGCCCACGUAUAAAUCCAUUUUGUAGUGCGUCAAAACUUAUGAAUAUCCUCUUGAAGUACGUCGCUACACCUUAUGUUUCAUAUUGAAUUUUCACCAUUGCCCUUUUAUUCUUUAUAAGAAGAACGUUGGCAUAGUCAUGUAACUUUGCAUAAGAUUUUGUGUAGUCACUAUCAGCAAUUUUUAGAACCCUUUUUUUGGCCAUAUACAGCCUUUUCUUUGUAGUUGAACAAGAAAACCUCUUCCUCAAUUCAUCUGACAUGGAUUCACAACCGAUAUCAGGAUUAAAACUAAUAAAACCAUACAAUUUCUGAGCUAUCCAUCUACUAGUUACUUCAGGAUUCUUAAACAGCUCUUUGCACUUAUGUUCACCACCUUUUAAAGUUUUAAUCUGGAAUGUAACUUUGUCAACCAAUAAAGAUGCAUGGAUUCUCCAUGGACAUUCCUUUCCUUCUUUGUCCUUCCCAGCACACACGGCUGUAACUCUACAUUUGUCAUUCUUUUUCCUUUUCAAAACUCUUGACUCUUGAAUAGCAUAAUCCUUCAAUACAUUCUUAAACUCUUGAGCACAACUAAAAGUUUGCCCAACUUCCAAAACAAUAUCAUCAUCACCAUCGGGUUCUUGAACUUUUUUUUCUUAAAUCCCUUUUCAUCUUCAAUAUUAUAGCGUCAUCUUCUUCAUCACUUGUAAUAGAUACAUCUUCAUUAUCACUCUCACAAUCUGACAUGCCAUCAUCUCCAUCAAAUUCAUUAAUAUCAAACCCUAAAUCAACUUCAGGUUCACUAUCAGACUUAACAAUAUCACCAAUAUCUUCAUCAGACCAGUCAAUAGACUCAACACUGAUUGCAUCAUCACUUUCACCAUCUAAAAUACAAACAUUAACUGCAUUUGAGGCAAAAUGAUUAUCUUCAGGGCGAGUUUGAGCUAAAACGGGUGACAAGCUGGCCAAGGAUAACGCAUCCAUCUCCAAAUUAAUAGAAUUAAGACCCUUGGCUUGAAUUAAGUUAACCAAAUUCUGGAAGUCUUUAUCAUUAUUCAAUUCAAUCCCUUCAUUGGACCAUGGGACAAUGCCAGUAAGCUUAAAGCUCUCAUCAUAAUGCUUGUGCCUUCCAAAGACAUUAUUCAAGACAUCGUUGAUGAGGGAUACAAGAAUCAAGCAAUCAGGAUCAUAAGCAUCCUCCACAUCUUUGCCUAAAAAUCGAACUGAAAUGCUGAUUUGACUCAUUUUGAAUCUGCCAACAUAAAGAUGAACAAAAAAUAUCAGAAACUUAAAACUAUUACAUACGAAAUCAUAAAAUACAAAAUCGACAUUAUAGAACUUUAUAUGAUUAUGAUUUUUUUUUACAAAAAAAUACUCAAUCAAGUGAAGUUAAAAUAAUUUCUUUUCGAUUACAAAUCAAUUCCACUACCAAUAUUAAGCUACGAAACAACCAUGAAAGGGUUAAAAAAAAGAAAGAAAGAAAACAAAAACCGUUCAACUUUUAGUCUACUGCAAAACAAAAACCGUUCAACUUUUAGUCUACUUCAUAUGGAAUUUUAGUCUUGGGAAGAAAUACCCAUUCAAGUGGAAAAAAAAAUAAUUUCUUUUCAUUGAACACAUGGAAGAUUAAAAAAAUAAAUAAAUAAACAAGACCAAUGUGAGACGUACCAGAAUAGGCCAAUUUCCUUCGUUGUCGGUUUUGACAUCUACUGCAAGACUACGUUUCCAAUAGAAAAAAUUUUACAGCAAUAAAAUUGUUAUGAGUUUUAAAAAAGCAAGUCACUUAAGUUCUUAAAGCGAGGGUUUUAAAGAAUAUUAGGGUUAAAAUACGUUUUUGCGAUUAUGGAUCUAGGUUAUCGUAAUAAUUUUUUAAAAUUUUAAAUUUUACCAAGAAAAAUACAUUUUUACCCUCAUUAAUCUAGAAUUAACAGUAACGGAGGUGAUGCUAAGGGUGUUUUGAGGUAUUUUUAAAAAUACAAUGACUAAACAGACAUUAAUCUAACGCUUUUUCUCCCAUGUAAAUUCUUAAUGUCGUUUUUCCAUAGUAUAGGAUGUAAAAUUGCCAGGAUUCAUGCUUUAAUCUGAUCAAUGGUCCUCCAACGAGAACUGAGUCAGGAUGAAUCGUCUGUCCAUUUUCCAAUUCGAACGAGGAAAGGAAGGCUGGAUCAGUGACCGUUAUAAUUACUCUACUUCCAUUCUGAUUCUCAGGAAGUACUUCUUCAAGAUCAUCCAAUACGUCGUCACCCUCUUUGUAGUAAUCAUCAAGCACAAUAAAGUACUUCUUGUUUGUUAGGUAAUCUCGAAGAAUAGAUUUCUUCAAUUGAUAAUCUUCACCGAUAACUACACUAACCCGAGAUGGAGGCAUCACAGACUUGAUUAUGUCAUCCAAUAUCAUGCGAAAAUCGUAGGAUAUAGCAACCCUUGUUAGGAAAUUGAGCUUCCUCCCAAGAUCACUCCAAGCAAUUUAUCAAGCAACAAAUUAACAGAAAAAUUUAAUGGAGAAUACAUCAAUCACACAACACAAGAUUUACGUGGAAAACUCUAAAUCCGGAGAAAAACCACGGCCGUUGUCAAAAAGACAACCAGAGAAAAUAUUCACUAUAUGGAAAAUUAUUACAACCACACUCUCAAAAAUAAUUUUCUCUCACCCAAGCCCCAAAUACAUAAUCCUGAGAAAUAUCCCUUAACAAAGCAAACCCGUAAUACCCAUAUUACGGAGCCAAAUGCUCCUUCAAUAUAACUACAUGCUUAAGAACUUUUCUCUCUCUCAAUUUCUCACCAAAACUUGGAUUCCUUCUCUGGGAUUUGGAUUGCUUCUCUCAAUGGCCAACAGUUCAUGUCUAUUUUCUUUAGCAAAGCCGAAGCUCAUUGCUACUCAUUUCUCAUCAAAUGACAUUCCAAUUUAUAGCCAAACUAUCACACCAAAAAUCUAAUAAGUCGGCAACAACUUUCUUCCUUUUUUACAAAUUCAUCAUGCGGUUCAAAAUUGGCAUUUUGCUUGUCAAAGUCCAUCCACCCAUUUGAAUGCAAUCAAUGUGUUCCCAUUUCACUUUUCCUUUUUUUUUAAUCAAUUUCAACAAUCUCCACCUUGAUUAAAAAAAAAAUUCAUAACUACUGCUACAAAACACUGUCUUCACCAACAGUCAUAAUUCUUAACAUAGAGAAUUAUCAUACUCCACCAUAAAGAGUAUACCACUUAGAAACAACCAUUCUAAGAUUUUUCUCGGCACAUGUCAAAAUAUCUUGCUGAAAUUUAUGGUACAAUUCUCAUGCUUGGUUUCCCUAAGAAUUCUUCAGCCAUGACAUAACUUUUCCACUACACACCUUGCAUUUAUACCAAGCCAAUGCCCGCGUGCAAACUUGUGGACCCCGCUGAUCAUAGCAUGUUCUCUUUCAUGACAACUUGGAGAUUUACAUGCCAAAAGAACUAACCCAAUCUCCUAUCAAAAGGAAACUCACAAUCUACGAGAAUAUCAUUAUCUCCUUUACUGAUUCUGGAGUAAUUUGCCGAGCCCACUCCACCUUCUUGACAAUUUUCUUGAGGUGCCAAAAAUUGUCUCACACCUUCAAAUCUUUGUGCAUACCAGAUUGGAUACACCUUUGACUUGAAUUCUCCACAAGCCAAUAAAAUCAUUCUUCCAUUAAUUUUUUUUUUUAACAACAUCAAACUCCACCAAGUUUAAAAAACACCAGCUACUGACAUAUAUGCUUUACAUAAACAGUAUCGUAUACCCCAAGUACAAACCGUUGGCUCUGAUACCACUGUUAGGAAAUUGAGCUUCCUCCCAAGAUCACUCCAAGCAAUUUAUCAAGCAACAAAUUAACAGAAAAAUUUAAUGGAGAAUACAUCAAUCACACAACACAAGAUUUACGUGGAAAACUCUAAAUCCGGAGAAAAACCACGGCCGUUGUCAAAAAGACAACCAGAGAAAAAUAUUCACUAUAUGGAAAAUUAUUACAACCACACUCUCAAAAAUAAUUUUCUCUCACCCAAGCCCCAAAUACAUAAUCCUGAGAAAUAUCCCUUAACAAAGCAAACCCGUAAUACCCAUAUUACGGAGCCAAAUGCUCCUUCAAUAUAACUACAUGCUUAAGAACUUUUCUCUCUCUCAAUUUCUCACCAAAACUUGGAUUCCUUCUCUGGGAUUUGGAUUGCUUCUCUCAAUGGCCAACAUUUCAUGUCUAUUUUCUUUAGCAAAGCCGAAGCUCAUUGCUACUCAUUUCUCAUCAAAUGACAUUCCAAUUUAUAGCCAAACUAUCACACCAAAAAUCUAAUAAGUCGGCAACAACUUUCUUCCUUUUUGACAAAUUCAUCAUGCGGUUCAAAAUUGCCAUUUUGCUUGUCAAAGUCCAUCCACCCAUUUGAAUGCAAUCAAUGUGUUCCCAUUUCACUUUUCCUUUUUUUUUAAUCAAUUUCAACAACCCUGACCCAAGCAUGACAGUCAAAAUAGAACUUGACAUGAUUAUUGUUGUAAGUAUCAGCAGCAAAAGCAGUCUUAUCGAAGCUACUGCUGUCGAGAAUUGCAACCACUGAAAGCUGUGGUUGUCCCUCAAUCAAUAAAUCAAACAACUCCUCUCUGCCGUUUUCAAAUUCACUCUUAUCAAGCUGUGAUUGUCCCUCAAUCAAUAAGUAAGUGAAUUCGUUCCUUCGUUCUCUGAAAUCAAAACCAUUGCCUUCAGGUGGAAUUUGUUGCAACCGAUUUCUAAUAUCAAUGAUUUUACUGUGGAUUCCGACAAGAAGAGCAAUGCAAGUAGUGCUUUCACUUUCACUGCUUUGCUGCUGCGUGAUGUUGAUGAAGAAUGUGUCAAUAGCUUUCUCUGAUUCACGGACAAAGGAAUUGAUGUCUCUCAGAAGUUCCCAAAUGCCGAUAACGCGAAGGUAUUUCGUCUUCAUCGAAAUGUUCUCUAAUGAGUUGAAUCAAAACCCGAGCCAUUUCAGCUUCAUAGUUUCCCAGCAGAGUAGUGGCUAUAAUUUCGGACUCCGUAAGAAGGUUUUGAAAAAGUGGAGUUAAAUUUGUUGAAUCAGGCAAAGUUAACGUGCCUUCUUCACCUGCUAACACCAGUUUCAACCUCUCACAAAAUAGUGUGAGGUUAAUUUCCAUAUCUUUCCCUCUCUCAGUAGUACUCAGAGGUACGUAUUGUUAUUUGUUAGUGUUGAUGACGAAAGCUGAAUAACAAAACAACAGUGUACACAAUCAACAGAAGCCAAAGUAUGUUAAUUUGAGAUCAAAGGAUAUAAAUAAAGGAAAAGUUUUCGUCGAUUGAGAAUGGAUGGAUGCAAAGAAUGACUGAUAUUAAAUGAUUUCUAUAAAUGAGACAUGCAAAGAAUGAAAUUUAAAGGUAACCCCCUUUUUUUUUUUUUUAAAGUACUCUAUUGAAAGCCAAAGUUCCUUUGGCCAAUUAAUUUAGAAGUGAAGGAAAGAAUAAAGUUAGUCCUUGAUGUCUUUUGAAAUUAGAAAUACAUUUUGAAUGCUUUAAUAGAUGCAGAGCAAACUGGCUCGAUAUCUACCUAUUUUUAGUGCUAAAAUCAUUUAAUAGAAGUUGUAGCAUUAAAAAAAAAAAAAAAAAAAAACUGGCUUGAUAUCCAAUUUUGUUAUUGAAUAUGUCUCAUGUGAGAGUAAAAAAAAACUGGCUUGAUAUCCAAAAUUUAAAGGUAACUCCUUGAAUUUGAUUGAAAAAUUAUUGAGACGGACAAGGCUGGACCAUUGUUCGAGACUGAAACUACACAUCAGUCUUAGAAAAUUGUAAUUUUGUUGGCUUAUCAUGAUUUUGAUCGUCUCACAUUGAUUUUCCUAUGAUGUCUCUGUCGAGUGGCUAUGCUUACAUUUUUAGGUAUUUAAUUCUAAAAAUUAACUUAUUAAAUGGAGGGACCAAUUCUACCUAUAAAUCCAAGUGGCUUCCCUUUACUAACUCAUAUGAGAUACAACAAUAAUUUUCUUUGGACAAAACCACUGUUGGAGGGUUAUUUUCGUUCAACAUACAUGAGUUGUUCCACCACCAUAUUUUGAGGGUUUGUUUUGGAUAUGACUUGGGGGAGCUAAGGCUAAGAUUUCUAAGUAUCAACAUAAAAACCUUGCCGGAAGGACCAAUCCUACUUUAAAGUCUAAAUGACUAAUUCUUGAGGACACAACUCAACAGCCCAAUAUAAACUUUUGACGUCCCAUUUUAUUACUUUCCAGUGCUUUUACUUUUGCUGUCUAGAGCCCUACCAUGCUAUUAAGCAGAAAAUAUUUCAAGGCACUCUCGGUCCAGUAGAUAACUUUGGUAUUUAUCAUCUAUUUUCUUUCCAUUUUAUGCAUACCCCGAUCUUUACCUCUGAUUGGUUGUAGAUUCUUUUGUUGCUUUGGGGUUAGGGGGUGGUUUUCAUAACUAUUCAGUUGAUCAAUGCAGAAAAUCACCAUCAAGAAAUUAUAAAGGAUUGUUAGUUCUAUCUGACAAACAACAUUAAUAUGAAGGAUGAUGAUUGUUCUGUUCAAGAGUUUAUAAUGACAUAAUUCUACUUUGGUCUUUUAAAAAAAGUAAUUUAGAAACGAGGAGUAUGUGAGUGAUGAUUUUUACAAAAUAAAUUACAUGCGUAGUGAUGAUUUUGACACAUGAAAAUGAAAAAAGAAAUAUAACUUGUGAAUAAUAAUUGAAGUACCUGCUAUUGUUAUAUUGAGUAAUCAAGGACUUCAAUAUUCGGACGAUAUAAGCAACACAAUCAAAUAUUAGUUGGAAGGCAUAGCAAAAUUAGAAUGUAGAACAAACUGGGUAUUGAUAAAUGGAUGGUUUUGGAAGAAUUGAAAAUGAUGGCAUAAGUAAACCAAAGUUUAGAGAAAAGAGAAAGAGCAUUUGAACUUUACUUGUAAGAAAAGGCAAAUAUCUUGGUUCAAGAAAAGAUAAGAGAUAUCAAACUAGCAAUAGGAAAAAGGAGGAAGGUUAAGACAGCAUCUUAACAAAAGCUAAAGAAAAGAAAAACUUAGUUCAAGCAAAGAACAAUGUGCUAAUGUCGUGUAAUCUUGUUUAAUUUCUUUUUCUUCUCACAUUUUCCAGGGCUUAAAUAAUACAAUAUACAUUUUCAAGCAAAGAACAAUAUGCAAUUGCAGUACUUCUGAGCACACAACAACAAAUAAAUAAUACAAUAUACAUACCCACUAAAUUAAAAAAAAAAUAUUAUCCAAGUUUGUGGACUAUAGCCAUGGCGUCGUCGAAAUCUACUGACAGCUGAAACAAAGAAAGAAUGGAUGAAUGCUGGAUCACAGUUGAAAUUGAAGGUCUGGUAGGUGAUGUUUCCCUCUCUGAUUUUCCCUAAACAAAUACAAGAAAAUAAGAAUCACAAAUGAAAAUCUGCUAUUACACUGUUCUUACUUAUUAAAAUACAGAGGUUUCUUUGUUUCUCUGCAGCAAUGUCCAUGGCUAUUAGAAACAAGAACAAUUAGACCAGCAUUUGUAAGAAUCCUUUAAGGUAUUACUGCAGAUAUAAAUCGACUGAGGAAAUGGAAAAAUUGAAUACCAAAUUAGGCAAGUUAACUGAAGAUUGAGUUAAUCAUAGAAGAAUAAAACUCAUCCAAUUCAAUCCAUCAAAUUCCAUAAGGGUACAACUGGAUGUCAUACUGCUGCUCCAUAUCCUCAAGAGCCCGUAGAUUUUGCCUCAACUCUGGCUGAGGCCAAUGUAAGUCCAAUUUGCAAAAGCUCUUUAUGCACCAUAGCUCUUCAGGAAGCUUUCUCAAGUAAGCACAAGGGUUGACAAUUAUGCUUCCAAGUUUUGGCAUUGCUCCAGCCCCUAUCGUCCACUCCUCUAGCAAAUACAUUGAUUUCAGGUGCAAUACCUUGAGCUCCGGGAAACCACAAGAGCAAACACAAGCCAGUUUUCUUCCUGAAUAUGAGUUCUGGUUCAAUUUCAGCACUUGAAGGUGUGGAAGCUUGUCUAGUGUUAGCAUGGUAUCCUCCAAUAACUCAGUAUUUGAUAAGCUUAGAUGGAUCAGACUUGGAGAAGCUGGUAUUUAGACAGGGCCAUCCGAGAGAGCUACCACCUCUGGUUUCGUUCACCAGCUUCAAGCAUUCAAGUUUGUGUAGUUCGCAUAGGCUUUUGGAAACCCCAGAACGAUAAUAACUCAAAUCUCCAGAUACUAAGAGUUUGAAAAUGAGGUAGUCUGCCUGUUAAAGUAGCUCACUAUGUUGAACAAAUGAAGGAGAAAGCUAAGCUGGAGAAAAUACAGGGCAAGAGUAUUAGCUGUGCCAGCUCAACUGACAGCUCAGCAAAAUCAGUUAAAUUUUGUUACAAGCCCCCUGUGCAUUGUGCUGAAGAUUAGUUAGUUUAAUAAUGAUUAGUUUUAGAUUAGUUAAAAUGUAAUCAUGAUUAAGAUAUAUAUAUAUAUAUAUAUAGCUGCUGUACUGAUAUCAUGGAUUAAGUGUUGAGAAAUAAAAUUCAUUAAGCAUUUCCAGAACUCUUGAUUUUCUUUCUCAGUAGCCAAACAACUUCACUCUCAUUUUUUUUUUUCAACAAUGAGUUCUCAAACCACUCAGGUAUCAUUUUCAGACAUUCUUGGCCUUGUACUCACCAUCAAAAUGGGUUGGUUGAGAGAAAACAUAGGCAUAUUGUUGAAUUAGGUUUGACUCUGUUGGCUCAAGCUCAACUUCCUUUUAAAUUCUGGUGGGAUGCAUUCCAUACUGCUCUAUCAUCAAUAGAUUACCAUCUUCUGUUUUCAAACUUUCGACCCCAUAUGAGAAGAUAUUCAAGCACAAACCUGAUUAUGAUUUUCUCAAAUGUUUUGGUUGUAUUUGUUAUCCUUACUUGAGAGACUAUAACAAACAUAAGUUUGCCUAUCAUUCCAGUAACUGUAUAUUCAUUGGUUAUAGUCCUUCACAAAAGGGUUAUAAAUGCUUACAUUCUUCAGGUCAUGUCUAUGUGGCAUGACUUGUUAUCUUUGAUGAGUCAACCUUUCCUUAUGCUACUGAAUCUGUUUUUCAUAGUCACACAAAUUCUGAUUCUCAUUCUUCAAACUUAUUUACUCCACAGCAUGUCUAUUAUCUUUCUACUUUACCUGUCAUACCAGUAUUUCUAAGUAACAACACUGAUAAUCUAAACUCUACAAAACUAAAAUACCAGCUUUUUGGUGUUAGCAAUAGGAAACAACUUACCACAACCAUUAAUUAUCCAUAAUUUCAUUGUUUAUCCUCAGUUUUCUUCAUAAAUGUUACAGCAUUCUUCACGAGAAAGCGCAAGGGCAUUUCAAAAGUUCUGAAAUAAUACCUCAAUUCUAUUGCAAAAAUAAAUAAUCUCAAACAAGAACCAAUAAUCAUAUUUCGUUACUGUCAAACACAAUGCAUCUGAGCAAAACAUUGGAAGCCAACACCAGAAUACAUAUGAAUAAACAAUUAAAGAUAGAGAAAAAAGGCUUAAACCUUGGGGGAAAAAAGUGAAAAAAACAUGAAAGACAAAUUACACAUGUACAGUAAUCAUCGAACUUAUCAGUCACAGCUGCAUCCAUUACAUUGCUCCAACAACACAAUGGCAAACCACCAGUUUCAAAUUGAGGAUAGCUAUCGAGAAUGAGAAAGUGUCCAAAACGUCAUAAAUAGACAUGUUCCUAUUGUGCAUAAUUUACAUUAUAGGCAAAUAUUCUUAUACCAUCAAAGGCAACACAUGACACUAACAAUUGAUCCCCCCCCCCCCCCCCCCCAAACAACCAAAAAAAGGAAAAAGAAACAAUACAGAAAAGAUUGAAACAGAUAAGGCUACACUGAGCACAGGAUGCCAUGAAACAUAAUCCAGGAACCAAAUUAAUAAAAAAGGAGGCCAAACCAUUAUUUAACAAUCUGUUUUGUAUUUGGGAAAGUCUGAUAAAAUCUACUGAGGGAUAAUUAGAGAACCUCAACUAUUAAUCACACCUCAUAAAUGAACUAACAUUAACCAUCUACCAUCCCCACGUCACACAAACAUUCUCUAUACUUCUGAACCUAAUACUUCCAUCUUCAAUAGGGGGUUUUUUUUCUUUUUUUUGGGGGGGGGGGGAGUUAUCAAUUUUCUAAGCUUGCUUAGCUUCUGUGUAGGACUGAAAUGCUCAUUUCGAAUCACUAACAGUAAAAUUGGAAGCUCAUGAAAAAACAGUUUUAUCCCAAAAUUGCAUCUCGAUAUAAAUUCUCUUUUCAUUUCCUUCAACUUUCUAAUUAAGCUUAAAAAAUGUACCUUCAACCACAAAGGGGUUUAAAAUUUAAAAUAUAAAAAAUAAAUUCAGAUAAAAAUAAUUAAUUUAAUUAAAAAUAUAAAUAGAGUUACAGAGAAAGAGAAAAUAGAGAAAGACCUAAUGUUGAGUCCUUUGGCGCAUGUCUCUUCAUAGGUCCGAACCAUUUCUUCGGGCGUGGGUUACGGCCGAGAUUGGAUAAUGAUGGAGGAGGAGAAGAUUAGCGAUGACGACGCCGAUGAAAUGGAAGGGUUUACCAGAGGAGUGGAUGCGAAGAGUGCAGGGACGGCCGCAGAGAGAGAGCGGCGGAGAGCGGCGACGGACGGAUGGCGGUAUGGGCCAUUGCUUGCGCGUCGGUGAUUGUCUCGAGUGAGAGAGUGAAGGGUUUUGUUUAGGGUUUUGGGAAAUGAAAAAUGCAAAUGUUUGAUUUUGUUGCUAGAAACUUCUUCUGCUGCUGCCUUUUAUUGUCGCUAUAAUAAUAAUAAUUUGUUAAUCAAAUAUUUUCUUAAAAAAGAUAAAUUUCUACAACAAAAUUUAUAUUAAAUCAAAUUGUAAAAAUGUCUAAUAGGGUUAAUUUCUCCUUAAUAUUAUUAUUAGUAGAAGUAGAUUUUCAAAUUAGUCUUGAUAUAUAUCAGAGUUGUAUUAUAAAUGUAUAUGUAUCUGGAUUGCAAUUAUAUUUUAAAAAAAAUAAUUUUUUUAAUUAUUGCACAAUAAAUGUAGAAAGUGUCUAUAAAAUAAUAUUAUUGGAACUAUGAAAAGAUAUUAUUUUAGAGUAGUUAUUUAUUUAUUUUUGAAUAAAUAAUUUAUUAAUUUAUUGAUAAAUUAAAUAAAUAUUAAUUUAAACAGAGAAUUUUUUUUUUGUGGGUUUUUAAGAAGAGUUUUGUUGGUAUAUGUGCAAACUUAUAAAGAAAUACAAAAAAUGCUUCCUCAAGUCAAUAGUAUUUACUUUAAUUCAUAAUAAGAUAGUUUAAUCAAGAAACUUGUAAUUAUACUAUAUCUUUCUUUCUUUGUUCUGUUUGGUGGGAUAUUGUGAUAAAUCAUUGGAUUACAAUGCAUUUCUAAAUGAAAACUUGUUAAAACCUAAUUUAUUUGGGAACCACAUUUUAUUUGUCAGUCUUAUUUCUCAACUUAGCAAAUUAUUUCUAACUUAUCGGUCUCUAUUGGUUCUCUUAAGUACCUGUUUGGUAUAUCUUAUUUAAUGGCAAUAAGUACUUAUUUAAUCUCAUAAUUUUUUUCCCUCUCUGACAAUUGAGGUAGGGGGUCAAACUUGAAAGUAUCUUAAAAUCAGACAACAAUUUAACUAUUUUUUUUUUUUAGAUAACUGCUAAUAUGCUCUAUUAGACAAUGAUAAGUGAUUGCAUUUAUGCAUCCCCACCAAUAUUUAAGCAAUUUAAUUACAGAAACAUUUCUUGAGGAAAGAAACUCAUAUCACCACUAGGCUUUUAAUGAGGCUCAUUUUUAUGAAUCUGGAUAGCAUUAGAUAUCUCUCCGAAUAUUGGUGGGAGUAGAUCGCAGAUCUCUGGGCUAUACUACAAAGUGUAUGUACGUUGACUCUCAAUAAACACAAACGAUUCCCUGAUAUGAUUCAAAACAUCAGUGCAUGCAUCAUUUUAACGAGAGAGAAUAUUCCCAGAAAUGUACACGCAUGAGGAAUUUUUCCUAGAAGAUUGAUAUUUCUUUAACUAGCAAACCAUACAAGUCCGGGGCUUAAAUGGAGUACUUGUAAGCAUAAAACAUUAAUCAAAACACAGUAUAGACACACACACACACACACCCCUACAUACAUACCAGCAAAUUCGAAAUAGAAAAAGAAGUGCAGCUAUUCAAGUUUGUAGACAAUAUUUCAACCAUGGCAUAUUAAAGCAAAUCCUUGAAAUCAGCUAAACAAAACAAUGCCCUGUCUCAUGAAUCGAUGCUCAAUUAAAAUUGAAAUUGAAAGUCCGGCUGGUGUUGUUUCCCUCUCCAGUUUUGCCUACAUAAGUAAAGGGAAAUGAGAAUCAUAAAUGAAAAUCUGCUUUGACAGUUCUUAUUAGAUAGAUAUAAAUGGAUCUUUCUUUGUUUCUCUGCUGUAAUUUGUGGCUACCCCACUCUGUUUUGCCAGUCAAGCUGAGUCUACGUUAAGGCAUAAUUUUGACAUCAGAAGCAACCUCAAUUAGUUUGGCAUUUUCAUGACCUCCUUGAAGGUUUUACGAUAAACAUAAAUCCACUGAGAAAGUGGGAAAAAAAGAAAAUUCAUAUAAAAGUAUGAGUUAUCAGAUAAGAUUAAAACUCACCCAAUUCAAUCCAUCAGAUUCCGUAAGGAUAUAACUGGAUGUCAUACCGCCACUCCAUAUUCUUGAAAGUCCGUAGUGUUUGUCUCAACUCUGUCUGGGGCCAAUGUAAGUCCAAUUUGCGCAAGCUCUUUAUGCACCACAGCUCUUCUGGAAGCUUUCUCAAGUAAGCACAUGGGUUGACAAUUAAGCUUUCAAGUUUCGGCAUUGCUCCAGCCCCCAUCGUCCACUCAUCUAGCCAAUACAUUGAUUUCAGGUGCAAAACCUUAAGUUCGGGAAAGCUACUCAAGCCAACACAAGCAAGCUUUCUUCCUAAAUACGAGUUCUGCUUCAGUUUCAGCACUCGAAGGCGUGGAAGAUUUUCCAGAAUUGGCAUGGGAUCCUCCAUUAGCUCAGUAUUUGAUAAGCUCAGUUGGAUCAGACUUGGGGGAAAUUGGUAUUCAGACUGGACCAUCCGUGAGGGCUUGCUCUCAUUCACCAGCUUCAAGCAUUCAAGUUUGUGGAGUUCGCAAAGGCUUUUGGAAACCCCAGAUUGAUAGUAACUCAAAUCUCCAGAUAUCCGAAGAGUCUGAACACUUGGUAGUCUGCCCAAUAUAUCAGGAGUACAACUACUAGGGUUUAAAGCUGAUAUGAAAAUGAGUUUUUUCAGAGAGCUAGAAUAAUUUUUUGGAGGUGCGGGCAGAGUGAUAGAACCAAAGUUUAGAUGCAUGAGUUUUUGCAUCAUCCAAAUAUCCUCUGGUGACUGAUCUAUGUAGCUAGAUGGCAUUUCUAGUGUUUCAAGGUUUAAAAGGGUGCAUAGCAGUGAAGGAAGGCAUUUGAGCGAAGGGAUAUUCAAUUUCAAAUACUUCAAAAGAUAUAAAUUUUCUAAUGCGGGUGGAUAUUGGUCCAGGACUGCAGAACCCAUGUUCAAUACCCGAAGGUAUUUGAACCUUUUAAAAAAAUUCUCGCAAUCUUUCGGAUUAAGAUGAUUGCUUUCUGAACUGUGAUUCAGAAAUGAUUGGAGAUACAUGUCAGACUGUUGUAAAAAAAAGAACUCAAGCAGAUCUUCCAAAAUGAAGCACCGUUUAGCAUUUUCAAUUGAUUCCCCUAUCCAUGCAGGCAUUCGGACAAAUCUCGUCUUCUCUGCCACCAAACCCAAUGAAGUAAAUACAAAACUUGGAACAUAACACGCUUUAAUUGUGCCUCCGGCUCUUCUCGUACUCACUUUAAUGAAGCCGCGAUGGAUUAGUUCUUUCAAGUAAUGUUCGGCAGUUUCUUCACCGUUGUAUGGUAUGAAACCUUCAGCUACCCACAACUGAUAUAAUUGCCUCGUGGAUAUCUCGAUGCCUGGAGGGAAGACACACAAAUAGAUGCAGCAGACUUUCAAGUGAAAAGGUAACUCCAUCACAGAGAAAAUUUGUCUCCAUACUGUCGGAAUCGCUUCGCUUUGAAGAUAAUUUUCUAAUGGCAUACUUCCAUAGUGUAGGAUGAAAAAUUGCCAGGCCUCAUGCUUUAGUCUGAUCAAUGGUCCUCCAACGAGCACUGAACCAUGCCGAAUCUUCUCUCCAUUUUCCAUUUCCAACGACUCAAGGAGGUCUGGAUCAGCGGCCAAUAUUAAUACUCUGCUUCCAUUCUCAUUAUCAGGGAGAACUUCUUCGAGAUCAUCCCAUAUCUCACGGUCAUUGAAGACGUCAUCAAGCACAAUAAAGUACUUCUUGUUUGUUAGGUAAUCUCGAAGAAUAGAUUUCUUCAAUUGAUAAUCUUCACCGAUAAUUACACUAACCCGAGCUGGAGGCAUCACAGACUUGAUUAUGCCAUCCAAUAUCUUGCCAAAAUCAUAACGUAGAGAAACCCUGACCCAAGCAUGACAGUCAAAAUAGAACUUGACAUGAUUACUGUUAUAAGUAUGUGCAGCAAAAGCAGUCUUAUCGAAGCCACUGCUGUCGAGAAUUGCAACCACUGAAAGCCCAGAUGGUCCCUCAAUCAAUAGAUCAAAAAACUUCUCUCUGCCCCUUUCAAAUUCACUGAUAUCGAGCCGAGGUUGUCCCUCACUCAAUAGGCGAAUGAUUUCGUUACGUUUUUCACUGAUAUCAAAACCAUUGUCGCCGGGUGGAAGUUGUUGCGUCCGAUUUCUAAUAUCAAUGAUUUCACUGAUAUCAAAACCAUUAGUGCUGCUUUCACUUUCGUUUUCACUGUUUUGCUGCUGCAUAAUGUUGAUGAAGAAUGUGUCAAUGGCUUCCUCAGAUUCAUGGACAAAGUGAUUGAUGUCCUUAAGAAUUUCCAGAAUGUCUGAUCUUUUAACGUCUUCUUCAUCACUUUCUUCUAAGUCCAACAGUUGCAAUAAAGGCAAAGACAUAUUGGAUUCAGCGAAUUCUUGUCUGAAUAGUUGAGACAAAAUCCGAGCCAUGUCAGCUUCAUAGUUUCCCGACAGAGUAGUAGUAAUAAUUUCAGACUCCGUAAGAAGGUUUUGAAAAAGCGGGGCUAAAUUUGUUGAAUCAGUCAACGUUAACGUGCCUUCUUCACCUGCUAACACCCUUUUCAACCUCUCACAAAAUAGUCGGAGGUGGACGUCCAGCAUAUCUCCUUCUCUCUGUAGCACCCAGAGGUAUUGUUUUUUGCUCCAAGAAAUAUUAAAAGGAUUGGUUCUAUCUCAAAGUGGUUACUGGUGUAAAAUUAAACGCCAUGGGAGAAUUUGAAGGGAAGAUGCCAAGGAACUGGCGAUGUGGCUAAAUUACACAAAUACGGCAUUAUUGCUCAUUUUUAACUCAAAAAAUUGAUACCAAGACGCUUGCCUUUUGAAAAGAAGAGGUAUCCAACCUUUAUCUUAUUUAAUUACUACCAUGACAUGAUUGAUGGUGCUUAAAUCAAUUGUUUCUUUAUUAAUUUAAAGAAUUUUUCAUUAAAAAAAUUAUUUUAAUAUCAAAUACCCUUCAAUGGCAUAACUGCCGCAGGCCCAGAAACAGGAUUAAUUAAAAUUUUUUGAAUUUUUGGGCAAGGAAAGAUUUGAAAUUCUAGUUAUGCAACCCAAGAGGGAGUGAAUUAGAAUUCUAUAAAUUAUUUAAUUUAUAAAGAAAACCUUAAUGCAAAUAUAAACCAAAUUCAAAGCAAUAACAAAUAAGGUGAUCACAAUAUAAAAAGAUAAGGGAAGAGAGAUUCAAACACAUAGAUUUUUACUUGGUUCGGCCAACCUCGCCUACGUCCGCGCCUCCAAGCUUUCCGAGCUUAAAGAUUCCACUAAGCAAGCCUCCAAGGCUUCAAAUGCUUACACUUGACUUCCAAGGUGUCAAUAACCUUUACAACAAGAGAUUAUCCCAAUCUCUUUAACCCAAGUGUAUCCCAACACUUACAAUCACUCAAAACAAAAGAUUACAAAUUUGUUUUGACUCUCACAAUAUUUAAGAUUACACAAUGAUGCCCAAUAUGUCAAUAGAUGAAGCAAGAAUGUGUUCAAAGCUCUAUGAAGAUUGUAUUCUCGAGUAUAAGCUCAAUAGUCGUGUUGUGAUCAAUCUUGUUUGAAUUUGAAUGAGCUUAUUUAUAUUUGGAGCUGAAAAACUAGCCAUUACAAACUGUCGGCCCGAAAACGGUUCGCUGUUAACCAUUAACGGUUAACCGUUUAGGCUGGUCAAAAGUUACCGUUGGGCCAAAUUUCAAAUAAACGGUUUGCCGUUUAGGAUUACCCCUUCGCCGUUAAAUUCUAGAGACCUGCAAGAUGAAUAUCAGUUAUCCGUUUACAUUAAACGGUUAAAGAUUUGCAUGAAGUGACUUCUCUGGAUAUUAUCGGUUAACCGUUUGUAAUAAAUGGUUCGCCGUAUGUUUCCAGUAACCUGCAAAACAAUUUAGCCUUAUCCGAUUUUGUUAAACGGUGCCAGAAGAGUACAACCUUCAAUUCUGGAUUUUAUCGGUUAACCGUUUAAAUAAACGGUUCACCGUUAAAUUCCAGUAGCCUUCCCAGCUUUUUGUGUUUUCCAUUUUUCUUAAUCGGUUAGAGCUUAGGCAAUAUGUUGCUCUCUGGUUUUAAUCGGUUAACCGUUUGAAAGAAAACGAUUCACCGUUUAUUUCCAGAAUCACAUUUUAAACCAGAUUUUGCAGAAAGUCAUUUUCUAAUUUGAAAGUCCAUCUUUUAUGAAUAUGAUUGGAAUGAUUAUAAGGCUUUCAUUUAUUAAGGAAUAGCUCCAACAUUUUAAUCAAAAACCAUUUAAAGUUUGUUAUCAUCAAAAUCAAUAUUAUUAACAUAUUCAUGUUAACAAUAGUAGUAUUAAACAUCAGAAAGCUAAGGUUGUUCUGUUAAUGAAUUGAUAUUGACAUAAUUUUAUUUUGGUUUCCGGGGAAAAAAAAACAUUUGUUGACAAGCAAGAAAAUAUUUUUAAAUUUUACAAUUUAUUAUACAUAUUUUAUCAUAUUACAAUAAUUUUAAUAAUAAAUAGAAACAUAAUAUUACAAUAAAUAAGUUAAAGUUUAAAUUAUUUUAAAUAUUAUAAAAAAUAAUUUUAAUAUUAUUAAUAGGAAGACAUUUUGUUAAUUUUAAAACCUUUUUAACCCAAAGGUUUAUUUAAAAGCUUUAUAAUAAACAUAAAUAUAAGAUUAAAAUAAAUAUCAUAAUUUGAAAUUUUUAGUAUUAUUUUAAAUAUUAAAAAUACUUUAAUAUUAUUAGCCUACUACAUUGAUUUUAUUAUUUAUAUUAUAUUCAUAUUGAUUAAAACUUUUUAAAGUCAAUUUUUUAGUCAGUAUAUUCAAGAGGUAUCAUAGUUAAAGAAAAGAUUUUGGUGUUAUUUUUUGAAAAUUUUAAGGUUUAAAUGAUAAUUUUUUAAAAUUUUAAGGAUGUAGGUAUUAUUUUUCCGACAAUUUAUUUUAUUUUUGAGGAAUUCGAUGAGAAAUAUCAUGAGAGAAGGUUAAUUUUACAUUCUUUACCUUUAUGAAAAAAGUGGAAACCAAGAAGUAUUCAAUUUUGUAUUUUUUGUUUGUAAUUCAAAAAAUGCAUCCACCAAACAAUCUUAUCUUGAUUUUUUCACUUUAUUCAUUUUCGAUCCUUUAAUCCAUCUAGUAUCUGCAGCCCCCGCCAUUUUUACAAAUCUCCAUCCGACAUCUACCCUAUCAAACAAAGUUGAUGGAAAUUGAACAAUUGCUUUUUGAAGUGGACCCAAUAAGUGGACAUUUUAUUAAUAUUAAACAAAGUUGACGGAAAUUGAACAAUUGCUUUCUAUGAGCCACUUAUUUUUAACAUUAGCGAUCUUAUCUGGACUACUCCAAUUAUUGAUGUAACUCCAAUGGUUGCAUCAACAGUUGAAUGUAAGAUAGUGUUAGCUCUUCUUUGAGAAUAUAGAGUGAUCUUUCUUUGUUUCUCUGUUGCGACGUGCUACUAUAAAUUUCUUUACCUUGCAGUUUAUAUAGUCUUGCUGUUAAUGAAUUCGCGGAGGCAUUAUUGAUCCAAUCUCAGUGAAGUAAUUGUGGGUGGAAAAUGAAUAAAGGGUAAGAGAACGUAGCUCAAGUGCUGAAUUGGCUAUUAAAGAAGAGUGUCACUUGAUCACAAUCACAUUGAUGCACAACUCACUCGAGGCAAAUUUCAUCUAUAUAUGUACUGCAAAUUCAGCCAAACCAUACAUGCAGGAACAAAACUAAAAUGUAGUUCUAAUCAAAACUGUAAUUAAAGCUACAAAAGGCUUGCUCAAUCCAAAAACUUAAAAGGAAGAUUUUACUCAAGUUUGUCCCCAAAAGACAGCUGAAUUGAAAAAUAUUGACUAUUGAAUCAAUGCUCAAUUACAUUUGAAAUGGAAAGCUUGGCUGCAGUUACGAUGUUUUUCCCUCUGAUUUUCUUCCAAAACAAAUUCAUUUGUAAACAAUAACGGAAGUAGCAAUAAUUUAUUCAUCAAAGAAAAUAUCCAAGUUUUCAACUAACAAAUCCUUUUGUCUAAACUAAAAAAACUUAUAUUUUUAAAAUCUAUCUACAAAAUGUUGGAAAUAAAGAGUGAUCUAUCAACUCGGUAAAUAAACUCAUACAUAAUGUUUACAAUAAUGAUAAAUUACAUAAUAAUUAUUAUAAAGAAUCAUAAAUUAGAAAAAUAUUUUAAGAUCAAAUUGCCUUCAAUGCUGAAUUACAUUUGAAAUGGAAAGCAUGGCUGCAGUUACGAUGUUUCCCCCUCUGAUUUCCUCCAAAACAAAUUCAGUUGUAAACAAUAACGGAAAUAACAAUAAUUUAUUCAUUACUCAAAUUUUUUCAACUAACAAAUCCUCUUGUCUAAACUAAAAAAACUCAUAUCUCUAAAAUCUAUCUGCAAAAUGUUGGAAAUGAGGGGUGAUCUGUCAAUUCGGUAAAUAAACUCGUGCAUAAUGUUAACAAUAAUGAUAAAUUACAUAAUAAUUAUUAUAUAGAAUCAUAAAUAAGAAAUAUUAAUCAUUUCACAAUCUAUUACGUAAGUAAGAUAAAUUUCAUAAUAAGUUAAGUUAUAAUGUAAUAAAUAUUUUCAAUAUGCUAAGAUAGGAUUGGUCCUAUCUCAAAGUAGUUAGUGGUGUAAAACUGAUGGUUGUCGAAGCCAGCAAAAAUAAAUACCUACUCUAAAUAAAUUGUGUAUAGUGAUUGAGCAGGGUCGUGUCCACAGAGAUCGGUAAUUAUUUAAAUCAUUUUAAAAUGUAAAAUGCAAAAUGGGGGAAUUGUUGACAAUAAUAAAAAUCAAAUUAAAAUAACAAGAAUGUAAAUUAAAAUUGUAAUUCAAAUUGGGGAAAAAGUAGUAUUAGACUUCAGAAAGCUAAGGUUGUUAUGUUAAAGAAUUCAUAUUGACAUAAUUUUAUUUUGGCUUUCGGGGAAAAAAAUAUUUGUUGACAAGCAAGAAAAUAUUUUUGUAUUUUACAAUUUAUUAUACAUAUUUGAUCAUAUUAAAGUAAUUUUAAUAAUAAAUAGACACAUAAUAUUACAAUAAAUAAAGUAAAGUUUAAAUUAUUUUGAAUAUUAUAAAAAAUAAUUUUACAUUUGAAAUGGAAAGAGUGGUUUUAAACACCAGAAAGCAAAGAUUAUUCUGUUAGACAAUUGUUAUUGACAUAAAAAAUAAUUUGGUUUUCAAGGAAAAAAAACAUAUUUGUUGACAAGCAUGAAAUUUUUUUUUUGUAUUUUACAAUCUGUUAUUACAUAUUUUAUCAUAUUAAAGUAAUUUUAAUAAUAAAUGUAUAUGUAUCUAGAUUGUAACUAUAUUUUAAAAAAUAUAAUUUUUUUAAUUAUUGCACAGAAAAUGUAGAAAAAUGUCUAUGAAAUAAUAUUAUUAGGACUAAGAAAAAAUAUUAUUUUAGAUAAGUUAUAUAUUUAUUAUUGAAUGAAUAAUUUAUUAAUUUAUUGAUAAAUAAAUAUUUAUUAAUUUAAAGAGAGAUUUUUUUUGGUUUUAGUAAUAGUUUGUUUGUUACAUGUACACACUUAUAAAGAAACACAAAAAGUGCUUGCUCAAGUCAAUAGUAUUUGCUUUAAUCGCUACUGUUCAUAAUAAUGUAGCUAAGUUAGGAAAUUUGUAAUUAUACUAUGGUUCUGUUUUGUAACGCCCAAAUUUCUAUUAUUUUAUUUUAUUUUUAAUGGAAUUUAUAAAUGGCGUUACUGCCCUUAUAAAAAGGGUUAUUCAUGGGAUAAUUUUUAGGAAAUGGUUAUUUUUCCAAAUUCAAUAGGGUUUCUUAAGACUCCCUAUAAAUUAAUAUUUUUUUUCCCUUCGAUACUCGAAGUCCACGACGAUUCUUCUUCUUCUCUGCUGCUCAUUAUGCUCCUACCCAAACCCUAGGAUUCAAACUUUUGCUUAGGAGAGAAUCAAAGCGAUUGGUGUUGGAGGUGAUUGAGGCUCUUAGAGGCUUAGAGGUCUGUUAAUUCAAAUUCUUUUGUCGAGAUAAGUAAUUUCAUUCCUAAUAUACUGGAUAUGUAUAAGUAUUUUGAUGUUAUUAUAAGAGUUUUUAUACUUCUUAGAAGAUUAAUAGAUUUUCAUACCAAAAUCAGUUUAUGAAAAUGUUUUCAAAUCUGAAUUCUUUUGAUAAAAUAUUUUAUAAAUGCGUUUUAAUAUGUAAAUUAUUUUAUGACAUGACUGCCUUUUAUAAUUUUGUCUAUGAAAUAUUUUUGCAAGCCUAAAUUGUUGCUAUAGACUUUCAUGAAUCUAAUACGAAUGUUUUGUGCCUAUGUAUGAUUUUAAUUAUUUAUGACUGUACGGGGGCCACCUCUUGAGACUAUAUGGGGGCCACCUCUUGAGGGCCAAAGCGCCGCAAAGUGCCACAUAUAGUGCAAAGUGCCACGUAUAAGUCAUUAUGUUUUGGCUCAUUGUCCGUAGUUAUUCUGAUUCUAAUUCUGAUUGUAUUAUACGAUAUAUUUGUUCUGGACUAGUACUAGGUUUAUGUUCUAAGUGUGCACACGAUAUUCUGAUUCUGUUUCUGGUCAGGUCACCGAGACUAUAGGUGAUACUAUGUGACAUGAGCUAACUAUCUGCUUUCUGUAUACACUUUAUACGAUUUGCUUUCAUAAUUGAUUAUUCUUUUGAUACUCUGAAUUACCAUGAAUUUAUGUUAUAUAAUUGAAAUAUGUUGUUUUAUGAAGUUUAUGAGUUAUAAUAUAUGUUUUUGAAUAAAAGAAGGCUUGCAAUAUUUUUGAUAUCGAUAGGCCUAGUGUAUUAGGAAUGAUUUUACCUACCGAGUUGACAGCCCACCCCUCGUUAUUACUUUUUGCAGAUUAAGUUCCUUUUAAGAGGUAUGCGUAGCUUUGGAGUUAGAGAUUUCGUUUCCGUUUGCUAUUUGAAUAAGAAGAGGAAUAGACUCAUGUUUCUUUUUAGUUUAUUUCUGUUAUGAACUUGUAAUUUGGAGUUUGAGACUUUUGUUAUUGUUAUGUUUUGGAAGAGAUUAUUUAGUGUUAGACGUAUUAAUUUGUGGAUUUAUUUGAAUAAGAAUUUGAGGUAUUUGAGUUUGGAAUUUAUAAGUAAGGAUUACGAUUUGUAAGUAACCUCCUUCUUCAUGUGCUCCGCACGUGUUAGAUUUGGGGUGUCAUAUGUUUCGUAUAACUUUUGAAGUAGAGCUUAUUUAAAUAGAGUAUUCGUCAAUAAAGCUUCUAUAAAUAAAGAUUUUACUAAAAAAAAUUUAGUUGUUUGGUUGUCAAUGUCCAAAUUGACGAACUUUUGUUCCUUUGCUAACAUGUAUUUGUUUUAUUUAAUAAUAGAAGUUUGGUUUACAAUUACACCACCUUCAAAUCAGCUGAGCAUUUUUGCAACCGGUCACAUUAUACAUUAUACUAAUAGCAUCGGCAAGAGUUUUCGAUUGUUGCAACUUGCAAUGGACGCGAUGGGAGAAAAUGAGAAUCUUGUUUAAUUGCAAUAUUGACAAACCUAAUCCUUUCGUAGGGAGUAAUUUAAUAAUCGCUUGUUAUAAUUGAAUAUGUAUAAAGAAAGGAAAAUUCUAUUCAUAGAUUUCGACUUAUUUUUUGUUUAAAGUAAUUAAUCAUUCAACCAUCUUCAUUUGCCUCUGGCCAAUGCCCUUGUAGAUUAGUUGAACCGUUAAUUACUUAAUUCAGAUAAUUACAGUGUCCUUUUCGCUAAUUAAUUAUGAUUAUAUACGCUUUCAUAUAGCAAGUGGCUUUGUAGAUCUAAACCAAGUUGCUAUUUCAAAACGUUAAUUAAGUGAUUCUCCUCAUUGUCAUCAGCGUUAUACGCUCUAGGAAAAUAGCUCAAUUGUUUCCCUGCAUUGAUUUUCAUUGGUACGUGAUUUCUUAUGAAAUUCUUUUGAGCUUUCCUUAUUAAAAAUGCUUGAGCUUUUAUCACCCAAUACGGAUAUCAAUUAACUUGUGAACGAUUUUGUAAUGAAACUAGGAGUUAAAUAAGAUUUUUACAUGAUGAAUUUUUAUUUUUUUAAUUUUUUGAUGUAGUCAAUUUGCUAAUUUUAUGUAUUUCAUAUUCAACGGAAUUUGGGCACGGAAAGUUUGGAUUCUAAUAUUUAUAUGUUUAGCUUUAAUCAGUUUGACUUUCGUAAUCUUUUUCCCCUCAUCAUUAAGGGAUUCAGAAUUAGAGAAACGUUAGGAAGAGGAAGAAAAUAAUUUCGGAAAUAAGUAAGAGGGAAAAAAUUAUCAAAUUAGGAAUGAUUUUUUGUAGAGUAUGUUGCGUUUACUAAAAUGAAAUCGAAAUGAGCUGGAAUCAGAAUGGAUAAAAAUGCGAAUGUGCUGGAAUAAGAAUAAGUAAUGAGAAUCAGAAUAAGUUGUUUACUUGAACUGUAAGAAUCGAAAUCGAAAUGAGCUGGAUUGCAAUUACUUUGUCCUACAAUUAGAAUCAAAAUGAGUUAGAUUGUAACAAAUUACUAAAAGGUACUUAAUGAAUUAUUGUCAUAAUUAUUAUUUUAUAUUUUAAUUAUAGUGAUUAUUUAUUCUAAAUUAUUAUUAUUAAUUAUUUUCAAUAAUAUAUUAAUAUGUUAAUUAAUUUUAAAAAUUAUUAAUUAAUUUAUUAUAAUAAUAUACUAAUUAAUUAUAAUAAUUAUAUUAAUAAUUAUUAUAAAAAUAUAUUAAUUAUUAAUAAUGAAAUUACUUAUUUAAUUAUAAUAAUAUAUUAAUUAUUGUGAUUAUUUAUUCAAAAAUUAUAAUUAUUAAUAAUUAUUGUUAAUAAUGUAUCAAUAUAUUUUAUAUUAUGAAAUUGUGAUGUAUUGUAGACAAAUAAGGGAAUUUGGUACAAUAAAUUCUUAAUAUCUUAGUACAAAGUAUGGUACAAUGAUAUUUUAACUUAUUGUAGACAGAUUAAAUUUCGACACACUUAAUCCAUAAUAAAAUUAGUGGAAAAUAAUGAUAAUUUAUACAAUUAAUCUUUUGAGCAAUAAAAAAAUAAAAGAAAAAGAAGUUACUAAAUUAUGUUUACUGUUAAGAGUGAAUCCACAAUCCUAAAUAAUUUAUUUCCAUCGUUUCACUUAAAUUAAAUAGUGUGAAUUUAAAUUCUAAUUUUUUGAUAAAUUAAAAAGAAAUAAAAAAUUAAAAUUUUUCUCUAUGGAUCGACCUCGGAUUGAUCAAUUUAUUUCAUAACAACACACUUUUAUACUUGAGAGUUAUAAAUAACUUUGAAGUUGUGUUAAGUUUUUGACGCUCUUACGGGGGAAAAAUAUUUAUUUUAUUUUAUGUAUGGGUCAAACUUGAAAGUAUAUUUUAAGAUAGCUGCUAAUAUGCUCUAUUAGACAAUGAUAACGUAGUUGUUUGUGGUGUUCAUAAUGAGUUUAAUUAUGAUUCAACAAUUUAAAAUAUGAAAACAUAUGGAAGAUGGCCGUAAUUAAAUUGAUUGCAUGAAAAUAUUUCAAUGAAAUUUUAAAAAUUUGGUACUUAUUAUCUUAUCAAAAGUUUUUUAAAUUAUAUUACUACUUCAACUUAACUCCUCCUGGAUUGAUUGUAUUGAAUUUCCAGCACCGCCAUUGCUUCUACUUGAAAGCCAUUUAAGUUUGUGUAAGCUACCUAUAGUUUGAAUAACAAUUUACUCAUGAAUUGCUGUUCAUGAUAACAAUUUGAUUGAAAGUGCGGCUGCACUAAUUGUUCUCGUACGACCCCAGAAUGCUGUUAAAUCAGUUGUAUUGGAAAUUAAUCAACUGGUUACAACUCUACACCCCAUCAAUAUUUAAGCAGUCCACAGAACAUUAAUUGUGUUUUGAAAUUUUAAUGAGUCUCACGUGUUUUUCACGUGAUAUGCAGUAAAAACAAAAUUAAAAAAAUGAAAACAUUCAGCCCCAAAGCCAAAAUCCCCAACUCCUUCCAAAUUGGUUCCGCAGCCCCCAAAUCCCUUAAACCCAAAGCACUCUAAAACGACUCUCCUCAGCCAAAAAGAAAAAGGUCACCUCACCUCUCCUCUUCUUCUUCCAUGGCGAUCAACGGCGGCACAAGCACGGGCUGAUCUCCUUCGUCAGUAACGAUCAACGGCGGUACAAGCAUGGACAGAUCUUUUUUUUGGCAAUGAUGAACAGCGGCACAAGCAGAGUCGUCCUCAGGUACGGAUUUGAUGUUGGUUGUGUUGUCAAGUAGCGAUUCAUGUUUGGAAGAGAAUCCGCUCACAAGGACCUGGAGCACUUAAUCGAAGAUCUUAAGCGAGGAAUUCGCUUCCUCCUCAUUCCUAAUCGGUGCCUGAUUCAUCAGUAUGAUUAAGGAUGAAAAUUGAGAAAGAAGGACGCAUUAGGUUUGAGACAUUGGUUGAAAAACGCUACCCCGGUGGCCACGCUGGAAACAUAUGUUCCGUGGCUUCUUGCGUUGUCUGUGAGGAAUAUGUACUGCUGUAGAAGAUAAUUAUGAAUCAAUGGUAAUUGGCGUGUUGGUUUUGGUGCCGAUUUCCUCUUAUUUUCCAGAAAAGGCUUGUAAUUUGUUCACCUCAAGAUUCAAUUUUGUUAUUGAAAAUGGAUGGCUGUAAAGACCUAUUGGCCUUUCAUUAUAUUAAUGUUUUUGACAGUAAGUUUGUAAUAGUUAGUGCAGGGAACUUAUUGAUUCUUGAUUAUAUAUAACGGUGGCCCUUAUUACUUUAAAAAAAAAAAAAAAAUUGAUGAUGGGUUUCGUUUUGUAUAAGUGUUUGGAGUGUUGGAAAAUUAACAUUGUAUAUUUUAGAUAGUUGAGUUCCAUAGUAAUAAAAAGCUACGGAUUUGUUUUCUUUUUAUUGAAAUGAAAACAUUUUUCACUUGUAUAAUAGAAAAUAUACUAUAUCUUUAAUACUUUUGUCAAAUUUAUUAUUUAAAAUUUAUAUUUACUACAUAUUAUUAAUUUUUGUUUCAUAGUCAUAGCUUUUUUUCCACAGUAGCUGUAGCUUAAAAGAUACAGCACCUCAAUUCCAAACGCACUCUAAUUAAAAAUUUUAGAAUUUUUGGGCAUGGAAUUGAAAAGAGUAGUAUUAAACAUCAGAAAGCUAAGGUUGUUCUGUUAAAGAAUUGAUAUUCACAUGAUUUUAUUUUGGUUUUUGGGGAAAAAAAAAAUUGUUGACAAGCAAGAAAUUAUUUUUAUAUUUUACAAUUUAUUAUACAUAUUUUAUCGUAUUAAAGUAAUUUUAAUAAUAAAUAGAAGCAUAAUAUUAAAUAAAGUUUAAAUUAUUUUGAAUAUUAUAAAAAAUAAUUUUAAUAUUAUUAAUAGGAAGACAUUUUGUUAAUUUUAAAAUCUUUUUAACCCAAAGGUUUAUUUAAAAUGUUUAUUAUAAAUAAAGAUAUAAAAUUAAAUAUCAUAGUGUAAAAUUUUUAAUAUUAUUUUAAGUAUUAAAAAUAUUUUAAUGUUAUUAGUCUACUACAUAGAUCAUAUUACUUAUAUUAUAUUUGCAAUGAUUAAAAAAUUUUAAAAUCAAUUUUCUAGUUACUAUAUUCGCGAAAUAUUAUGGUUAAAGAAAAGACCUUGGUGUUACUUUUUACAAAUUUGAGUGCCUGCAUGAUAAUUUUUUCAAAAUUUAAGAAUGUAUGUGUCCUUUUCUCCAAUAAUUUAUUUCACUUUUGAGGGGAAUCCAAUGAGAAAUAUGAUAAGAGAAUGUCAAUUACUUGUCAUUUUCUAUUUUUUCUGUAAGCUAUUUAUUUUGAGCACUGGUGAUCUUGUCUUGACUACUCCAAUUAUUGAUGGAACUCCAAUGGCUGCAUCCACAGUUGAAUAUAUGAUAGUGUUAGCUCUUAUUUGAGAAUUCAGAGGGAUCUUUCUAUGUUUAUCAAUUGCAAUGUGCUAGUAUAAAUUUCUUUACCUUACAGUUUAUAUAGUCUUGCUGUUAAAGAACUCACUGAGGCAUUAUUGAUUCAAUUUCAGUGGAGCAAUCGCGCGUAGAGGAUAAAUAAAGGAUAACAGAACAGAGCUGAAGUGCUAAAUUGGCUAUUAAAGAAGGGUGUCACAUGAUCACAAUCACAUUGAUGCACAACUCUCUGGAGGCAAAUUUUGUCUGUAUGUUCUCUAAAUUCAGCCAAACCAUACAUGCAUGAACAAAAAUUAAACCGUAGUUCUCACCACAACAGUAAUUGAAGCUACAAAAGCCAGCAAAUCUGAACAAAAACUUAAAAGAAAGAUCUUAUUCAAAUUUGUCCCCAAAAGAGUGCUGAGAUGGAAAAUAUUGACUAAUGAAUGGGUCAAUGCUGGAUUACAUUUCAAAUGGAAAGCUUGGCAGCAGUUACAAUGUUUCUCCCUCAGCUUUUCCUCCAAAACAAAUUCAGUUGUAAACAAUAACCGAAGUAGAGAUAAUUCAUUCAUCAAAGAAAAUACCCAAGUUUUCAACUAACAAAUCCUUUUGUCUAAACUAAAAAACUCAUAUCUCUAAAAUUUAUUUGCAAAAUGUUGGAAAUGAGGAGUGAUCCGUUAUCUCCGUAAAUAAACUCAUGCAUAAUGUUAACAAUAAUGAUACAUUACAUAAUAAUUAUUAUAAAGAAAUAUAAAUUGGAAACGCUAAUCAUUCUACAAUCUAAUAAAUAAGUAAGAUAAAUCUCGUAAUAAGUUAAGUUAUAAUGUAUAAAUGUUUUUAAUAUAUAAUUAUUUAAGAAGUCAUUUAAUAAUAAAAUAUUUAUUCUAUUCAGUUGAUCAUAUAGCGUUAUCGAAACUCUUGACGAUAUUAUUAUUACACUUUUCUCAAAAAAACAUGAUUAACAUUUAGAGAAAAGUCAUGCCUUUUAGAUAGAAUAUGUACAUAAGCUAUCCAUAUUUUAUCUUACCAUGAAAAAAUUGAUGGUGAUUAAAUCUACUUUUAAAAUAGAUUUAAUGCACAAAUAUGAUGAUUUUUGGCAAAAAUUAGUUUCGGAAGAUACAAUGGUAGAAAAUAGUGAUGAUUAUUGUUUAAAUGUGUAAAUAGCCUAGGCAUAGCCCGUAAUACCAAUAUCCAUUUACCUUCAUUUAGAUUAUCACAUCUCAUGAUAUUUUUUCAUUCACGACCAUUGUUCGAGAUUUGAACUUGAUCAUAAAUUAAGCUGCAACGGAGUUACUUAUGUUUCUAAGCUUUUCAAUCGCGAUUCCUCCAUGCCUUUCUUGGAUACCAUUUUACUGACCUUGUAAUUGGUGUGUAUAAGGAGUCAUGCCCUUUCAGGAUCGUUUUCUUUUUUUUUUUUCCUGAUUGUAGUGUCAAAUAAAUAAAGAACGAACAAUUGAACUUAGUCUAUUUCGAGGAAAACCAAGGCCUGCAAUAUUAGAUGAACUUUGAACAAAAUUAAUCUACUAUUCUACAUCCCCACCAAAAUUUAAACAGUCGACAUUGUGGAAAGAAACACAUUUCGCCACUAGGCUUUUAGUGAGGCUAAUUUCUCUGAAUUUGGACAGAGUAGGUCCUCCAACGAGAACUGAAUCAGGACGAAUCGGCUCUCCAUUUUCUAAUUCGAACGAGCAAAGGAAGCCUGAAUCUGUGACCGUUAUCAAUACUCUGCUUCUAUUCUGAUUCUCAGGAAGUACUUCUUCAAGAUCAUCCAAUACAUCGUCACCCUCUUUGUACUAAUCAUCAAGCACAAUAAAGUACUUCUUGUUUGUUAGGUAAUCUCGAAGAAUAGAUUUCUUCAAUUGAUAAUCUUCACCGAUAAUUACACUAACCCGAGAUGGAGGCAUCACAGACUUGAUUAUGUCAUCCAAUACCAUGCGAAAAUCGUAGGAUAUAGAAACCCUGACCCAAGCAUGACAGUCAAAAUAGAACUUGACGUGAUUAUUGUUGUAAGUAUCAGCAGUAAAAGCAGUCUUAUCGAAGCUAUUGAUGUCUUUCAGAAGCUCCCAAAUGUCUGUUCUUUUAACAUUUUCUAAGUGCAAGAGCUGCCGAUAACGCGAAGGUAUUUCAUCUUCAUCGAAUUGUUCUCUAAUGAGUUGAAUUAAAACUCGAGCCAUGUCAGCUUCAUAGUUUCCCAGCAGAGUAGUGGCUAUAAUUUCGGACUCCGUAAGAAGGUUUUGAAAAAGUGGAGUUAAAUUUGUUGAAUCAGGCAAAGUUAACGUGCCUUCUUCACCUGCUAACACCAGUUUCAACCUCUCACAAAAUAGUGUGAGGUUAAUUUCCAUAUCUUUCCCUCUCUCAGUAGUACUCAGAGGUACGUAUUGUUAUUUGUUAGUGUUGAUGACGAAAGCUGAAUAAUCAAAACAACAGUGUACACAAUCAACAGAAGGCGAAGUAUGUUAAGUUGAGAUCAAAGGAUAUAAAUGAAGGAAAAGUUUAAGUACUCCGUUGAAAGCCAAAGUUGCUUUGGCCAAUUAAUUUAUAAGUGAAGGAAAGAAUAAAGUUAGUCCUCGAUGUCUUUUGAAAUUAGAAAUACAUUUUGAAUGCUUUAAUAGAUGCAGAGCAAGCUGGCUCGAUGUCUAACUAUUUUAAGAGCUAAAAUCAUUUAUUAGAAGUUGUGGCAUUGAAAAAAACUGGCUUGAUAUCCAAUUUUGUUAUUUAAUGUCUCACGUGAGAGUAAAUAACUGUUGUGUUACUGGCAGAUGAUUGAGACGGACAAGUUUGGAACAUUGUUCGAGACUGAAACUACACAUCAGUCUUAGAAAAUUGUAAUUUUGUUGAAAAAUUAUAGAUUGAAAAAUUAUUGAGACGGACAAGUUUGGACCAUUGUUCGAGACUGAAACUACACAUCAGUCUUAUAAAAUUGUAAUUUUGUUGACUUAUCAUGAUUUUGAUUGCCUCCCAUUGAUUUUCCUAUGAUGUCUCUGUAGAGUGGCUAUGCUUACAUUUUUAGGUAUUUAAUUCUAAAAAUUAACUUAUUAGAUGGAAGGAUCAAUUCUACCUGUAAAUCUAAGUGGCUUCCCUUUACUAACUCAUAUAAGACACAACAAUAAUUUUCUUCGAAAAAAACCACCAUCGGAGGGCUAUUUUCGUUCAACAUACAUGAGUUGUUCCGCCACCAUAUUUUGAGGGUUUGCUUCUAAUACAACUUGGGGAAGCUAGGGGUAAGAUUUCCAAGUAUCAACAUAAAAACCUUGCCGAUUGGAUAGAAGGACCAAUCUUACUUAUAAGUCUAAAUGACUAAUUUUUGAGGACACAACUCAACAGACCAAUAUAAACUUUUGGCGUCCCAUUUUAUUACUUUUCAGUGCUUUACUUUUGCUGUCUAUAGCCCUACUAUUCUAUUAAGCAGAAAAUAUUAUCUAUUUUCUUUCCAUUUUAUGUAUACCCCGAUCUUUACCUCUGAUUGGUUGUAGAUUCUUCUGUCGCUUUGGGGUUAGGGGAUGGUUUUCAUCAAGAAAUGAUAAAGGAUUGUUAGUUGUGUGACAAACAGCAUUAAUAUGAAGGAUGAUGAUUGUUCUUUUCAAGAGUUUAUAAUGACAUAAUUCUGCUUUGGUCUUUUAAAAAAAAGUAAUUUAGAAAUGAGGAGUAUGUGAGUGAUGAUUUUUACAAAUAAAUUGCAUGCGUAGUGAUGAUUUUGACACAUGAAAAUGUAAAAAGAAAUAUAACUUGUGAAUAAUAAUCGAAGUACCCUGCUAUUGUUAUAUUGAGUAAUCAAGGACUUCGAUAUUCGGACGAUACAAGCAACACAAUCAAAUAUUAGUUGGAAGGCAUAGCAAAAUUAGAAUGUAGAACAAACUGGGUAUUGAUAAAUGGAUGGUUUUGGAAGAAUUGAAAAUGAUGGCAAAAAAAAAACAAAGUUAAGAGAAAAGAGAAAGAGCAUUUGAACUUUACUUGUAAGUAAAGGCAAAUAUCUUGGUUCAAGAAAAGAUAAGAGAUAUCAAACUAGCAAUAGGAAAAAGGAGGAAGGUUAAGACAGCAUCUUAACAAAAGCUAAAGAAAAGAAAAACUUAGUUCAAGCAAAGAACAAUGUGCUAAUGUAGUGUAAUCUUGUUUAAUUUCUUUUUCUUCUCACAUUUUCCAGGGCUUAAAUAAUACAAUGUACAUUUUCAAGCAAAGAACAACAAAUAAAUAAUACAAUAUACAUACCCAGUAAAUUAAAAAAAAUAUAUUAUUCAAGUUUGUGGACAAUACUGUAGCCAUUGCGUCGUCGAAAUCUACUGACAGCUGAAACAAAGAAAGAAUGGAUGAACGCUGGAUCACAGUUGAAAUUGAAGGUCUGGUAGGUGAUGUUUCCCUCUCUGAUUUUACCUAAACAAAUACAAGAAAAUAAGAAUCACGAAUGAAAAUCUGUUAUUACACUGUUCUUACUUAUUAAAAUACAGAGGUUUCUUUGUUUCUCUGCAGCAAUGUCCAUGGCUAUUAGAAACAAGAACAAUUAGACCAGCAUUUGCAAGAAUCUUUUAAGGUAUUACUGCAGAUAUAAAUCGACUGAGGAAAUGGAAAAAUUGAAUACCAAAUUAGGCAAGUUAACUGAAGAUUCAGUUAUCAUAGAAGAAUAAAACUCAUCCAAUUCAAUCCAUCAAAUUUCAUUAAGCAUUUCCAGAACUCUUGAUUUUCUUUCUCAGUAGCCAAACAACUUCAAUCUCAUUUUUUUUUUUCAACAAUGAGUUCUCAAACCACUCUGGUAUCAUUUUAAGACAUUCUCGGCCUUGUACUCACCAUCAAAAUGGAUUGGUUGAGAGAAAACAUAGGCAUAUUGUUGAAUUAGGUUUGACUCUGUUGGCUCAAGCUCAACUUCCUUUUAAAUUCUGGUGGGAUGCAUUCCAUACUGCCCUAUAUCACAUCAAUAGAUUACCAUCUUCUGCUUUCAAACUUUCGACCCCAUGUGAGAAGAUAUCCAAGCACAAACCUGAUUAUGAUUUUCUCAAAUGUUUUGGUUGUAUUUGUUAUCCUUACUUGAGAGACUAUAACAAACAUAAGUUUGCCUAUCAUUCCAGUAAGUGUAUAUUCAUUGGUUAUAGUCCUUCACAAAAGGAUUAUAAAUGCUUACAUUCUUCAGGUCAAGUCUAUGUGGCAUGACAUGGUAUCUUUGAUGAGUCAACCUUUCCUUAUGCUACUGAAUCUGUUUUUCAUAGUCACACAAAUUCUGAUUCUCAUUCUUCAAAUUUAUUUACUCCACAGCAUGUCUAUUAUCUUUCUACUUUACCUGUCAUACCAGUAUUUCUAAAUAACAACACUGAUAAUCUAAACUCUACAAAACUAAAAUGCCAGCUGUUUGGUGUUAGCGAUAAGAAACAACUUACCACAACCAUUAAUUAUCCAUAAUUUCAUUGUUUAUCCUCAGUUUUCUUCAUAAAUGUUACAGCGUUCUUCACAACAAAGUGCAAGGGCAUCUCAAAAGUUCUGAAAUAAUACCUCAAUUCUAUUGCAAAAAUAAAUAAUCUCAAACAAGAACCAAUAAUCAUAUUUCGUUACUGUCAAACACAAUGCAUCUGAGCAAAACAUUGGAAGCCAACACCAGAAUACAUAUGAAUAAACAAUUAAAGAUAGAGAAAAAAGGCUUAAACCUUGGGGGAAAAAAGUGAAAAAACAUGAAAGACAAAUUACACAUGUGCAGUAACCAUCGAACUUAUCAGUGACAGCUGCAUCCAUUACAUUGCUCCAACAACACAAUGGCAAACCACCAGUUUCAAAUUGAGGAUAGCUAUUGAGAAUGAGAAAGUGUCCAAAACGCCAUAAAUAGACAUGUUCCUAUUAUGCAUAAUUUACAUUAUAGGCAAAUAUUCUUAUACCAUCAAAAGCAAAACAUGACACUAUAACAAUUGACUCCCCCCCCCCCCCCCCCCCCCCCGCACACAAAAAAAAAGGAAGAAACAAUACCGAAAAGAUUGAAACAGGUAAGGCUACACUGAGCACAGGAUGCCAUGAAACAUAAUCCAGGAACCAAAUUAAUAAAGAAGGAAGGCAAACCAUUAUUUAACAAUCUGUUUUGUAUUAGGGAAAGUCCGAUAAAAUCUACUUAGGGAUAAUUAGAGAACCUCAACUAUUAAUCACACCUCAUAAAUGAACUAACAUUAACCAUGUACCAUCCCCACAUCAGACAAACAUUCUCUAUACUUCUGAACCUAAUACUUCCAUCUUCAAUUGGGGUUUUUUUCUUUUGUGGGGGGGGGGAUAAGCUAUCGUUUUUCUAAGCUUGCUUACCUUCUGUGUGGGACUGAAAUACUGAUUUCGAAUCAUUAACAGUAAAAUUGGAAGCUCAUGAAAAAACAAUUUUAUCUUUUAACAAAAGUUAAAAUUACAUCUCCAUAUAAAUUCUCUUUUCAUUUCCUUCAAUUUUCUAAUUAAGCUUAAAAAAAUGUACCUUCAACCACAAAGGGGUUUAAAAUUUAAAAUAUAUAAAAAAAUAAAUUCAGAUAACAAUAAUUAAUUUAAUUAAAAAUAUAAAUAGAGAUUACAGAGAAAGAAAAAAUAGAGAAAGACCUGAUGUUGAGAGCAUCGACGGCCGGCAGUGACCGGCGGAAGAUGGCGAGAGAUGGCGGCGUGGGCCAUUGCUUGCGCAUCAGUGAGUGUCUCGAGUGAGAGAGUGAAGGUAGGGAUGGCAAUGGGGAGGGAGGGAGGGUCCAAUCUCUCUGUACCCAUCUCCCAAUUUGUCCCCGUCCCUCCCCGUCCCCAUUUGCUUAGAAUCUGUCCCCUACUCGAAUAAUAAUUCUCGAAUAAUAACAUAAAAUGCUCGAGGUUCUCGAUUUAUGAAUAAUUAAUAUAUUUUUUAUUUUAAAUUUUAAAUUAACUAUAUUAAAAUAAAAAAUUUAAAUAAAAAUAAAAUUUGAAAUAUAUUUUAUAUUAAUAUUGAUCCAUUAUAAAAAUUACAUACAAAAUAUAAAUUAUCAAAAUAAUUAUCUUUAUCAAUCUUCAUAAUCCUACAAUAAAAAGAAAAAAAAUUUACUUUUAUAUUGAUAAUAAAAUAAAUGUAGAUAAUUAAUUAAUAUUUUUAAUAAAAUAAAAUUAAAAUAAAAUAAAAUUUUUAGGCUAAUAUAAUCUACCCGACUUUUUUAAUGUGUUAAAUAAAAAUUUAAGACUUUAAUUAGUUAAUUAGGCCUAAAAGCUUAAUAAUAUAAAUAUUUUGAUAUUUAUUAUUUUUACUAAUAUUUAUAAUUUUAUAAUAUAUUCAAUUUUUAUUAUUUAUUUACUAGUAAUUUUAAAAAAUAAAAAUAAAAUUAAAAAAUAAAAUGGGGGAAAUGGGGAGGGGAUGGGGAUUCCACCUCAUCCCCGUCCCUUCCUUGUAGGGAUGGCAAAAGUUCGGGUCGGGUCGGGUCUGGGGCUGCCUGGAACUGACCCGGAUUUCACACAUAGCUGCCCGGACCCGGACCGUGCCCGGAUUUUUUCUAUGCGGGCCGGGUAUAUGGCUGGCACUAUCCGGGCACAGGUUUUUUUUGGGUUUUCUCUACCCACAUUUUCAAAACUGGCUAAAAAAAAAUUGAUAGAAAAGGCUAAAUAAGUAAACAAAAUUGCAAUUGGGCCUGGAAAUUCAUAACUUAUCCCUGAAUUAUAUAUAUAUAUAUAUAACUUCUAAUUCUUUGUUGAUACAAGUUUUUUCUAAUUCAUUAUAAAAUCACAUUAUAUAUAUUAUUUCCUCAUCAGAUAAUAAGUGACAAUUGCUCACCAGUUUAUUAACAUCUCUACGAAACCGUCUUUUAUGGCAUUAUUAUUAUUAUUGUUGUGGCUGAAACCAUGUAGUAUGUGAUUGAAGAAAUUGCAUUAAAUGUUGGAGUGGAGGUGAUGUAGGUGAGAAAGGAUUCCCUGGAGACUGUUAAACAAGACACAAGGCAUUUCCGGAAGAAAACAGAAGACAACUGGAUAAGACAAAACGGACAAAAGGGUAAGAGAGGUGGGUGGGAAAUUAAGAUAGGCAAUUUGUCCAGCAGAAACAUAAUAAUACCUCGUGGUCGUGGGUCGUGGCUGUGUUGGUGAAGUUGCAGCUGAACAAGAACAGUUGAUGCUGUCGCGUGGUGGCUGCCGUUGAGAAGAUGACCAAACGAUGAAGAGCUCUGUGACGGGAUGGUUGUGCUUUGCGAGGAGAAAUAGAGUUGACUGAGGAAGGUAAGAGGUUCGUGGAGGGAAAGGUGCGGACAACACUGCAUCAGUGCCGGUGGGUGGUGGAGAGACGGAGAGAGGUGCCGCCGAUUUGGAGAUUUCAGGGUGGGUGCUGACUGCUGCAGUGCUGCGUUGUUCUGCAAGUUGCAAUCGCGAUUUAGGGUUCAGUACCAGUUUUGGGGGCAAUUGGGCAAAGUAAAUUUUAUUUUCGCUUUUAUAUUUUCUUUUUUUUUACUUAAUAAAAAACCGGGCAUUGAAAAUCAAUGUCCGGAUCCGCUUUUUCCAUUCAUGUGGUCCGGGUAAAACCCGAACCGCACACGCCGGGUCUGGGCCGGAUCCGGUCCGGGUGGGUUUUUCUGCCACCUCUACUUCCUCGAAUAAGAAAUUUGGUAAAAAAAAUUUCCCGUCCCUUCCUCGAAUAAAAAAUCGGGUAUAAAAUUAUCUCUGUAUCCUCCCCGAAUGAGAAAAAUCCCCGAAGAUACCCAUACCUGUGGGGAUUUUUACCAUCCUUGAGUGAAGGGUUUUGUUUAGGGUUUUGGGAAAUGAAAAAUGUAAAUGUUUGAUUUUGUUGCUAGAAACUUCUUCUGCCGCUGCUUUUUAUUUUCGCUAUAAAAAUAAUAAUUUGUUAAUCAAAUAUUUUCUUAAAAAAGAUAAAUUUCUAGAACAAAAUUUAUAUUAAAUCAAAUUGUAAAAAUGUGGAAUAGGGCUAAUUUCUCCUUAAUAUUAUUAUUAGUAGAAGUAGAUUGUCGAACUAGUCUUGAUAUAUUUUAGAGUUGUAUUAUAGAUGUAUACGUAUCUAGAUUGUAAUUAUAUUUUAAAAAAUAUAAUUUUUUUUAAUUAUUGCACAAUAAAUGUAGAAAAUAUCUAUAAAAUAAUAUUAUUAGAACUAUGAUACAGCACCUCAAUUCCACAGUAGCUUAAUAUUAUUAGAACUAUGAUACAGCACCUCAAUUCCAAACGCACUCUAAUUAAAAAAUUUAGAAUUCUUGGGCAUGGAAAGAGUAGUAUUAAACAUCAGAAAGCUAAGGUUGUUCUGUAAAAGAACUGAUAUUGACAUUAUUUUAUUUUGGUUUUCGGGGAAAAAAAUAUUUGUUGACAAGCAAGAAAAUAUUUUUAUAUUUUACAAUUUAUUAUACAUAUUUUAUCAUAUUAAAGUAAUUUUAAUAAUAAAUAGAAACAUAAUAUUACAAUAAAUAAAUUAAAGUUUAAAUUAUUUUGAAUAUUAUAAAAAAUAAUUUUAAUAUUAUUAAUAGGAAGACUUUUGUUAAUUGUAAAAUCUUUUUAAUCCAAAGAUUUGUUUAAAAUUCUUAUAAUAAAUACAAAUAUAAAAUUAAAUAUCAAAAUUUAAAUUUUUUAAUAUUAUUUAAAUUUUAAAAAUACUUUAAUGUUAUUAGUCUUCUACAUAAAUUAUAUUAUUUAUAUUAUAUUUGUAUUGAUUAAAAUCUUUUAAAGUCGAUCUUCUAGUUAUUAUAUGCAAAAGGUAUUAUCAUGUUACAAUUUUUUGAAAUUUUAGGGAUGUAGGUUACGAUGAUUUAUUUCACUUUUGACAAAAUCCAAUGAGAAAUAUGAUAAGAGAAAGUCAAUUUAAUGUUCUCGACCUUUAUGAAAAAAAGUAAAAACUAAGAAUUAUUCAAUUUUAUAUUUUUUGCAUCCACCAAAUAAGUUUUGCACAUUUAUGUUAUCAUAAAACGAAAAAAAGGGUUUACCAAAAAAUGGUACCAAGCAUACCUUUAAUGUCCCACGUGAUUUCUUAUUAAGCCCAAUAUUAGAUAUAUUUAUACAUUUUACUGCAUUAAGUAUUUUAAUUAUAAAAGAAGUUGGUCCUUCCUCUAGUUACAAAAGAUAACUUUAUUUCAAGACUACCACUAAAUUCUUACGUAGAAUUAGUGCAAGGCCAAGAGAGAGUAACACAAUUUUACUUUUCCAUUACCAUUUUGAAAAUAGAAAGAUAUGGAUCCGUGUAUUUAAGAGUUAUUGUAAAAAUCAUACAAUUCAAUUUCCUGACGUGUAUUAUGUAUAUUUAGGCACAUUUGCCAAAAGCAUAAAUAGAUAGAAAGUAAAUUUACAAUCCACCCUUACUCACAAUUAUUGAAGUGAAGAUGCAUUACAACUGUCACUACUUUAACUUUAUUUAUUUAUUUGUUUUAAAUAAAAGUGUGAGAGAGACGGUGAACAUCAUGGACGAUAACAAAGGUUAAAGCCUAAAGGUGACCCAUUUUCUUUUUAAAGUGCUCUGCUGAAAGCCUAACUUCCUUUGGAUCCGCCGAAGUGGCCGAAGUGGUGGGCUGCUGCCCUCACAAGCAUUGUGAGGGCAGCGGUUCUAGCCCCCACAAAAGCAUUGUGGGGGUUAAAUGUUCUUUAUAUUUAAAAAUUUUUCUCCCUUGCGAAAUACAAGUGGAGUAUGGACAUCCCUCUCCUGUGAGGGGUUAUUUGUUUGGGCAUGUACUUCAUAGAAUUUAAUGUAAUAAUGUAAGUCCCAAUAAUGUAUAUCUGAUUGUAAAUAUCAGUAUAAUAUCUCUGCUACAAUAGCAAUUAUUGUAAAUAUUUGUGUAAUACAGUAAUCUGAUGAUUAAUCAGUAUUCAAAAAAAAAAAAACUUCAUUUGGAUCCGCCUAAGUUACUGCUUUGUAAAAUUUUAUAAAGCCCCUUAUACUCUAUAUUAUUUAUAAUUUGUUCAUAAAUAUUAUAAAACUUUCUGCAUUAUAUAAUUUUAUUGAGCCCCUUGUACUAUAUUUUAUUUCAUUGAAACCCUUAAAGUACCAAUUCGCCCUCUAUAAUUUUAAAUUACUAAAAUACCCUCCAUUUAAUUAAAAAUAUAAUGAUUAUUAAAUGAUUAUAAUUAUCUGGAGUACAAAUUCAGUAAUAAACAAUAACUAAAGUAUUAACAAUUUAUUCAUCAAAUAAAAUACUCGAGAUUUCAGCCGACAAAUCCUCUUGUCUAAACUAAAAAACUCAUAUCCCUAAAAUCUAUUUGUGAAAUGUUAGAGAUGAGUGGUGAUUUGUCAACUGGGUAAAUAAAUUUAUGCAUAAUGUUUCCGGUAUUGAUAAAUUACAUAAUAAUUAUUACAAAGAAAUCAUAAAUUGGAAACAUUAAUCAUUUUACAAUAUGUUACAUAAGUAAGAUAAAUCUCAUAGUAAGUUAAGUUAUAACGUAAUAAAUAUUUUCAACAUAUACUUAUUUAAGAAGUCAUUUAACAAUAAUAUUUUUUAUAUUUCAGUUGAUCAUGUCAUAUAGCGUUAUCUAAACUCUUGGCCAUAUUAUUAUUACUCAAUUUUCUCCCAAAAAAAAAAAAAAAAAAACAAAAACAAACAUGAUUAAUGAUUAGAGAAAAGUCAUGCCUUUUAGAAAGAAUACGUAUACAAGCUAUCCAUACUUUAUCUUACCAUGAUGGUGAUUAAAUAUAUUUUUAAAAUAGAUUUAAUGCACAAAUAUGAUGACUUUUGGCAAAAAUUAGUUUCGGAAGAUAUAGUGGUAGAAAAUAGUGAUGAUUAUUGUUUAAAUGUGUAAAUAGUCUAAGCAUAGCCCGUAAUACCAAUAUUCAUUUGCACCUUCAUUUGGAUUAUCAUAUUUUAUGAUGUUCUUUCAUUCAUAACCAUUGUUCAAAAUUUGGAUUUGAUCAUAAAACAAAACUAAAAAAUAUUAGAGAUACUAACAAUUGAGUCCCAUUUUAAGUCCCAAUACAAUGUGUUAUUUCUCAAUGUUGUGUCAUUCAUUAAUUAAGUGAUGAAUUUCAGAAUUAAUAAUUAGUUCAGACUUUAAUUAAGAUUUAAAUGUUAGAAUAUCUAGCAUCAUUCAAUCACAAUAAACAAAAUUCAAAUUGAAACGGCAAUAUUGUAUUUUCUUUAAUUAAUUUUGAUGCUGAAGCAAAUAUUUUGCUUGGGUUUUUCACUUCUUGAUUUUGAUUGGAAAAGUUUCUGAGACGAAGUAUUUUGGAUAAUUUUUUCGGGAUUGAAACCACAACUUGGUAGAGGAAAUUAGUUGGAGUAGUGAUGGCUUUGUCUUCAUUUUUGGUUCCUUUUGUGUCGGCAGCCCCUUACUAUUCUCUUGACCCUGAGUUUGAGAUAGAAAUUUAUCAACCUCCAACCCCACAUCCACAAACAAGUUGAUUGAAACAAUUGCUCUUUUAAUUAAGAGGACCCAAAUGAUUUAGGUUUCAGUUCUUAUCAUUUGUCUAUUAUUUAUUUGAAACAUUUAUUUUGAGCGUUACUGAUCUUAAUUAUCUGUAUUUCUCCAAUUAUUGAAGCAUUUCAAGUGGCCACUUUUUCUCCUUUUUAUAUAUGUUUAUUUUUUGGAGUGAUCAAACGGGGGCAAAAUCAAGUAUUCGCUGGUCUGUAGUUUAGCCAACGAUGGCUGAUCCACACAGUUGAUUAUAUGAUACUAUUAGCUCUCAAAAUCUUUCUUAUUUGAGAAUACAAGUUGCCCAAUAGAGUUGAACUAUGUUACCCAACUCCAUGCUCAUACAUUAAAUGUUUAGGUAGUUUUACAAAAUGAUAGCAGCAUGCCAAAACUUGUUGUUGUCAUUUUCGACAUUUCAAAUUGAAAAAUAUGCAAGCAAUCUUCAGUGAACAUUACGUUUUUAUUGAAUAAUUUAAAUGGCCAGUAAAUCAACAGUCCGUGAGUUUUAAAUCUAUUAUGACUUAAUGUAUCUUUCUGUAUUCGUACACAGGUUAUAUUAUCAUAGUUUAAAAUUUUAAUAUUAUUUUAAAUGUUAAAAAUACUUUAAUGCUAUUAGUCUACUACACAUGUUAUAUUAUUUAUAUUAUAUUUGUAUUAAUUAAAACUUUUAAUGUAAAUUUUCUAAUUACUAUAUUGAAAAGGUAUUAUGGUUAAGAAAAAGUUUUGGCAUUUCUUCUUGAAAAUUUGAGGGUCUGCAUGACAAUUUUUCCAAAUUCUAAGGGUAUAGGUUUGAAAAUUUAAUGUUCUUUAACUUAAUGAAACAAAAGGGGGAAACCAAGAACUAUUCAAUUUUGUAUUUUUUGUUUGUAAUUCAAAAAAUGCAUCCACCAAACCAGUUUUACGCAUUAAUGCUGUCAUAAAACAAAAAACAGUUUGCCAAAAAAUGGUACCAAACAUAUCCUUAAUGUCUCACAUGAUUUCUUAGUAAGCCCAUAUUAGAUAUAUUUAUACAUUUUAGGUAUUUUAGUUAUAAAAGAAGUUGGUCCUCCCCCUAUUUAUAAAAGAUAACUUUGUUUCGAUAUUACCACUAAACUCUUACAUAGAAUUAGUGUAAUGUUAAGAGAGAGUAAAACGGUUUUCCAUUACCAUCUUUGAAAAUAGAAAGAUAUGGAUGCGUGCAUUUAAGAGUCAUCGUGAAAAUCAUACAAUUCAAUUUCCUGACAAGAAGUUGGUCCUCCCCCCCUUUUUUUUUUUUUUUCAAUUACAGUGUGAUGGAGACAUUAAGGAUGAGCAUAAUAGUUAAAGAUGACUCAUUUCUCAUUUUCUUUUUAAAGUGCUCUGCUGAAAGCCAAACUUCCUUUGGCUAAUUAAUUUAGAAGUAAAGCAGAGAAUAAAGUCCUAGAUGCCUUCUGAAAUUAGAAAUACAUUUUAUAUGCUUUAAUUAUGAUUAUUUGGUAGACUAAAGACCUAAAAGAUAUGUCAAAAGUAUAAAACAGAGCGAUUAAAGAAAAAAGAAAAAAAAAACAGAGCAUUUGUGACGUAGAACAAUUGGUAAAUAAAUCCUAAAUAUUUGAGUUGUUAAAAGCAAAUAUAACAGAGACAGUAAGAGAGAUGCUGAAACAGAAAACUAUUAGCUUAUCUUGAUUUUCCCACUAUAUUCAUUUUCGAUGCUUUUCAAACGAGAUUCUUUUAAUUCUUCUGGUGUCUCUUAUAGAUCUCCAUCCCACAUCUGCACUACGAACAAGUUGAUUAAAAUUAAAUACUGUUGGAGAUGUGGGGUGAGCGGUCAACUUGGUAAAAAAACUAUGUGUAAUAUUGUUAAUAAUAUAAAAUAUAUAAUAAUAAUUACAAAGAAUCAUAAAUUAGAAAAAUUAUUUAUUUUACAAUCUAUUUCUUAAGUAAGAUAAAUCUCGUAAUAAGUUAAGUUAUAAUGUAAAAAAUAUUUUCAAUUUAUAAUCAUUUAAGGAGUCAUUUAACAAUAAAAUCUUUCUUUUUUUGAUCAAUUGGUCAUGGUACAGAGCAUCAUCUAUAUUCAUGGUGAUAUUAUUAUUACUCCGUAUUCUCAAAAAACACGAUUUAACAUUUAGAGAAAGUUCCUACCUUUUAAAAAGAACAUGUAUGCAACAACUACCCAUACUUUAUCUUACCACGACAAAACUAAUAGUGACUAAAUCAAUUUUCUCGAAUAAAGCAAAAUUUCUUAAAAUUAAUUUAAUAUACAAAUAUGAUGACUUUUUGCAAAAAUUAGUUUUGGAAAAUUAGUGACAGAAAAUAGUAAUGAUUAUUGUUUAGAUGUGUAAAUAGCCUAAACAUGAUCCCUAAUACCAAUAUCCACGUGCAUCUUAACACCUUUCGUCAUAUUCUUUCAUUCAUGGUCACUGGUUCAAGAUUUGAAUUUGAUCAUUAAAUAUGUUCAAUAAUAUUAGAGAUCCCAACAAUUGAGUACCAACUUAAAUCCCAAUGCUAUGUGUCAUUAACAAAUGUUGUGUCAUUUAUAAUUAUUGAAUGAAUAAUUCGUUAAUUUAUUGAUAAAUGAAAAUUUAUUAAUUUAAAGAGAGAUAUUUUUUUUUUUGGGUUUUAAGAAGAGUUUUGUUGGUACAUGUACAUACUUAUAAAGAAAUAAACUUGUAAUUAUACUAUAUCUUUCUUUCUUUAUUCAGUUUGGUGGGAUAUUGUGAUAAAUCAUUGGAUUAAAAUGCAUUUCUAAAUUAAAACUUGUUAAAAUCUAAUUUAUUUGGGAAGCGCAUAUUAUUUGUCAGUCGUACUUCUCAAGUCUCAACUUAGCAAGUUAUUUCUAACUUGUCAGUCUCUAUUGGUUCUCUAAAGCUAAUAGUCUCGAAUCUCCCGCAUUUGAUAUCUUGCCAUUAUUGUUGGCAUUAACAUGUUACCUGAGAUUGGGAUUCAUUAAAAUCCUCAAUGUAAUCGGUGGAACGAAUGGAUUUCUUCUGUUCACCAAUCCACCAAAAUUUCUGUAAUUAAAUUCAAGAGUCAAGAUCUAUGCUUAUAAUCUAUUCUAACAGCUAAUAUUCUAUUUUAUAUUUACUUAAAUAUGAAGAGCUAUGCUUGUCAUUAACUUCAAAUGUGAUCGAAGCAGCCUUACAUCUGUAUAUUACUUAUUCCCAACCUUUUUUUUUUGACUUCAUAUACUUUAUUUUCAUGUUAUUUACUCUUUUUUUCCCCUUUCUGACAAUUGAGGUAGGGGGUCAAACUUGAAAGUAUCUUAAAAUCAGACAAAUUUUUUUUUUUUUAAGAUAGCUGCUAAUAUGCUCUAUUAGACAAUGACAAGUAAUAACCUAGUUGUUUGCAUUAGAAAUGAUAUUUUUUGUGGUGCUGAUAAAGAGGUUGAUUAUGAUUCAACAAUUUAAAAUAUGAAAACAUGUGGAAGACGGCCGCAAUUAAAUUGAUUGUAUGAAAAUAUUUCAAUGAAAUUUUAAAAAUUUAGUACUUGUUAUCUUAUCGAGAGUUUUUUUAAAUUAUAUUACUACUUGAACUUGGCUGCUUUUGUAUUGAAUUCCCAGCGUUGCCAUUGCUUCUACUCAAAAGCCAUUUAAGUUUGUGUAAGCUACCUAUAGUUUGAACAACAAUUUACUCAUGAAUUGUUGUUCAUAAUAGCAAUUUGAUUGAAAGUGCGGCUGCACUAAUUUUCUAGAUGAAUUUUUUCCUACAUGCUUGUUCUCGUAUGACCCAAAAUCCUGCUACAUCAGUUGUAUUAGAAAUUAAUACUGGGUUACAAUUAUGCAUCCCCACCAAUAUUUCUUGAGGAAAGAAACUCAUAUCGCCCCUAGGCUUUUAAUGAGGCUCAUUUUUAUGAAUCUGGAUGGCAUUAGAUAUCUCUCCGAAUAUUGGUGGGAGUAUAUCGCAGAUCAAUGGGCUAUACUACAAAGUGUAUGUACGUUGACUCUCAAUAAAUACAAACGAUUCUCUGAUAUGAUUCAAAACAUCAGUGCACGCAUCAUUUUAACGAGAGAGAAUAUUCUAAGAACGAAAUUGAAGGUGCAAUCAGCAACUAAAAUGAAGCCAGAAAUGUACACGCAUGAGGAAGUUUUCCUAGAAGAUUGAUAUUUCUUUAACUAGCAAACAAUACAAGUCCAAAGCUAACCAAACCAUACCUGCAAGUCCGGGGCUUAAAUGGAGUACUUGUAAGCAUAAAACAUUAAUCAAAACACAGUAUAGACACACACACACACCCCUACAUACAUACCAGCAAAUUCGAAAUAGAAAAAGGAGUGCAACUAUUCAAGUUUGUUGACAAUAUUGCAACCAUGGCAUAUUAAAGCAAAUCCUUAAAAUCAGCUAAACGAAACAAUGCCCUGUCUCAUGAAUCGAUGCUCAACUAAAAAUUGAAAUUGAAAGUCCGGCUGGUGUUGUUAUUAGAUAGAUAUAACAAGAUCUUUCUUUGACAGUUCUUAUUAGAUAGAUAUAAAAAGAUCUGCUUUGACAGUUCUUAUUAGAUAGAUAUAAAAAGAUCUUUCUUUGUUUCUCUGCUGUAAUUUGUGGCUAUCCCACUCUGUUUUGCCAGUCAAGCUGAGUCUACGUUGAGACAUAAUUUUGACAUCAGAAGCGGCCUCAAUUAGUUUGGCAUUUUUAUAACCUCCUUGAAGGUUUUACGAUAAACAUAAAUCUACUGACAAAGUGGGCAAAAAGAAAAUGCAUGUAAAAGUAUGAGUUAUCAAAUAAGAUUAAAACUCACCCAAUUCAAUCCAUCAGAUUCCGUAAGGAUACAACUGGAUGUCAUACCGCCACUCCAUAUUCUCGAAAGUCCGUAGUCCUUGUCUCAACUGUGUCUGGGGCCAGUGUAAGUCCAUUUUUGCGCAAGCUCUUUAUGCACCACAGCUCUUCUGGAAGCUUUCUCAAGUAAGCACACGGGUUGACAAUUAAGCAUUCAAGUUUCGGCAUUGCUCCAGCCCCCAUCGUCCACUCAUCUAGCCAAUACAUUGACUUCAGGUGCAAAACCUUAAGUUCGGGAAAGCUACUCAAGCCAACACAAGCAAGCUUUCUUCCUAAAUACGAGUUCUGCUUCAGUUUCAGCACUCGAAGGCGUGGAAGAUUUUCCAGAAUUGGCAUGGGAUCCUCCAUUAGCUCAGUAUUUGAUAAGCUCAGUUGGAUCAGACUUGGGGGAAAUUGGUAUUCAGACAGGACCAUCCGUGAGGGCUUGCUCUCAUUCACCAGCUUCAAGCAUUCAAGUUUGUGGAGUUCGCAUAGGCUUUUGGAAACCCCUGAAUGAUAGCAACUCAAAUCUCCAGAUAUCCGAAGAGUUUGAACAUUAGGUAGUCUGCCCAAUAUAUCAGGAGUACAACUACUGGGGUUUAAAGUUGAUAUGAAAAUGAGAUUUUUCAGGGAGCUAGAAUAAUUUUUUGGAGGUGCGGGCAGAGUGAUAGAACCAAAGUUUAGAUGCAUGAGUUUUUGCAUCUUCCAAAUAUCCUCUGGUGACUGAUCUAUGUAGCUAGAUGGCAUUUCUAGUGUUUGAAGGUUUAAAAGGGUGCAUAGCAGUGAAGGAAGGCAUUUGAGCGAAGGGAUAUUCAAUUUCAAAUACUUCAAAAGGAAUAAAUUUUCUAAUCCGGGUGGAUAUUGGUCCAGGACUGCAGAACCCAAGUUCAGUACCCGAAGGUAUUUGAACCUUUUAAAAAAAUUCUCGCAAUCUUUCGGAUUAAGAUGAUAUCUUUUUGGACUGUGAUUGAGAAAAGAUUGGAGAUACAUGUCAGAAUGUUCUAAAGAAAGGAACUCAAUCAAAUCAUCGACAAUGAAGCACCGUUUAACAUUUGCGGGUGGUUCCUCUUCCACGUCAUGCAUCCAGACAAAUCCCGUCUUCUUUGCCACCACAAACAAUGAAGUGUAGUAUACAAUACUUGGAAAAUAACACGAUUUAAUUGUGCCUCCGGCCCUUCUUUUACUCACUUGAAUGAAGCCGCGAUGGAUUAGUUCUUUCAAGUAAUGUUCGGCAGUUUCUUCACUGUUGUAUGGUAUGAAACCUUCAGCUACCCACAAAUGAUAUAAUUGCCUCGUGGAUAUCUCAAUGCCUGGAGGGAAGACACACAAAUAGAUGCAGCAGAUUUUCAAGUGAAAAGGUAACUCCAACACAGAACAAAUUCCAAUGAAAAUUGUCGGAAUCGUUUCGCCUUGAACAUAAUUUUCUAAUGGCAUACUUCCAUAGUGUAGGAUGAAAAAUUGCCAGGCUUCAUGCUUUAAUCUGAUCAAUGGUCCUCCAAUGAGCACCGAAUCAAGCCGAAUCUUCUCUCCAUUUUCCAUUUCAAGCGACGCAAGGAGGUCUGGAUCAGUGACUGUUAUCAAUACUCUGCUUCCAUUCUGAUUAUCAGGAAGAACUUCUUCAAGAUCAUCCCAUAUGUCAAUGUUAUCGCAGACAUCAUCAAGCACAAUAAAGUACUUCUUGUUUGUUAGGUAAUCUCAAAGAAUAGAUUCCUUGAAUUGAUAAUCUUCACCGAUAAUUACACUAACCCGAGAUGGAGGCAUCACAGACUUGAUUAUGUCAUCCAAUAUCUUGCCCAAAUCGUAGAAUACAGAAACCCUGACCCAAGCAAGACAGUCAAAAUAGAACCUGACAUGAUUAUUGUUGUAAGUAUCUGCAGCAAAAGCAGUCCUAUCGAAGCCACUGCUGUCGAGAAUUGCAACCACUGCAAGCCCAGAUGGUCCCUCAAUCAAUAGAUCAAACAACUUCUCUCUGCCCCUUUCAAAUUCACUGAUAUCGAGCCGAGGUUGUCCCUCAUUCAAUAGGCGAAUGAUUUCGUUACUUUUUUCACUGAUAUCAAAACCAUUGUCGCCGGGCGGAAGUUGUUGCAUCCGAUUUCUAAUAUCAAUGAUUUCACUGUGGACAUGAAGAGCCAUAUUAGUGCUGCUUUCACUUUCGUUUUCACUGUUUUGCUGCUGCAUUAUGUUGAUGAAGAAUCUGUCAAUGGCUUCCUCAGAUUCAUGGACAAAGUCAUUGAUGUGCACCAGAAUUUCCAAAAUAUCUGGUCUUUUAACGUCUUCUUCAUCGCUUUCUUCUAAGUCCAACAGUUGCAAAAAAGGAAAAGAUAUUUCGAAGUCAUCGAAUUCUUCUAGAAUGAGUUGAAACAAAUGCCGAGCCAUGUCAGCUUCAUAGUUUCCCAGAAGAGUAGCAGCAAUAAUUUCGGACUCCGUAAGAAGGUUUUGAAAAAGUGGGGUUAAAUUUGUUGAAUCUGGCAGCGGCAACGUGCCUUCUUCACCUGCUAACACCCUUUUCAACCUCUCACAAAUCAGUCGGAGGUGGAAUUCCAGCAUUUCUCCUUCUCUCCGUAGCACUCAAUUAGAAUUAUCUUCGAAUUCUAAUUUAAUUGACUAAGUAGUUAUAGCUAUUCUAUUGAUUAGGUCUAGCUAUUAUAUUCUAAAUGAUUAAUUGAGAGGUAUAGUUGAAAGAUUAAACACCAUGGAAGAAUUUGAAAGGAAAAUGCCAAGAAACUGUGUAAGUGGCUAAAUUCCACAAAUAUGACAUUAUUGCUCAUUUUUUAACUCAAAAAAAGGGUACGCAUUCAUUUAGAGAAAAGUCCAAGACGCGUGCUUUUUAAAAAGAACAGGUAUCCAACCUCUAUCUUAUUAAAUUACAACCAUGACAUAAUUGAUGGUGCUUAAAUCAAUUGUUUCUUUUUUAAUUUAAAGAAUUUUUCAUUAAAAAAAUAUUUUAAUAUCAAAUUGCCUUCAGUGGCGUAACUGCCUCAGGCCCAGUAACAGGACUAAUUAAAAAUUUUACAAUUUUUGGGCAUGGAAAUAGUAGUAUUAAACAUUAGAAAGGUAAGGUUGUUCUGUUAAAGAAUUGAUAUUGACAUAAUUUUAUUUUGGUUUUCGUGGAAAAAAAAUUUGUUGACAAGUAAGAAAAUAUUUUUAUUUUUUAAAAUUUAUUAUGCAUAUUUUAUCAUAUUAAAGUAAUUUUAAUAAUAAAUAGAAACAUAAUAUUACAAUAAAUAAAUUAUAGUUUAAAUUAUUUUGAAUAUUAUAAAAAAUAAUGUUAAUAUUAUUAAUAGGAAGACAUUUUGUUAAUUUUAAAAUCUUUUUAAUCCAAAGGUUUAUUUAAAAUCUCUAUAAUAAAUACAAAUAUAAGAUUAAAAUAAAAAUCAUAAUUUCAAAAUUUUAAUAUUAUUUUAAAUGUUAAAUAUACUUUAAUGUUAUUAGCCUACUACGUAGAUUUUAUUAUUUAUAUUAUAUUCGUAUUGAUUAAAAUUUUUUAAAGUCAAUUUUUUAGUUAGUACAUUCAAGAGGUAUCAUAGUUAAAGAAAAGAUUUUGGUGCAACUGUUUUAAAAUUUCAGGGUAUAAAUGAUAAUUUUUUUUAAAAUUUUAAGGAAGUAGGUAUUAUUUUUCCGACAAUUUAUUUUAUUUUGAGGGAAAUCCGAUGAGAAAUAUCAUCAGAGAACAUUAAUUUAACAUUCUUUACCUUUAUGAAAAAAGUGGAAACCAAGAACUAUUCAAAUUUUUUUUUUUUGUGUAAUUCAAAAAAUGCAUCCACCAAACAAGCUUAUCAUAAUUUUCCCACUUUAUUCAUUUUCGAUGCUUUUCAAAAGAGGUUCCUUUAAUCCAUCUAGCAUCUGCAGCCCCCACUAUUUUACAAAUCUCCAUCCCACAUCUACACUAUCAAAAAAGUUGAUGGAAAUUGAACCCAUUAAGUUAUGUUCAUUACUGGUCAUUAUCUUUCUAUGAGCCACUUAUUUUGAGCAUUAGCGAUCUUCUAAGGAAUCAUGCCUUUUCAGGAUCGUUUUCUUUCAUUUCCUUAUUGUAGUAGUUAAUUAAAUAAAGAACGAACAAGUGAACUUUGUCUAUUUCGAGGAAGAACUAGGUUUCCAACACUAGAGGAACUUUGAAGAAAAUUAAUUGGAAGCCUUUAUUCAUCUUUGAAGAAAAUUACGUGCCAAUGUAACCAAGGCUUUUAUUCAUCUUCGGACUAUGAAUUUAUACAAAAACAUUAACAGAAAAUAACAAAGACACAGCUAAAUGAUAGCAACAAGUGUUGAUUUAGUGGACCACUUCUACAAGUAAAUAAAAACUAAAUAUUUAUUUAAGGAGGGCUUUUGUUAGUAGAGUUUUUAUAAAUAGAAAUUUAACAAAAAAAAAUUAUAGUUAUUUAGUUGUCAAUGUCCAAAUUGAUGAAUUAUUGUUCUUUUUGUUAACAUGUGUUUGUUUUACUUAAUAAUAAAAGUUUAGUUUACAAUUACACCGGUGUCAAAUCAGCAGAGCAUUUUUGCAGCCAGUCACAUUAUACAUUAUAUACUAAUAGCAUCGGCAAGAGUUUUCGAUUGUUGCAACUUGCAAUGCACGCGAUGCGAGAAAAUGAGAAUCUUGUUUAAUUGCAAUAAUGACAAACCUAAUCCUUUCAUUAGGAGUAAAUUAAUAAUCGUUUGUUAUUAUUGAAUAUGUAUAAAGAAAGGACAAUUCUAUUCAUAGAUUCGACUUAUUUUUUGUUUAAAGUAAUUAAUCAUUCAACCAUCUUCAUUUGCCUCUGGCCAAUGCCCUUGUAGAUUAGUUGAAGCGUUUAUUACUUAAUUCAGAUAAUUACAACGUCCUUUUCGCUAAUUAAUUAUGAUUAUGAACAUUUUCAUAUAGCAAGUGGCAUUGUAGAUCUAAACUACGUUGCUAUUUCAAUACGUUAAUUAAGUGAUUCUCCUCAUUGUCAUCAACGUUAUAAACAGGAAUUGUGCAAACAGUACACAAUGCUGCAGCAAGGCGUGGGUGGCUAGAGUUUUGCAACCACCCUUGAGAUCCUGUGCUGCCAGUAGUAAAAGAAUUUUACGCCAAUUUGGUAAGCCCUGGUCAGCACAACAUUUGGGUAAGAAACUCACUUGUUCCAUUAGACUCUCGAGUUAUAAAUGUUUUUUAUAAUUUACCUGCUGAAAUUAAUUGUGAGUAUGCCAAGUUGCUUGACAAAUUGACCCCGCAACAAUGGAACACAAUUUUCACGACACUUACGGUAGAGGGUGCAUCGUGGGCUAAUGAGGAGGGGCAUGUAAUUAACAAGAUAGAUUUAAAACCCAUUGCUAAGGUGUGGGUGAAAUUUCUAAAAUCCAGGCUUAUGCCAACCACCCACACCACUACUGUUUCACAGGAAAGGUUGGUGCUGUUAUAUGCUAUUGUUAGAGGGCUUCCCAUAGAUGUGGGAAGCAUUAUCGAAAAAGAAAUUCGAGAUUGUGCCAUGAAAAACCACAAGGCUGCUGCCUUGUUAUUUCUUUCACUCAUAACCAGCAUAUGUGUAGUAUCAGGUGUUCGUCUUGAUGCAAAGGAUGAAAUUUGUAAUUAUAUUAUGGCUCCAUUUGGUAUAACUUUUUAAUUCGAACUUAUUUAAGGAGAAUUUUUAUUAGUAGAGUUUUUAUAAAUAGAGAUUUUACUAAAAAACAAAAAUUAUAGUUAUUUAGUUGUCAAUGUCCAAAUUGAUGAACUAUUGUUCUUUUUGUUAACAUGUGUUUGCCAGUCACAUUAUACAUUUUUGCAACUUGCAAUGCAAGCGAUGAGAGAAAAUGAGAAUCUUGUUUAAUUGUCAAUAAUGACAAACCUAAUCGUUUCAUUAGGAGUAAUUUCAUAAUCGUUUGUUAUAAUUGAAUAUGUAUAAAGAAAGGAAAAUUCUAUUCGUAGAUUCGACUUAUUUUUUGUUUAAGGUAAUUAAUCAUUCAACCAUCUUCAUUUGCCCCUGGCCACUGCCCUUGUAGAUUAGUUGAAGCGUUAAUUGCUUAAUUCAGAUAAUUACAACGUCCUUUUCGCUAAUUAAUUAUGAUUAUAUACGUUUUCAUAUAGCAAGUGGCAUUGUAGAUCUAAAUUAUGUUGCUAUUUCAAUACGUUAAUUAAGUGAUUCUCCUCAUUGUCAUCAAGUGGAAAAUAGCUCAAUUGUUUCCCUGCAUCGAUUUUCAUUGGUAAGUGAUUUCUUAUGAUAUUCGUUUGAGCUUUCCUUAUUAAAAAAGCUUGAGCCUUGAUCACCUAAUACUGAUAUCAAUUAACUUGUGAACGAUUUUGUAAUGAAAUUAGGAGUUAAAUAUAUAAGAUUUUUACGUGAUGAAUUUUGAUUUUUUUAAUUUUUUGAUGUAGUCAAUUUGCUAAUUUUAUAUAUUUCAUAUUCAACGGAAUUUGGGCACGGAAAGUUUGGAUUCUAAUAUUUAUAUAUUUAGCUUUAAUCAGCUUGACUUUAGCAAUCUUUUUCCCUCAUCAUUAAGGGAUUCAGAAUUAGAGAAACGCUAGGAAGAGGAAGAAAAUAACUUUGGAAGUAAGUAAGAGGGAAAAAAUUAUGAAAUUUGGAAUUAUUUUUUGUAAAGUAUGUUGCGUUUACUAAACUGGAAUUAGAAUGAGCUGAAAUCAGAAUGAAUAGGAAUGCGAAUGUGCUGAAAUCGGAAUAGGUAAUGAGAAUAAGAAUAAGUUGUUUACUUGAACUGUAAAAAUCAAAAUCGGAAUGAGCUGAAUUGCAAUUACUUUGUCUUGGAAUCGGAAUCGGAAUCGGAAUGAGUUAGAUUAUAACAAAUUACUGAAAAGUACUUAAUGAAUUAUUGUCAUAAUUAUUAUUUUAUAUUUUAAUUAUAGUGAUUAUUUAUUCAAAAAUUAUUAUUAUUAAUUAUUUCCAAUAAUAUAUUAAUAUGUUAAUUAAUUUUAAAAAUUAUUAAUUAAUUUAUUAUAAUAAUAUACUAAUUAAUUAUAAUUAUUAUUAUAAAAAUAUAUUAAUAAUAAAAUUACUAAUUUAAUUGUAAUAAUAUAUGAAUUAAUUAUAAUAAUUAUUAUAAUAGUAUAUGAAUUAAUUAUAAUAAUUAUUAUAAUAGUAUAUUAAUUAAUAAUAAUAAUAAAAAUAUAUUAAUUAUGUGAUUAUUUAUUCAAAAAAUAUUAUUAUUAAUAAUUAUUGUUAAUAAUGUAUCAAUAUACUAAUUAAUUAUAAUAAUUAUUAUAAAAAUAUAUUAAUUAUUAAUAAUAAAAUUACUAAUUUAAUAAUAAUAAUAAAAAUAUAUUAAUUAUGUGAUUAUUUAUUCAAAAAUUAUAAUUAUUAAUAAUUAUUGUUAAUAAUGUAUCAAUAUAUUACUUAAUUAUAAUAUAUUAAUUAAUUAUAAUAAUAUAUUAAUUAAGUAUAAAUGAGGACAAAGUGGGUAUUUUUAAUUUCACGAAGGGGCAAAAUGGUCAAUUCUAGUAAUGGGAGACUCACUCCCACCCUCUCCUUUGGGAAUGAGUCUCCCAUUCCUCAUUCCCAAAUUGUGGUGGGCCCCAUGAUUUUGACUCCGAUUUCUAACUCAAUUUUGCGAAGUAAACGCUACCAAUGAUUCCGAUUUCGGAUUCUGAUUCACUUAUCUGAGAAGUAAAAGCAACAUAAAUGUGUAUGAAUAAUUGAUACCUAUGAAUAGUUUUGGGAGUUUUAGCUAGGAGUCAUCUAUUGAAGAUGUUUAGCAAUUGAAGAUCUCUGUCUCAGUAGUUUUCCCAAUCAAAAUCAAGAAGCAAAAAAACUUGCCAUUUUUCUACUUGAUAAUUAAUUGAAAUUUAAGAAAAUACAAUGGCAUUUCAAUUAGAAUUGGUAAUUGUUUAUCUUUUUUCAUUGAUCAAAUUCUAAUCGUGAUCCAAUAGUUAUGGAUGAAGGAAAUAUUAUGAGAGGCGAUAGGCCAAGUGAAGACGUACCAGCAAAUUCAAAAUAGUCGGGAGGUGGACGUCCAGCAUAUCUCCUUCUCUCUGUAGCACCCAGAUGCAUUGUUAUUUGCUCCAAGAAAUGUUAAAAGGAUUGGCCCUAUCUCAAUGUGGUUAGUGGCAAGGGCGGAGACAGCAUAUUAAUUGACUGUGGGCUUACUCAACUGCGAUAAAAAAAAUUUAAAAAAUAAUAAAUAAUAAAUUUAAAAGAUUUAUCAUACUUCAAUAUAUGUUUAUAAUUAUCCUUUACGAGUUUUCAUACAUUGAUAACGUUGUAUUACAACUUCAUUAUCAAUAUUAUUGUGGGCUGUUUAAAAAUUUGAUUAAUAUUAAUAUUUAUAGGCUUGAUUUUAUUUUGUAAAGCCCAUCUCUUUUUAUUUGUUUUAAAAACUUAGAGUGUGAGAAUUUAAGUAUAAUUAUGUAUUAGGAACUUGAAUAUAAAUUAGUGGGGGCUUAGGAAAAAUUUAUUAGAAAUUUUUGGCAAAUCAAAUUAGUUAGUAAAAGAUUUUUUUUUUUUUUUUCAGUGGGGACUUAAGUCCCCACUGGUCCCAAGCUAGAUCCGCCACUGGUUAGUGGUGAAAAAUUAAACACCAUGGAAGGAUUUGCAAGGAAUAUGCCAAGAAACUGGCUAAGUUCCACAAAUAUGGCAUUAUUGCUCUUUUUUUUUUAAAGAAAAAUUAUACACGUUAAUUUAGCAAAAAGUCUAAGACACGUGCCUUUUGAAAAGAAUAGCUAUUACCAUGACACAAUCGAUGCGGCUGAAACCAAAAUUUUCUUUUCUUAAUGUAAAGUUUUUUUUUUAAAUAGAUUUUAAUAUCAAAAUGCCCUUCGAUGUUAUUACUCUCACAAGCCCUGUAACAGGAGUAAUAAAAAAGUUUAGAAUUUUUGGGCAUGAAAAAAGUAGUAUUAAACAUCAGCAAGCAAAGGUUGUUCUGUUAAAGAAUUGAUAUUGACGUGAUUUUAUUUUGGUUAUCGAGAAAAAAAUAUAUUUGUUGACAAGUAAGAAAAUAUUAUUAUAUUUUACAAUCUAUUAUACAUAUUUUAUUAUAUUAAAUAAUACUAAAUAGAAACAUAAAAUUAGAAUAAAAUAAAUUAAAAUUAAAAUUAAAAUUAUUUUGAAUAUUAUGUAAAAAAUAAUGUUAAUAUCAUUGUUACUUGUAAAAUAUAUUUAGCCUAAAGAUUUAUUUAAAAUUUUAUAAUGAAUAAAAAUAUAAAAAUAAAUUAAAUAUCAUAGUUUAAAAUCUUAAUAUUAUUUUAAAUAUUAAAAAUACUUUAAUGUAUCUUAAUAUUAUUUUAAAUAUUAAAAAUACGUUAAUGUUAUUAUUCUACUACACAUGUUAUAUUAUUUAUAUUAUAUUUGUAUUAAUUAAAAAUUUUAAAGUCAACUUUCUAGUAACUAUAUUCAAAGGUAUUAUGGUUAAAUAAAGGUCUUAGUGUUUCUUUUUCAAAAUUUGAGGGUCUACAUGAUAAUUUUUCCAAACCCUAAGGUAUAGGAGUCCUUUUUGUCAAUAAUUUAUUUCACUUUUGAGAGAAUACGAUGAGAAAUAAGAUCAGAGAAAUGUCAAUUUAAUGUUCUCUAGCUUAAUGAAAAAAAAAUGGAAACCAAGAACUAUUCAAUUUUGUAUUUUUUGUUUGUAAUUCAAAAAAUCCAUCCGCCAAACAAGAUUCACGCAUUUAUGUUGUCAUAAAAUGAAAAAACAGUUUGUGAAAAAAUGGCACCAAACAUACCCUUAAUGUCCCACAUGAUUUCUUAUGAAGCCCAUAUUAGAUAUAUUUAUACAUUUUACUGCAUUUAGGACAUGUUUGAUAGCCUGCAUUAUAUAGGAUAAAAACAUAAUUUUGUAUUAAAUUAAUGCACACUCACGUUUGGCGCUAAAAGUAACUCCAGCCGCAUUGCAUUAAUGGGCUGCUACUGCGGCAAUUGCCGCACUAGCUUGCCUCUUUUUCUUUUUAAUUUUAUUUAUAAUAAUAAUAAUAAUAAUAAUAAUAAUAACAUAAUAUAACUUUUAUUUUAAUAUAAUAUUAAGUAUAAUUUUUAUUUUUACAUUAUAAUUAUUGAUAUAAAUUAAUAAAUUUAUUAUUUAUUAUUCAAUAAUAUUAUAUUAUUAUUUUUUUAUUUUUACAUUAUAAUUUAUUAGUAAAUUUAUAAUUUAAUAUAAUUAAUGAUAAUAGAAAAUAUCAUUACAUGUACUACAAAACUCUUACUUGGAUUAUUUAACACAAUUUAUUUUAUUCGUGAAUAUGUUAUAACAAUUGUAUCACUUUAUUGUUUUGUUAUUAUUUUGUGGUAUGUAUAAAUUUUUAUUCUAUUAUUCAAAGAUGACUUUUGAACUAAUCUUAUAGGUUUUAACUAUUUAUUUAUGUUGUUAUAUUAUUAGAGAUUAUUUGAUUAAAUUAUUUGCUUCGAUCUUUAUUUUACAGGUCAUAUAUUUAGAAAUUACUGAAAAAUAAAUGUUCUACUUCCAAAAAAUUUAAGGCUAUAAGCUCGAUCUUUAUGAAUAAUUGUGAUAUUUUUUAACAUUUACACUAAAAAAAUUGUUAAAUUUCUAAAAUUUAAGACUUCUAUAUUUAGUAUUUUUCCAAUUACUAAUAAGUAUUAUUUUCUAAAUAUAUAAUUUAAAUUAAUCACAAAAAAUUAAUACAGUACAGUGCAAUAUCAAAUAUAAUAUAAUUAAAAAUUAUACAGUACAAUGUAGCACCAAAUAUUGUACAAUAUUAUUAUAAAAUAGUACUGAUGCAAUACAAUAUAAUACAAUAUAGUGUGCCAAACGCACCCUUAGAGUGUGUUUGGAACAUGGGAUUAUAGGGUAUUAAAACACUGUUCACAUUAGCUUAAUACCAAUAUCAUGUUUGGAAAGAAAUUUUAAGGGAUUAAAGGGGGGUGAGCUAAUGCCAUAACUGCGCCAUUAGUGUCUUGGUUUUUUUUUAAAUAAUAAUAAAAAAUAUAAAUUCCUAAUUUUAUGUAAUAUUAUAUAAUAUUAAUUUUUAUUUUCUUUGAUCUUUACAUUAUAGUAAUUAAUAUAAGUUAAUAAAUUUAUAAUUUAUUAUUCAUAUUUUAAUUUUUAUUAUAUUAAAAAUAUAACUAAAUAAUUUAAUUUUAAUUAUAUAAUAAUUAAUGUAUAAAAUUGAUUAAUAUUUAAUAAGUUAAUACAACUAGUAAUAAGUGCUUAAAUAAUAUAUAAAAAUAAAAAUAUAACAUAAUAUUACAUUAUUUAAUUAUAUUACAAUAACUAAUAUAUAAAAAUUGAUUAUUAUUUAACAAUUUAAUAUAGCUAAUAAUAGAUACUUAAAUAAUAAUUUAAUAUAACUAAUAAUGAAUAUUGAUAUAUGAAUAUAUUUAAAUAAUAUUAAUACCAAUAUAUAUAAUAAUAUAAAAUAUUAUUACAUGUACUGUAGUAUUCUUACUUGGAUUAUUUAGCGCAAUUUAUUUUAUUAGUGAAUAUGUUACAACUAUUGUAUCACUUUAUUAUUUAAAUUAAUCAAAAAAAUUAAUACAGUACAAGAUAGCACUAAACAUUGUAUAACAUUAUUAAAAUACAGUGUUAAUGCAAUACAAUAUAAGACAAUACAUCUAUAUUAAAAUAAAAUAAAAUAAUUUAAUUUAAUAUAAUACAGUAUGUCAAACGCACCUCGUAUAUUUUAAUUUCAAAAGAAGUUGGUCCUUCCGUUAUUUAUAAAAGAUAACUUUAUUUUCAGAUUACCACUAAACUCUGAAGUAGAAUUGGUGUAAUGUUAAGAGAGAGUAACACAGUUUUCCAUUACCAUCUUUGAAAAUAGAAAGAUAUGGAUCAGUGUAUUUAAGAGUUAUCGUGAAAAUCAUACAGUUCAAUUCCCUGACACAUAUAUUUAUGAGCAUAUGCCAAAAGAAUAAAUAGAUAGAAAGUAAAUUUACAAUCCUCACUUCCUCACAAUUGUUAAAAUGAAGAUGCAUUACAACUGUGAACUGUCACUAUUUUAGCCUUUUUUAUUUUUUACUUUUAGUUAUAGUGCGAUGGAGACAGUGAACAUCAAGGAUGAGAAUAAAAGUUAAAGAUGACCCACCCACUUUCUUUUUAAAGUGCUCUGCUCAAAGACAAACUUCCUCUGGCUAAUUAAUUUAGAUGUGAAGAGAGAAUAAAGUCCUAGAUGCCUUCUGAAAUUAGAAAUACAUUUUAUAUGCUUUAAUUAUGAUUAUUUGGUAGACUAUAGACCUAAAAGACAUGUUAGAUUAUAAAACAGUGCGAUUAAAAAAAAAAGAGUAUUUGUGACGUCAAAUAACAAUUGGUAACUAAAAUCCAAAAUAUUUGAGUUGUUAAAAGCAAAUAAAAAAAAAGAAGGUAAGAGUGAUGCAGAAACACAAUAUUAGCUUAUCUUGAUUUUCCCACUUUAUUCAUUCUCGAUGCUUUUCAAAACAAAUUCUUCUAAUCUUUCUGGUGUCUGCAGCCCCUUGUCACGGGACGAGAGGUUUCGAGCCCGUGCGGUACUCUCGCAUCCCAUACUGCGAGAGUAAACCUAGUGGAAGUGGCACAAUAUCGACUGGUUUCACCCUGUCUUGGGCUCAUCAGGAGAACGGCUCCAGUUCCCAACCAGUGUGUGAAGAGCUUCGCCUAAACCCCUCUUCAACGUUAAGUCCUUGACUAGCGACAAGCUCCCCAAACUCAACCAGGUUGGCCUGCCUGAACUCCAAGAAAUCUAGGAUCAUUGUAUUCCCCACACGACGCCCCUGAAGCACGUCUCCUACAAUCAGCACAACCCUUAUCGAUACCAGCGUACAAACGCAUAUCUUCGGCGUCACAAUUGCAGUCCGUGACACCCUGCUCUUGUUAUAAAACUCCACCCCAAAUCUACACUACAAACAAGUUGAUUGAAAUUAAACAAUUGCUUUUUGAAGUGGACCCAUUGAGUCGUGGUCAUUACUCGUCAUUGUCUAUUUUUUCUAUGAGCCAUUUAUUUUGAGCAAUAGUGAGCUUCUCUGAACUACUCCAAUUAUUGAUGUAACUCCAGUGGCUGCAUCCAUAGUUGAAUAUAUGACAGUAUUAGCUCUUAUUUGAGAAUAUAGGGGGAUCUUUCUUUGUUUCUUUGUUGCAGUGUUCUAGUUUAUAGUCUUGCUGUUAAUGAAUUCACUGAGGCAUUAUUAAUUUAAUUUCAGUGAAGUAAUUAUGGAUGAAAAAUAAAUAAAGGAUAACAGAAUAGAGCUGAAGUGCUGAAUCGGCUAUUAAAGAAAGUGUCACGUGAUCACAAUCACACUGAUGCACAACUCUCUCUAUGUACUCCAAAUUCAGCCAAACCAUACAUGCCUCAACAAAAUUAAACCGUAGUUCUCAUCACUACAGUAAAUGAAGCCCACAAAGACAGCUGAAAUGGAAAAUAUUGACUAUUGAAUGGAUCAAUGCUGAAUUACACUUGAAAUGGGAAGCUUGGCUGCGGUUACGAUGUUUCCCCCUCUGAUUUUUCUCCAAAACAAAUUCCGUUGUAAAUAAUAUUCAAUGUAGCAACACUUUAUUCAGCAAAGAAAAUACCUAAUUUUUCAACUAACAAAUUCUCUUGUCUAAACUAAAAAAACUCACAUCUCUCCAAUCUAUCUACAAAAUAUUGGAGAUGAGAGGUGAUUUGUCAACUCGAUAAAUAAAUUCAUGCAUAAUGUUACCAAUAAUGAUAAAUUACUUAAUAAUUCUUAUAAAGAAUCAUAAAUAAGGAACAUUAACCAUUUUACAGUCUAUUACAUAAGUAAGAUUAAUCUUAUAAUAAGUUAACUUAUAACGUAAUAAAUAUUUCAAUUCAUAAUUAUUUAAGAAGUCACUUAACAAUAAAAUAUUUUUUUAUUUAAUUGAUCAUGUCAUAUAACGUUAUCUAAACUCCUGACGAUAUUAUUAUUACUCACUUUUCUCAAAAAAACAUGACUAACGUUUAGAGAAAAGUCAUGCCUUUUAGAUAGAUAGAAUAUGAUUACAAGCUAUCCAUACUUUAUCUUACCAUGACAAAAUUGAUGGUGAUUAAAUCUAUUUUUAAAAUAGAUUUAAUGCACAAACAUGAUGACUUUUGCCAAAAAUUAGUUUCAGAAGAUAACUAAAUUAAGUUGCAAAGGAGCUUACUUCAAUUUCUAAGCUUUUCAAUCAUGAUUCCUCCAUGCCUUCCUCUGAUACCAUUUUGUUACGUGCCAACGUAAUUGACCUUGUAAUUGGUUUGUAUAAGGAAUGAAGCCCUUUCAAGAUCGUUUCUUUUGUGUCCAUAUUGUAGUAGACUAGUAGUCAAGUAAAUAAAGAGUGAAUAACUGAAUUUGGUCUAUUUCGAAGAAGACUAUGGCCUCCACACUACAAGAAAAUAGGCGAUAGAUAACGGGAAAUAACCGUCAUAAAAGGUGGUGUAUGACAGACAGUUUAUUCGUCAUCUAUGUCACUGUCAUUAAUUUAUGACAGAAUAUUUUCCGUCAUGAAUUCUUGAUGUUAUUUUACAAUCAUAUAUCCAUCACACAAUAUUUUAAUGAGAAAAAAUAAUUAAAUAAAAUUUGAAUUUAUUAAAAUUUUUGCUCUAUUUUUUAAUUUUUUGGCGGAAAAUUAAAUUGUCAUUUGUAAAUUUCUUAUUCAAUUUUGGUGGAAAAUUUUUUUAUGACAGACUUUAUGAUGUGUAUUUCCCAUCAUAAAGUUAAUUUUUUUAAAUUAUAUUGUGAUUAUAGUUUAUUUCUGAAUUCCUGUUUACAAAUUUAAUUAAUUAAUAAAAAAUGAAUAUUGUCAAAAAAUAAAAAAAUAAUAGUAACUAAAAUCCAUUCAAUCCAACAAAUUAAUUUCAAAAUAAAUACAUCUAAUAUUCAAUGUCAUUACCACUAAUACAUAAUAAAACAUCCCAAAUUAAAAAAAAGAAUGUCAAAAUAUAAAACAAUAGUUAAAUUCCAAUUAAAUUCCAAGAAAUGUAAUUCAAAUUCCGGACACCGAGCCAAGCUCCCCAGCAAAACUUCCAAAGAUUAAUGGAAAUAUUCCAAUAGCAAGACUUCCAGAAGCAAUACCCUCUUCCAGUGGCAAUACAUUGACUAAUCUUUGAAGCCAUGACUCCUCAAGCCAAUGCCAAAAAUGUGUGCAAAAUUAAUGCUCUAUCCACAAAAAUUUCAGUCUAUAUUGGUAAGAAGAAACAUGAAGAAACAAUUACCUCAGCAUCAUCGUCAUUGGAAGCCAAAUCAGCUGUAAAGACCACAAAAUGUUUGGUUAGAACUAGUGGAAGUCUUACUCUAAAACUUUUAAUUUUUGAAUUUCGAAAGAUCUAGUAAUGACAAAGAUUCUCAUAUCCAGUGACCAAGUUUUGAAAAUUAGAAUACGGAAUAACGUCAACUAAAUUCACUAAUAUAGGGUGCAUUUGAGAUUGAGGUUGGACAGCUGUAGCUUAAAAGCUACAGUAGUAAAGUGUUUGGUAAACACUAGUUGCUGUAAUUUAAAAACUAUGUUGAUAUGAUUUUUCACUUGUAUAAUGGAGAAUCUAUUUUUUUAAAUAAUUAUGUCAAAAUUAUUAUUUAAAAUUUAUAUUUACUACAUAUUAUUAAUUUUUGUUUCAUAGUCACAGUUUUUUUUCCACAGCAGUUGUAAAGCUACAUCACCUCAAUCCCAAACGCACCCUAAGCUAGAGGAAUCCCUAGUUGAUAUAGCACACAUGCACACAUGAUAUGCAUGCAUCAGAAUACACAAUAAUAAAUUAUCUCAAAGUCAAUAAGAAGCCAAAACUAGAGAUAAACCUUUAGCCACUAUAAGGAAGACUGAUAUUUGCAGUGUGAUUACAAUAAACAAACAGAAACUUCACUACCCAUAAGUAAAGCAAAAUAAAUAAAGGAUAAUAACUAACCAAGAAAUGGAAAAGCUCACAUUCUCUGAACACGCACCCCAAAAAGAAAGAAAGAAAUAAAUGUUCCCAUUGGAUCUGAAGCACAAGCAAUCCACUGACAUCCUUCUAUAAUUAGGUAAUUUAAAGGGGUUAAGCUCACAUCUUUUACGGAAGCAACAAGAGAAUUAACAACAUUCCAGAGGAUUUAGGGAAAAACCACGAGGCAAGAAAAAAGAAAGAUCCUUCUUCAAUCUAGAUAUCUUGACACUGCUCACCAUCUACAGCAGUCUGGGGCUUAAAAAGCAUGAUCUCUCCCCCCCUCUGGCACCAUUUUCUCUCAUGUGAAUCUGUCAUUGCCCGUAGAAACAAACCAGAACUGCAUAAAUUCUCUUAUCUUCCAGCAGCUUCUUUUCUCCAGAAAUAGGCACAACUAUUUGACAUGGAAACAAUUUAUCUAACAUGGCCACCUUUAAAGACAAAGACAUACUAAGGACAUGGUUUUAGAUACGGAUACAAGAAACAAUCACAAAAUGUAAAAUCUAUACAUAUGAUAUUAAUUUCCAAUGGAUACAGCACUUCAUUCUUUGACUUAACUUCAUUAGAUUACUAGGUUUGAUUAGGUUAUACACACAUUUAUUCAUUUAUGGUUUUCAACCUAUAAUCUACAUGCACUUAGAAUGAGAGGUACCUAUAAAAACAAGUUACCAGAAAACAAUACAGCUAGAAAACAUUAAAACAUUAAUCUAAGCAGUUCUAUAGGUUUAACUAACUGCAGGAAAAAACCGUUGAUUUUGUCCGUCGGAUUAUUGAGAUCCUAAUUCUGGUAAAAAGAAAAUGAGAUAAUAGAAAAUCAAAAAUUAAAUAGACACAAAAUGAGAAAUCAAGAUCAUACGGCAACUAAUAUAUAGCAUGGGCUGCAGCUAACAAGCAAUAUAAGCCAUGAUAUUAUGCCAGAUACAAAAUUUUGAGAUCCAAGAGAGAUCAAGAAGCAUGAAUAUUGAAAGAAGUGAGUGCAGAAGGAUAAGAAAUCAGGUUGAUAUUCUUCAUACUUUGGGUCAACACGUAGUGAUGCAAUAAACUUGUAAUUAGCUUCAAGUGUAUAGGCUACCAUGUCAACAUUUCCGAAAACACACAAGAUUGUGCUGGAUUCAUAUAUAGUACAUAUAUAAAAAAACAAUCUGCUUCUAAACUUCAUGAGAACAUCGAAUAAUGAACUUACAAUUUGAUCCCUCAUCAUCUUCAUCGCACCAUUUGUUCCAAUCAACCUUAAUGUAAGGUGCUGGUUUCUCUUCUGACUUGAGUAGCCUUUUCCACCAACCUUUCUCUUCUUUUUGCACCGAGCAUAUUAUGUUCCUUAAGCCAACUUUAGUCUUACAUUUCUGCACCACCAGCAACAAAAUUCAAAGCAUUACAAAAGAGGUAUAUUUAGCCGCUCUUGACUCGAGUGAGAGAACAGGAUAAACAGCCUAGGUAUAUCCACAUCCAUGUUAUGAGAUUAAUUAUGCAACAACUAACUUUAAUAUAAAGUUUGUGCUCCAACAAAGACUAAAAUGUUUGUAAUUGUUAUGCUUCCGGAGCUAAAAUGUUUCGCAAACACUCACUUUUACUCUGCAGCUAAUAUCUAGCACCCAGCCACACAAAGUCCGUAGUCUUUGUCUCAACUUUGUCUGAGGCCAAUGUAAAUCCAAUUUGCACAAGCUCUCUAUGCACCACAGCUCUUCUGGAAGCUUUCUCAAGUACGCACAAGGGUUGACAAUUAAGCUUUCAAGUUUUGGUAUUGCUCCAGCCCCCAUCGUCCACUCAUCUAGCCAAUACAUUGAUUUCAGGCGCAAAACCUUAAGUUCCGGAAAGCCACCCGAGCAAGCACAGGCCAGCUUUCUUCCUAAAUACAAGCUCUGCUUCAGUUUCAGCACUUGAAGGCGUGGAAGCUUUUUGAUAAGGAAAGGGAGCCACGGAGGUCAACAAAGGUUCAUAAGCCUAACUACAGAUACGAGGGCUUUGUUUGAACAUUCGUAAGUCUCAUGCAGCCAUGCAUGCGGUCAUGCAUGUUGCAUGCAAUACCAUGCAAGACUUAUUUACGCAUGGAUUAAAGAGUAGUCUGUUUCUAGUUUUUUAUUUAAGAUUGCUCAGUUAUUUAAAUUGAUUUUAGCCGUGAAUUGUGGCUACAAAUCCUUAGUAGUGUUUGUAUUAACUACUAUAAAUAAGCUCCAGCAAUUAAUAAAAGGAUUAUGCAAAAAAUUAUCUCAAAGUACUAUUCUUGGUCGUUUUCACCGUAAGUAGAACAACGUAAACUUAGCUAUUGUUGAACGUUUUUGAUUGGGACCUAUCACUUUUCCAGCCUUGGCAUGGGAUCCUCCAUUAGCUCAGUAUUUGAUAAGCUCAGUUGGGUCAGACUUGGAGGAAAUUGGUAUUCAGACAGGACCGUCCGUGAGAGCUUGCUUUCAUUCACCAGCUUCAAGCAUUCAAGUUUCUCUAGUUCGCAUAGGCUUUUGGAAAUCCCAGAUUGAUAGUAACUCAAAUCUCCAGACACUCUAAGAGUUUGAAGAUUAGGUAGUCUGCCCAAUAUAGCUGGAGUGCAACUACUAGGGUGUAAGGCUGAUAUGAAAAUGAGAUUUUUCAGAGAGCUGGAAUAAUUUUUUGGAGGCGCAGGCAGAGUGAUGCAACCGAAGUUUAAAUGCACGAGUUUUCGCAUCAUCCAAAUAUCCUCUGGUGAAUGAUCUAUGUAGCUUGAUGGCAUUUCUAGUGUUUGAAGGUUUAAAAGAGUGCAUAGCAGUGAAGGAAGGCAUUUGAGCGAGGGGAUAUUCAAUUUCAAAUACUUCAAAUGGAAAAAGUUUCUAAUCCGGGCGGAUAUUGGUCGAGAAUUGCAGAACCCAAGUUCAAUACCCCAAGGUGUUUGAACGUUUGACGAAAAUUCUCGCAAUCUAUCAGAGCGAGAUGAUCGCUUUCUGAACUGUGAUUCAGAAAAGAUUGGAGAUAGAUGUCAGGAUGUUCUAAAGAUAAAAACUGAAUCAGAUGUUCCAAAAUGAAGCACCGUUUAACAUUUGCCAGUGGUUCCUUUUCCCUUUCAUGCAUGCAGACAAAUUCCGUCUGCGCUGCCACCAAAAACAAUGGAGUACAUAAAAAACUUGGAACAUAACACGCUUUAAUUGUGCCUCCGGCUCUUCUCUUACUCACUUGAAUGAAGCCGCAAUAGAUUAGUUCUUUCAAAUAAUGCUCGGCAGUUUCUUCACUGUUGUAUGGUAUGAAACCUUCAGCUACCCACAAAUGAUAUAAUUGCCUCGUAGAUAUUUCAAUACUUGGACGAAAGACACACAAAUAGAUGCAGCAGACUUUCAAGUGAAAAGGUAACUCCAUCAAAGAAUAACUGUGUCUCUAAAUUGUCGGAAUCGCUACGCCUUGAACAUAAUUUUCUAAUGGCAUACUUCCAUAGUGUAGGAUGAAAAAUUGCCAGGCUUUAUGCUUUAAUCUGAUCAAUGGUCCUCCACUGAGCACUGAAUCAAACCGAAUCAUCUCUCCGUUUUCCAUGUCCAACAGCGUAAGGGGGCAUGGAUCAGUGACCAAUAUCAAUACUCUGCUUCCAUUCUGAUUGUCAGGAAGAACUUGUUCAAGAUCAUCCAAUACAUCGUCACUCUCUUCACAGUAAUCAUCAAGCACAAUAAAGUACUUCUUGUUUGUUAGGAAAUCUCGAAGAAUAGAUUUCUUCAAUUGAUAAUGUUCACCGAUAAUUACACUAACCCGAGAUGGAGGCAUCACAGACUUGAUUAUGUCAUCCAAUAUCUUGCCAAAAUCGUAGAGUACAGAAAUCCUGACCCAAGCAAGGCAGUCAGAGAAUUGCAACCACUGCAAGCCGAGGAUGUCCUUCAAUCAAUAAAUCAAACAACUCCUCUCUACCACUUUCAAAUUCGUUGAUAUCAAGCCGAGGUUUUCCCUCAAUCAAUAAGUGAAUGAGUUUGUCCCUUUGUUCAGUGAUUACGAAACCAUUGUCGCCGGGUGGAAGUUGUUGCAUCCGAUUUCUAAUAUCAAUAAUUUUACUGUGGAGUCCAACAAGAAGAGCCAUAUUAGUACUGCUUUCACUUUCUUCUUCACUGUUUUGCUGCUGCAUGAUGUUGAUGAAGAAUGUGUCAAUGGCUUCCUCAGAUUCAUGGACAAAGUCAUUGAUGUCCUUCACAAUUUCCAGAAUGUCUGAUCUUUUAACGUCUUCAUCGCUUUCUUGUAAAAAAGCCAAAUAUAUUUCGGAUUCAUCGAAUUCUCCUCUAAUGAGUUGAAACAAAAGCCGAGCCAUGUCAGCUUCAUAGUUUCCCACCAGAGUAGUAGCAAUGAUUUCUGACUCCGUAAGAAGGUUCUGAAAAAGUGGAGUCAAAUUUGUUCAAUCAGGCAACGUUAACGCGCCUUCUUCACCUGCUAGCACCCUUUUCAACCUCUCACAAAAUAGUCGGAGGUUCACGUCCACCAUAUCUCCUUCCCUCCGUAGCACUCAGAGAAGAUUGGUCCUAUCUCAAAGUGGUUAGUGCUGUAAAAUUAAACACCAUGGAAGAAUUUGAAAGGAAUAUGCCAAGAAACUGGCCAAGUGGCUAAAUUCCACAAAUAUGACAUUAUUGCUCAUUUUCUCUCAGACACGUGAUACACGUUGAUUUAGAGGAAAGUUCAAGAAUUUUGCUUUAAAAAAAAAAAUUGAUGGUGCUUAAAUUAUUAUUUUUUUAAUUUAAAGAGUUUUGCUUUUAAAAAAAAAUUAAUAUCAAAAUGCCUUCAAUGUUAUUACUGCCACAAGCCCAGUAACAAAACUCAUUAAAAAUUUUAGAAUUUCUGGCCAUGGAAAGAGUAGUAUUAAACAUCAGAAAGCAAAGGUUGUUCCGUUAAAGAAUUGAUGUUGACAUAAUUUUAUUUUGGUUUUCGGGAAAAAAAAAAUAUUUGUUGGCAAGCAAAGAAAAUAAUUUUAUACUUUACAAUCUGCUAUACAUAUUUUAUCAUAUUAAAGUAAUUUUAAUAUCUAUCAAAAAAAUAAAUUUAAUAAUAAUUGGAACAUAAUAUUACAAUAAAUAAAUUAAAAUUAUUUUAAAUAUUAGGAAAAAAAUAUUAUUAAUAGGAAGAUAUUUUGUUAAUUGUAAAAUCCUUUUAUUCCAAAUAUUUUAUUUAAAUUUUUUAUAAUAAAUAAAAAUAUAAAAUUAAAAUAAAUAUCAUAAUUUAAAUUUUUUAUAUUAAAAAUAUUUUAAUGUUAUUAGUCUACUACAUAAAUUAUAUUAUUUAUAUUAUAUUCGUAUUGAUUAAAAUCUUUUAAAGUUAAUUUUAUAGUUACUAUAUCCACAGGGUAUUAUAUUAUAUUUAAGAGUAAUUUUUUCAAAUUUUAGGAUUGCAGAUGUCCUUCUUCCGAUAAUUUAUUUCACUUUUGAGAGAAUCCAAUGAGAAAUAUGAUAAGAGAUGGUCAGUUUAAUGUUCUCUGCCUUUAUGGAAAAAAAGUAAAAAGUAAAAACUAUUCAAUUUUGUACUUUUUGUGUCCACCAAAUAAAUUUUACACAUUUAUGUUGUCAUAAAACGAAAAAAAAGGGUUUGCCAAAAAAUGGUACCAAGCAUACCUUUAAUGUCCCACGUGAUUUCUUAUUAAGCCCAUAUUAUAUAUAUUUAUACAUUUUAUUGCAUUAAACAUUUUUAUUAUAAAAGAAGUUGGUCCUUCCCCUAGUGAUAAAAGAUAAAUAUGAUAAUGUUUGAGAUGGGUUUAGUCUUUUAUAUUUGCUGAGUCCAGUGGGUUAAAGAAUUAGAGUAAAGCAUCUGGGCAUUCUUUCAUGCAAAACUAAAAAUCCUGAAAAUAGUUGGCUUUAACUGAUUAAGACAAGCUUGGUCGAAUUGAGUUGAACUUCAUAUAUAAAAGCCAAAUAUAUUGCGGAUUCAUCGAAUUCUUCUCUAAUGAGUUGAAACAAAAGCCGAGCCAUGUCAGCUUCAUAGUUUCCCACCAGAGUAGUAGCAAUGAUUUCUGACUCCGUAAGAAGGUUUUGAAAAAGUGGAGUCAAAUUUGUUAAAUCAGGCAACGUUAACGCGCCUUCUUCACCUGCUAACACCCUUUUCAACCUCUCACAAAAUAGUCGGAGGUUCACGUCCAGCAUAUCUCCUUCUCUCCGAGAAACUGUGUAAGUGGCUAAAUUCCAGAAAUAUGACAUUAUUGCUAUUUUUUUAACUCAAAAAAAUGGUACGCGUUCAUUUAGAGAAAAGUUCAAGACGCGCGCCUUUUGAAAAAUGGUACCCGUUCAUGUAGAGAAAAGAACAGGUAUCCCAAUCGGUAUCCAACCUUUAUCUUCUUUAAUUACCACCACGACAUGAUUUUUUUUUUUUUUUUUUGAUGACAUGAGACUAUUGCUUAAAUUACAACUCAAAUUACAACUCAUAUUACAUGAGAGUAUAAUUGAUAUGUACAAUCAUAUAUACAUACUGAGAUCUAUUGACAUUAAUGCUGAUAUGACACUGCUCAGAUUUUUGUAACCCUCUCAAAUAUUCGAGGGACGUCAAACUCCUAUCCUGGGAGAAAGACUGCCUUCACUCGAGCUCUGUGGCUCCAAGGAAGGAAAUAUAAAUUAAACCUCUACAAUGCGACUGCGGAGGCUCGAACCCCUUCCCUCACAUAUGUGAGGGAGUGGCUCUAGCCACUUGGGCUAGCCCAAGUGGUUCCACGACAUGAUUGAUGGUGCUUAAAUCAAUUGUUUCUUUUUUAAUUUAAAGAAAUUUUCAUUAAAAAAAUAUUUUAAUAUCAAAUACCCUUCAAUGGCAUAACUGCCGCAAUCCCAGAAACAGGAUUAAAUAUUUUUUUUUUUUUGAAUUUUUGGGCAUGGAAAGAGCAGUAUUAAAAAUCAGAAAGCUAAGGUCGUUCUGUUAAAGAAUUGAUAUUGACAUAAUUUUUUUUUGGUUUUCGGGGGAAAAAAAAAAUUGUUGACAAGCAAGAAAAUAUUUUUAUAUUUUACAAUUUAUUAUACAUAUUUUUUUUUUUUGGAUCAAUAAUGGGCUCUAAAAGAGCUAAAGCACCAGUAAACGGGAGUGGGCAACCCCAGACACAUCGUUAUGAAGAAUACUCUGUAAAUUAGGAGGAGCAACAGUAAGUAACUGCAAUCCUAAAGGACAAGACAAAUUAAAUGAGGCCAGAAAAUCUGCUGCUAUGUUUGCUUCUCGAUAGAUGUGGUUCACUUUCACGACCCAGUCCCUGCUGAUCAGCUCACGAAUGGCAAGGAUAAGAGAAUGAUGCUCAUUAACAGGAGUGGUCGGAUUCUCCAAGAUUUGAGAUUUAUUAUACAUAUUUUAUCUUAUUAAAGUAAUUUUAAUAAUAAAUAGAAACAUAAUAUUACCAUAAAUAAAUUAAAGUUUAACUUAUUUUGAAUAUUAUAAAAAAUAAUUUUAAUAUUAUUAAUAGGAGGACAUUGUAUUAAUUUUAAAAUUUUUUAACCCAAAGGUUUAUUUAAAAUCUUUAUUAUAAAUACAAAUAUAAAAUUAAAUAUAAUAAUUUAAAAUUUUUAAUAUUAUUUUAAAUAUUAAAAAUAUUUUAAUGUUAUUAGUCUACUACAUAGAUCAUAUUACUUAUAUAAUAUUUGUAUUAUUAAAAAUUCUUAAAAUCAAAUUUUUAGUUAGUAUAUUUAUGAGGUAUUAUGGUUAAAAAAAAAACCUUAUUAUUACUUUUUAAAACAUUGAGGGCCUGCGUGAUAAUUUUUUCAAAAAGAAAAUGCUUGGUAUCUAGGAGGGUUAGAGAAACAGGACUACCAAAAUCUCUCACCCUUUUUUAAUUAAAAAAAAUUAAAAUAUCAAUAAAAAAAAUAAAGAAAAUAGAAUUUUAUCUGCUCCUUACUCCAUUUUUGUAACUCUCUCACCAUCUCUGUCGAGCAGCCCUCUCUUUCACUGUCUCUCACUAUUUCACAAUCUCUCUCUCACUCACACAGUCCUUUAGAAAAGCCCAAAAUAGGCCCAAUAAGCCCAUAAUUAAAAUAAUCGAAUCGAAUUAUUUCAAUUAAUCGAGUAUUUGAUUAUUUCGGUAAUUUGAUUAAUCGCGAUUAUGAUUUUAAAAUAAUCGUAAUCGAACGAUUAUGAAAAAUUUAGUAAAAAACCGAAUUGAACCGAACCGCACCCACCCCUACAUAAAAGAACAACAAUUACUUGUCAUUUUCAAUUUUUUCUAUAAGCUAUUUAUUUUGAGCAUUAGUGAUCUUGUCUGGACUACUCCAAUUAUUGACGUAACUCCAGUGGCUGCAUCCACUGGAAAAAGUGGAUGAGAACAUUUUUUUUUUUCAUAAAGGUAACUACUCCAAUUAUUGACAUAAUUGAUGGUGCUUAAAUCAAUUUUUUUUUUUAAUUUAAAGAAUUUUGCUUUAAAAAAUAAUUAAUAUCAAAAUGCCUUCAAUGUUGUUACCGCCACAAGCCCAGUUAGAGGACUCAUUAAAAAUUUUAGAAUUUUUAGGCCUGGAAAGCGUAGUAUUAAACAUCAGAAAGCAAAGGUUGUUAUGUCGAAGAAUUGAUGUCGACAAAAUUUUAUUUUAGUUUUCGGAAAAAAAAAAAAAUUUGUUGACAAGCAAGAAAAUAUUUUUUAUACUUUACAAUCUGCUAUACAUAUUUUAUCAUAUUAAAGUAAUUUUAAUAAUAUAUGGAAACAUAAUAUUAUAAUAAAUAAAUUAAAAUUACUUUGAAUUAUUGAAUAUUACAAAAAGAUAAUUUUAAUAUUAUUAAUAGGAAAACAUUUUUAAUUGUAAAAUCUUUUUAAUACAAAAAUUCAUUUAAAAUCUUUAUAAUAAAUACAAAUAUAAAAUUAAAAAAAUAUCAUAAUUUAAAUUUUUUAAAAUUAUUUAAAUAUUAAAAAUACUUUAAUAUUAUUAGUCUACUACAUAAAAUAUAUUAUUUAUAUUAUAUUCGUAUUGAUUAAAACGUUUUAAAGUCAAAUUUUUAAUUAGUGUAUUCAAAGAUACAAAAGAUUUUAGUAUUAUUUUUAAAAAAUUUCAGGAUAUGAAUGAUAAUUUUUUCAAAUUUUAAAGAUGUAAGAAUCUUUUUUUCUGAUAAUUUAUUUCACUUUUGAGAGAAUCCGAAAACGUUAAUUUAACAUUCUUUACCUUUGUGAAAAAAGUGAAAAUCAAGAACUAUUCAAUUUUGUUUUUAUUUGUAAUUCAAAAACUUUAUUCAUUUUCGAUGCUUUUCAAAAGAGACUCCUCUAAAUCCUUUUGGUGUCUGCAGCUCCUGCAAUUCUCAUAAAUCUCCAUCCCACAUCUACACUAUCAAACAAGUUGAUGGAAAUUCUUAUCAAAAAAAAAAAAAAAAACAAGUCGAUGGAAAUUGAUCAAUUACUUUUUGAAGUGGACCCAUUGAGUCAUGUUCAUUUCUGGUCAUUGUCUACUCUUUCCAUCAGCCAUUUAUUUUGACCAUUUGCGAUCUUAAAGGAUAUGAGAACGUAGCUGAAGUGCUGAAGGGGCUAUUAAAGAAGAGUGUCACUUGAUCACAAUCACAUUGAUGCACAACUCACUCGUGGCAAAUUUCGACUAUACGUUCUGCAAAUUCAGCCAAACCAUACAUGCAUGAACAAAACUAAAAUGUAGUUCUAAUCACAACUGCAGUUAUAAUGUUUACCCCUCUGAUUUUUCUCCAAAACAAAUUCAGUUCAAAACAAUAAUUAAAUAGCCACAUUUUGUUCGUCAAAAUAAAUGCCCAAAUUUUCAAUUAACAAAUCAUCUUCUCUAAACUAAAAAUCCCACAUCUCUAAAAUCAAUCUACAUAAUGUUGGAGAUGAGGGGUGAAUUGUUAACUCAGUAAAAAAAACUCAUGCAUAAUAUUACUAAUAAUAUAAAAUAUAUAUUAAUCAUUAUAAAGAAUCAUAAUUAGAAAAAUUAAUCAUUUUAUAAUUUAUUACACAAGUAAGAUAAAUCUCAUAAUAAGUUAUAACAUAAAAAAAACGUUAUCAAUAUAUAAUCAUUUAAGAAGUCAUUUAACAAUAAAAUCGUUCUUUAAUCAGUUGGUCAUGUCACAUAGUGUCAUCUAUAUUUACGGUGAUAAUAUUAUUACUCAGUAUUAUCAAAAAACAUGAUUUAACAUUUAGAGGAAAUUCUUGCCUUUUAAAAAAAACAUGUAUGCAACAACUACCCAUGCUUUAUCUUACCAUGACAAAUAUUUUCUCAAUGAAAGAAAAUUUUUUAAAAAUUGAUUUAAUGCACAAAUAUGAUGAUUUUUCCAAAAAUUAGUUUUGGAAAACAUAGUGAGAGAAAAUAGUGACGAUUAUUGUUUAGAUGUAUAAAUAGCCUAAACAUAAUCCUUAAUACCAAUAUCCUAAUGCAUCUUAUCAUCUUUCAUGAUAUUCUUUCAUUUAUGUCCAUUGGUUCAAGAUUUGAAUUUGAUCAUUAAAUCAUGUUCAAUAAUAUUAGAGAUUCUAACAAAUGAGUACCAACUUAAAUCCCAAUGUUAUGUGUCAUUGACCAAUUUUGUGUCAUUUUGUUAUUAACUAGGUGAUGAAUUUGUAGUUGAUAAAAUCACUUAAAAAUAUCUUAAAAAUCAAACAAUAGUUUGCUUAAUUUUUCCAAGUUAACUGCUCAAGAUGCUCUAUUAUAAAUAAUAACCUAAUUAUAUUCAUAAAAAAUGAUAUUUUUUUUGUGGUGUUGAUAAUGAGAUUAUCAUUCAACAUUUUAAAAUGUGAAAACAUAUGGAAGAUGGUUGUAAAUUGAUUGAAUGAAAACAUUUCAGUGAAGUCUCAAAAAUUUGGUACUUGUUGUCUUAUCGAAAGUUUUCUAAAUUAUAUUCGUGGCACAGCCACUAUCCAAACCAUACAAGUCCAAAGCUAUCCAAACCAUACCUGCAAGUCCGGGGCUUAAAUGGAGUACUUCUAAGCAAAAAAACAUUGACUAAAAUAGAAUAUAUACAUACAGACACACAUACAUACCAGCAUAUUCAAAAUAGCAAAAGGAGUGCAAAAGUUCAAGUUUGUAGACAACAUUGCAACCAUAGCAUGUUUAUAGCAAAUCCUCAAAAUCUGCUAAAUAAAACAAUGCCCUGUCUCAUGAAUCAAUGCUGAAUUAAAAUUGAAACUGAAAGUCUGGAUGGUUUUGUUUGUUGAGAAUGUCAAAUAAAACGGCAUUGAAGGAAGUUUUCAAAGGCAGAAUCCGCACUUGUCAAAGGGAUGAUCUGCACUUGUCAAAGACACUAUCCGCGCCGAACGGAU